GAGGGGAUCCUUUAUAGGUGGCGAGGAGGUGCUGGGAGGGAAGGAGAUUCGCAAAUUCCGGAAGGGGAGGAUCUCUUGGUUCCUGCCAUGGAAGUUCCUCGUAACGUGAAUGACUAGAGGAAGGAGAAGACACUAAAUGGGCCAGAUUUGGAAACUCCUUAAUGGGCCAGCUCUUUAUUUCCUAUUAAACGCGAUUUCUUUCUUUUUUUCAAAAUUAGGAAACUAAAACGAUAAAAGGGAAAUCAAAUCAAUUCGUAAUAUAGAGUUUCUAUACACUAAAAUUAUCAGAAAAAUAAAAUCUAAAUGAUGGGCAUUUUUCCACGGCCAAAAUAAAAACUUAAAAAAAUGUUUUUCCAAAAAAUCCCUAAAAGCAUGAUUUCUAUUUGCAAUUAUUUUCUCAAAUUAAAUUUUGGUUUUUUUCUUGGCUCAAAAUAUUUCAAUGAAUGCCCCCGGUUUUUGGAGGGUCAUUUUCCUCCGCUCUUUCUUGCGUGCAAGAAUUUUGUUGGGCAUUUUCUCGGCGAAGAAAAAUAUAGAAGCAAGGGCAAAUAUUUUGAAAGGAUUCAACUGCAAACUCCGUUCAAAUUCUUUAUAGUUGAAGAAGUCAUGUCAUCUUCUCUCUUUGCUUUUAAAAGGUUGAAUUUGAAUUCAUCGGAGAUGGGGAAAGUCAUUUUAUUCCCUCUCAUUCAAAAGUUUUUGAAAAGUUUCAAAUUUCACACAAGUUUCAAUCACUCAAGCAAACAAACAAACAAUCUAAUAAUUAUUUUAACAUUCCAAAAUUUGGGAUGUUAGAAACCUACCACACUUAAAAUGAAUCUUGCCCUCGAGAUUCGAAGAGGCUAGAAAGAAAGGUUAAGGUUUGGGGGUCUUCUAACAAAUCCAAUCUCCAGCAAGGUGGGAUGCUACCACACUUAAAAUGAGAGAUACUGGUCCCUUAAGAUUUUAACAAACCUGUGGGGUUUUUUGCAUCUGACUCCUCACGGUCUUCAUGUCUUCCGCUAUAUUCAUAACGUUUCCAUUAUAACGAGGGUCCUUCUGUUAUAUAAGCUUCUUCCUUUACUGGGUCUUCUUAACUGACAGUCUCGUGAUCAAUUCUAAAUAACCUAUCGAUGAUUCUCAUGGUGGUCUACCAUUUGUGGUUAUCCUGCAGAGAGAGGGGUCUUGGUUUCAUUCUCACCGUAAAAUUUCCUACGCGUGACAACAAAUGCCAUGUACAUGGGGCUUUCAUCAUACCAUUCUAAGGCUUAAACAAAAGCUUCAAAGAACGUCGUCUCUCACUAUGGGUAAGUCUCUCAGAUUUACCAUUCCGAAUAGCAAGAGAAUGAUAAUAGUAAGUCGUCAUGGUGGCCAAGCCAUGUCGCACUAAAAUCAUUACCUUGUAUAAGGUUUAGUGAAUCUCAUAUUCUAACACUUGGGCAUCCUCACAAGCGUUGCAGAAUUUCUCUUGUCCACGAACAAAGUUCGGAUAAUCCAUUGGUUCUGCAAGCUGAACAAAACAUCUAUCGUAUCCUCACCACUCUCUGGCUUUCGUAUGUUCCUAAGAAAACGUUUGCUGAUCCAUCAUACCUUCUUCCAUAAAUCAUAUUCAUUUCAUAAUCAACCCUUUAUUACAUCCUUGCUUUCUUCAAAAUUCUAACUCAAAAGUAAUUUUUUACAAAUGCUGCCAUCCACAUUGUUCGGUAUGGUCAAGCAUUUCUGCCAACUUUAUUCAUGUGUCUCUCUUGGAGGUACUUUAGUUCCACUCGAACUUUCCGAGGUGCCCCUUAAAAUCAUCCAUCUUUUGCUUCAUCAUGGUGGUCAUGAGCUUCAUCUCCAUCAUCUCCGCACGUACCUCACUCAAGUAUUCCUGGGUAUGACGGAGUCUUGCUUCAAGUAUUUCUCCAAUCUGACGUAUGGCUUCCAUGGCAGCUUCACGAACAGCAUCAAAGAAGGUUGCUCGUGGUACACAUGAAAUGAAAAAGUAUUGCCCCAUAGUCUUUGGACGAACUCCUUUCACAUGGUGGAGGUGUACUUCCACAUACCAAAGUGUCACAUCCCUAACCCUUAAGUAAGAUAGCAUUGUGCUCAUGUAUUCUUUGCAUUUGCAUCUAAGAAGUUUCAACAAAAACACCAAAGUGGCAAAGGAAAAACUCAAAACCCUAGCCACCAUUUCAAUUAAAGGAAAUUUCAACUAGUUCAAAAUCAAUGAACCCAAAAUGGCCUCAAGAAAUGUUCAAACUUUCUGAUAAAUCAUGAAAGUAAAUGAGCAUUGGAGAAAACUAUUUUUCUUGACACUUUAAGCAUUUUAAAUAAAUGCAAAAGCCACUGGUUUCAAAUUUAAAAUUUGAAAUCAGAAACUAUAAUUUUCCAAAAAUGUUGAAAGUCUUGGAAAUGAGUGGGGAUAUUAUAACAAUUAUUUCAGGAGGUCUAAAAUAGUUUUUACUUUUUGUUUUGGAGUUGAAUUAAUUAGCAAUGCAAUAAUUAGCAAAACAGAAAAACAAAAACAGAGGAAAUGGAAAAAAGACUUACCUGUCGCCCUAGCCUGGCCCGGCCCAUCUCCCCGCUCGUCCCCUCCCUCGCGCCAGUAGGCAGCAGGAGGUGGCCGCCGCCUCCUCCGGCGGGGCCACGAACCUGCGUGCCUGCCUGGCCGCCGGUUCGCGCUGGCGACGACGGGGAUAAGCUCCCCAGAGCUUCCCCUAUCCAUUCCCCGCCUCGGUUCUUCCCCUCCUCCCGGAUCCCCUCCUUCUCCCUGCUGCCGCCAUUAGAGCCGAGCUCGAGCUCGAGCUGCCCGUACCCCUGGCCAUAGGAUCCCCUCCCAGAGCACGCCAUUAGCUCUGCCUCGUCGCCCUGGUCGUCUCUGUAGAAGCCGAAGCUUCCUCGAGCCCUGCAACGCCCGCAACGCCGUCGUCUUCCUUCUCCGGCCGCCGGACCUCUCCCGUCGAUUCGUCGCCGCCAGGCCUUCCCCGAGCCGUCUAAGAUCUGCUCUGCACUCCCUGUGAGCAUGCGGUCGUUUCCCCUAAGUUUUCCCCCUCGAUCCCCUCCUCUAGCCCUAGUUUCACCAGAGCCCGACGAGGACCGCCGCUGCCGCUCGUCGCCGGUAGCCCUCCGAUGAUCAGCUCGUCCUUCCGAGAGCACCAGCAGCUCCAGGACGACGCGUAGAUGCCGUAGCAGCUAAGAACCGAGCGUAGAUCCCCCUAAUUCAAAGACCCCGAUGACGCCCGAGCCUUGGCCGCCGCCAAGCUCGUCGCCGGCGUCAUCUCCGGCCAGAUCAGCCCCGGCUAGGCGCAGAAAUGAAGCUGCGGGAGACGUGCCGUUCCUCUGGUGCUCUCCGCGCAGCAUUUGGCCCCCUGUGCGCCGUUUCCGAGCCCCUCCCCCGUGCUGGUGGUCGCCGGAGGCUCCCCGCCGGCGAGGACGACCUCGCCGCCGGUGGAUGUCGACGUGGCAAGCUAACCCAGCCGAUUAGUGACCUAAUCACUCGCUGACAAGUGGGCCCAAGGCCAAGUCAAACCUCAGUUAGGGCUGGUCAGCGUGGGAUUAGUCCCAGAGAGGCUGACCAGUGGGGCCCCCCUGUCAGGUUUGACCUGAACAGGUCGGCUGACCUGCUGAUGUCAGCCUGAUGCAAUAAAUGGAAUUUCCAGUUUAAAACUAAUUCAGGAAAUUGCUAAAAAUUGCAAAAAUCAUAGAAAUUAAUCUGUAACUCCAAUGAAAAUAAAUUAUAUAUGAAAAAGUAUCAGAAAAAUUCAAGGAUUCAGAUUAUGCUAUUUUCAACUAUGUUUGAAAAAGUUACAGGACCCUAAAUUCUGAAAUAAGGAAUAAUUCAAUUCUUUAAUCACUUUAUAAAUGGAAUGAUCACACACUGCCCUAGAUAUAAAUCAGUACCAUAACAUGACAUUUCAUGCAUGUUAACAUUAGGUUGAUCUGAGCAUCAGGUCGAAUCAAUUAAACCGGUAUCCGAGAAUACCCGUUUGAAUUGCUAUUGAAUGUGAUUCAAAUCAACUCUAAACCUAAAACAUCUUGAUUAUAAUAACUUAUCACUUUGCAUUCUCAUGCCAUGCUCAUGCAUCAUUUUGAUUGCAUAUGAUUGUUAUUGAAUGUUGCCAUUCAUUUCGGUAGGCUCCGCACCCCCGGAUUCCACCAAAUAUCCGUCUGACGGAUAUCGUUCCUCCUCUGAGCAACAAGGCAAGCAACCCUUUUGAUCAUCCCGAUAAAUCCCAUGUUCUUGCUCCUGCACCUAAUUAUUGCAUUAGGAUCAAAUGCUUCAACUGCUUUUGCCACGAUAGUUGAACCCACUUCCUUUGCAUGACCUAACCUUGUCACAGUAAAUAGCCAAACCUUGCAACCUAGCAUACUUGGUAGUUGCUUGAGCUAUGAUGUGCCUUAUCCUCCUAUGCAUGCUAUGCUUAGAAUUGUGUAUGGUCUGUCAUCUGGGAGAUGAACAGAAAUGUGGAAUGUGUUCGGUGAGCAAAGGUUGUGUGUUGAACUUGAUUUGGUAAAGGUACCGGUGAAAGGCUGUGUAGGAGUACAUGGCGGGUUGUUUCAUUGGAACCGUCCAUAGGAACUGAGUUCUGUGUAUGUAAUCCAAGACUAGAUACUACCACAUGCUGGGCCCUGAAAUAUGACCCCGCUCGGCCUAUUAAUCGCUUAGUACUCGGUCCAGGAGUUGCAAGUAGUUUCUGGUGUUUAUAGUAAUGCUGGAGGCCGUGCAUGGUGCUGACCUGAGAGGUGGACUGUGAUGCGGUAGGCAGUGGCACGGUGUACCAAGUGGCACCCGGAUGGUGGGCUUGGGAACCCUGCGCACAUCGUUUGAGGCCGUGGCGGAAACCUCGGCCGGACUUCCGUACGGCUUACUCUCAGAUAGGCGAUAAACCUGGACUAGGUACUAGUGUGGUUAACGGUUGUGGCCGACUCCCUCGCUGGGCUUCCGCUUGAAGGUUGCCGAGGUGCAUGACGUGCACUUGGCGAUAAGUGGCGAGAGCGUGUGUGACGAAGUACACCCCUGCAGGGUUAUGAUCUAUUCGAAUAGCCGCGUCCGUGGAUAUGGACUACUUGGAGACAUAUAUUGUUCAUAGAUAACUUCAAUGGCUACUCAUAAAAUUGUCAAGAUAAGCGUGAGUGUCGUGGACGGCAUUUCCGCAUGGCGACGGAAUGAUUCCACGAUAGUGUAUUGUUGUGGUGUUAGUGGACUCGUGUGCGAGAAAUCAAGUUGUCAAAACUAAUUUCAAAGAGCAAGUUGUCUAGCCACGAGUCAAAUGCUGGCUUCCCGCAUGAAACCCCACAGUACCUUUUGAUACCUUGCAUGGGUAGUUAGUUCUCCUAAAGUCUUGCUGAGUACCUUCGUACUCAUGUUUGCUUAAUAAUGUUGCAGAGGUUGCUAAUGACCCUAAUGGAGGGUUCUUCGUAGACAUCGACGACGACGAGUAGCUGGUGUCCCAGCUACGAUCUGGCCCUACGUCGGCUCUGUAGUAUAGUCAGGCCACGUGCCUACUAGUUGCCCUGUCUGUACCCAGACAGUUUAUAACUCUUCCGCUGGCUUGUAUUGUAUGACUGCUAUUAUGGGUCGUGAGACCCUUAAUGUGUAAUAUUAUGUGUGUGGCUCUUCCGAGCCUCUUAAAUAAAGCUUGUAUGUUUAUGGUUAUGUUGUGAUGCCAUCGAUGUAUCUAUACAUAUUGGUAUGCCAUGCGUACGUGUGUCGUACUUGAUAUGUAUGGGGUUCGAUUACCUAGUCGUGAACUUUAGUAGCACCCCUUACAAGGAAAUGCCCCUUUCUGAUCCAACGAGCCUUGGUAGUUCGCUACUGCUCCGGACACAUUGGUUGACCGGCAUGUGUCCUUCUUAGCUGCUGUGUUUGUCCCCUUUGGGGAAAUGUCACGCGAUGUAAUGGAGUCCUUGUAGCUUGCUACGACUCGUCUACAUUUGCUGAUGACCGACACCUGCUUUGUUGGGUCAUGUAUGCCUGUCCUUGUGCGGUACUGCCACUUUGGUUUAUGACUAGACAUGUCGAUCCGGGUUCUUUGACAUUGGACUGCUAGCGACACUAUCGCAUACGUGAGUCAAAAGACGCAAACGGUCCCGGCUAAGGUAAGGCUGCAGCCGUGGAGUUAACCGUGCGUGAGACCACAAAGGGAUGCGAUGUGUUACACGCUGGAUUCCCAUGGCUUAGGAUCGGGGUCCCGACAGCGUUGGUAUCAGAGCCUGACUGACUGUAGGAUUACUAAGCCAAACUGGUCGAAGUUGAGUCUAGAAUUUCUUAGUUAUAUAUAAGGGAAUUGUUUGUGGAAGGGAACGUAACACUCUUGUUCUCUUCUCAAGAUAUUCUAUCCUGGUCAUCCUCGUCUUUUCCGCGGGAAUUAAGGACUAGAUUUCUCAUCUUCUCCUAGGCUCGUGUUUCCGAUCGGUAGCUUAUAGGAUUACGGGUCGAGAGAUCUUUCCAGCACAUUGGGAUCCUAAGCUUNNNNNNNNNNNNNNNNNNNNNNNNNNNNNNNNNNNNNNNNNNNNNNNNNNNNNNNNNNNNNNNNNNNNNNNNNNNNNNNNNNNNNNNNNNNNNNNNNNNNCAAGGCUUACCUGCACAGCCACAAGUCAUUAUGGGCUCUGGCUUGGUUGGACAACGCGGCGACUCUGGACUGGCGGUGCUAGCAGAUGUAGACGAAUGGUAGGAAUGGAUGGGCACCGACAGGGAUUCAGAGGGACCUGUUGAAAGACCAUGUUUUGAUCAUCCGGUCUUCAAACACCCUGAAGUGCGAGGACAAACCCGGAGGCGAUCAAAUCUUGUGGGGAACGUGUGCAAAACUCUGCAGAGUACCCAACCUAAUCGAUUAGCCGUGUCCAGGGUCAUGGACAACUUGAGCCGAAGGCAUUGAAUUUCCCCUGAACUCUCGACACAACUUAAUAAUGAUGUGGGUGUUAACAACUAUUCGGGUACGAGAACUGGUUGGCGGAACCAUCUCGUUAACAACAAACUAUGUAGUAAUAUUUUGCUUUCGACCCCUUUUGUUGUAGGAUAAAACUGGCUUUAUGCAAAAACUUAGCUCCACCGGCCAAAUAUGCAUGUAGAGAUAGUUGAUUAUUAUUUUCCUCCCUCUCUUGAUGAUUUGCCAGCAUAUUCAAUAUGCUGACCUACACAGCUGCAACGUAUCAUGUUGCAGAGUACUUUUCUGACCAGGACUGAGGCUAUGGUUCUACGCUCAGCGACAUGCCCUUAGAGUCGGAUGGACUCGCCUACCUGAUGGUUCCGGUUAGUCUUCGUUAGAUAAUCUCAUGAGUUGGCCUUCAGCCCCUUUAUUGUACUCCUUUAUUGUAAUAAAGUAGUCUUUAUGAGAUUUUGAUUAAUAAAGCUGUGUGAUUGCACUCUUGAAUAUAUACAUUAUGUACUGUGUGUGUACCAGCAUGAUCUUGGGAUGGUACAGAAACACCAGAGGCUUGACUCGUUGAGUCGGGUCGCUACAGAAAUGGUAUUCAGAGCACACGCUGACCUUAGGACGUAACCUCUAGGAUUGGAAAAGCCUUAGGAAGAAAACUAUUUUCUCUUAUAUCUUCUAUUUCCCCCUCUGAUCAUUUCUGAGUUCUCUCCGAUUUUCCAAUGUUUAGAUGGCCACCUUCAUCCGUGUUAAGUUCACGGAGUUUUGCCAGCCCGACACCACUAUGCCGUUCGGAAAAGAGCUGGUGCAGAUCACCAAGGAUUUGAGGAUUGCUCUGCCGACUAUCACAGGGAAGCCAACUUCGUCUUACCCGGAGGAUUCACGCUACAGGAUCGAGGUGCAUAUUCCCGGAAGGACAUUCGAACCGCGCACUGAGCCGAUCGAUUUCAAGUUCAUCGCACCCAGCUGGAUUCUCGGAAGGGACAUGGCGAUCCAUUGUGCACUCGGACGUAUCAAGGAUGAAUACAAAGGCUGCCCUAUUUCUCCAGACCUAUUCGCUGUAUCCCGGAGAAAUGAAGACGGAGACAUCAUCUCAAGCAAGACCAACGACGCUCUCUUGUCUUAUGCCCAGACCUUGGAGAAGCACAGCGGAACUCUGGAGUAUCACGCGAUCAAGGACGCCAGGAAGAUGAAGCAACUGUCACUCCGCGAGCUUGACCUUGAAGAUGCAGCCCGGGAAGCCCACUAUGAGCAUGAGCUGGAAGUGAAGGACUUUCUGGAGAGGAUCGAGAAGCUGAAGACUCGAGUUGCAUACCUGGAGGAGGAACUGGACAUGGGAGAGAACCUUCAUCCCGAAGGAGACGUAGCCCCCGUGAUCAGCAACGACGAGGACUAUGAAGAAAGCUCCACCAAAGGACCCGACACCAUGCUAUUCUGAGGAGGACACUUAGACUAGACCACCAAAUUUACUUUAUCAUUUUAUGUUUUAGGCCGAUGUUUAGGAUUAUCGAAUUUUGUAUCCUCGUGUGAACCUUUGUGAUGAUUGAAUAAAAUGUGUGGUGUGAUACUUGUGUGUUACAUUCAUAUGGGUAGUGUAAUUCCUCUUAGACCAUUGUUCUAUGCUAAUCUCACCCCUCUACAAACAUCAGAUGCCUCCAAGACGCGCCCAUGAGUCGAACUUUCCGCCGGAACUCACCCAGUUGAUCCAGCAACAAAACACCCUCAUGCAGCUGAUCAUCCAGAACCAGAACAACAACAACCGUCCCCCACCCCAGGCAGACAACCUUACCCGUUUUCUGAGGUUGAACCCUCCAACUUUCUCCAGCAGCAUUGAGCCCAUUGUGGCAGAUGAUUGGCUUCACAAGAUGGAGCGUGAACUUAUCACUGCUGGUUGUACUCAAGCUGAGAAGGUGCGUUUUUCCGCGCAUCAACUUGAAGGCCCUGCAGCUGCUUGCUGGGAAAACUACACCACCACUUAUCCCAUUGCUGGAGUCACUUGGGAGCAAUUCAAGCAAGCCUUCCGCACCGCGCAUGUCUCAGCUGGUGCAAUGAGUCUGAAGAAGCGUGAGUUUCGCAACUUACGCCAGGGGAAUCACACUGUGGCCCAGUACGUUGAUGAUUUCAGCAUGCUUGCCCGUUAUGUACCUGGAGAUGUGGCCGAUGAUGCGGCCAAGCAGGAGAAGUUCUUGGAAGGACUGAAUGAUGAGCUGAGCAUUCAGUUGACGGUAGCCACUUUCAACAACUACCAGGAGCUGGUUGAUAAGGCCCUCAUCUUGGAGGGGAAACAUCAGUAGAUGGAGAACCGCAAGCGAAAGUAUGGGGUUGGAAAGUUCAACUCCGGCACUCAGCAGAAGCCUCGCUAUACCUCCUACUCAGGGAAUACAGGGACUGGAUCCGGUAAGUUUGGUGGACAUGUUCAGCAUAACCACCCAGUGCACAACCAUGAAGGCCACAACCAUGGAGGCCACCACCAUGGAGGAAAUGGGAACCACCGCAACAACAGCAACUUCAAGAAUGGCGGUACUGGCACUCAGCAGAAUUCAGCUCCAGCUCAGAAGGAUCUGACUCACAUCACUUGCUUCAAGUGUCAGAAGAAGGGACACUAUGCCACUGAUUGUCCCCAGAACAAGCAGGGAAAUGGAAACGGCAACAGCAACGGCAACGGCAACUCUGCAGCAAAGAAGCCCAAUCCUUUUCCUCGAGCUCAGGUGAACCACAUUGAUGUGGAAGAAGUCUAUGGUCACCCCGAUACUGUGGUUGGUAAGUUUUUGCUAAAUUCACAUCCAGUAUUGGUACUUUUUGAUUCUGGUGCAACGCAUUCAUUCAUAUCAAGGGUAGUUGUGGAAAAGUAUAGUUUGCCAACUAGAACCCUCAGCCAACCUAUUAAGGUCAGUUCCCCAGGAGGCAUGAUGAUAGCCGGGAUAGGAUGCCAUGCUUUGAGUCUCAACAUCGGGAACCAUAAUUUUCCCACCGACCUCAUCGUAUUAGAGUCCCUAGGAUUGGAUGUAAUUCUAGGCAUGGAUUGGUUGGCCAAGUAUGAAGGGAAUAUCGAUUGUGCCCUUAAGCCUAUUUUGCUCACCACCCCCGAGCGGAAGCGGAUUAAGUACGUGUCUCAGCACCCGACACGGAGUAAGCGAGUAAACUCUCUCACGGGAGUAGUCCAGGAGGAAGUACCGAUUGUACAGGAGUACCCAGAUGUAUUUCCGGAGGAAUUGCCGGGCAUGCCACCCGAUAGAGAGAUUGAGUUCUUGAUUGAGCUAUUACCCGGAACAGCCCCGAUAUCCAAGAGACCUUAUCGGAUGCCCGCAAAUGACUUGAUAGAAAUCAAGAAGCAAAUUAAGGAGUUAUUGGACAAAGGGUAUAUUGGCCCAAGUUCUUCACCUUGGGGAGCCCCAAUGCUCUUGGUUGAAAAGAAGGACAAGUCCUUGAGAAUGGUUGCCGAUUAUCGUGCACUGAACGAUGUGACUAUCAAGAACAAGUACCCCUUGCCGAUGAUCAACGAUCUGUUCGAUCAGUUAGUUGGAGCUUGCAUAUUCUCAAAGAUCGAUCUUCGAUCCGGGUAUCAUCAGUUGAAGAUUCGUGAACAGGAUAUACCCAAGACAGCCUUCACCACUCGGUACGGCUUGUAUGAGUACACGGUCAUGUCAUUUGGACUCUCUAAUGCUCCGGCAUAUUUUAUGAAUCUGAUGAACAAGGUAUUUAUGGAGUACUUGGACAAGUUUUUCGUGGUGUUCAUCGAUGACAUACUGAUAUUCUCCAAGAACGAAGAGGAACACAAGGAACAUCUGCGUCUACUUCUGGAUAAGCUUCGAGAGCAUAAGCUAUAUGCACAGUUCAGCAAAUGUGAAUUUUGGUUGAAGGAAGUCGGAUUUCUCGGACACGUCAUCUCAGGAGAAGGCAUAGCAGUGGACCCUGCCAAGGUCGUAGCAGUCACCGAAUGGGUAGCACCCACGUCAGUCAAGGAGAUCCGCAGUUUCCUCGGACUUGCCGGAUAUUACCGGAGGUUCAUUGAGAAUUUCUCAAAGAUUGCCAAGCCCAUGACAGAGUUGUUGAAGAAGGAAUCCAAGUAUAUUUGGACUGAGGAAUGUGAAACCAGUUUUCAAGAGCUGAAGAAACGUCUUGUUACAGCCCCAGUGCUGAUAUUGCCGAACAUUCGGAAGGAUUUCCAGGUUUACUGUGACGCUUCUCGUCAAGGACUUGGAGGAGUGCUCAUGCAAGAAGGCAAAGUUGUAGCCUAUGCAUCGAGACAGCUCAGACCUCAUGAGUUGAAUUAUGCCACACAUGACUUGGAACUAGCAGCCGUAGUGCACGCUCUCAAGACCUGGAGACAUUUCCUAAUCGGAAAUAGUUGUGAUGUUUACACUGAUCACAAGAGCCUGAAAUAUAUCUUCACGCAGAAGGAGUUAAACCUCAGACAGAGGCGAUGGGUAGAGUUGAUCAAGGACAAUGACAUGAGAUUGCAUUAUCACCCAGGCAAGGCAAAUGUUGUGGCCAAUGCGUUGAGCCGCAAGAGUUAUGUGAACACGCUCACAGCAGGAGGAUUACCCCAGGAGUUAGUCGAUGACCUCCGAGAGCUCAAAUUGGAGAUAAUUCCAAGAGGAUUUGUUGCCACUCUGGAAAUUCAGUCUACUUUGACGAAAAAGAUCCGUGAAGCACAGAAAGCUGACAAAGAGAUAGCUGAGAUUAAACAGAAAAUGGAAGACGGGAAAGCUAAAGGUUUUCUUGAGGAUGAACACGGAACUUUAUGGUUUGAGGAUCGCAUCUAUGUGCCCAAUGAUCCCGAACUCAGGAAGUUGAUACUUCAGGAAGCUCAUGAUUCCCCAUACUCGAUACACCCCGGUAACACCAAGAUGUAUCUGGAUCUGAAAGAAAGUUUCUGGUGGACAGGAUUGAAGAAAGACAUUGCCGAGUUCGUAGCUAUAUGCGAUGUUUGUCAGCGAGUAAAAGCCGAGCACCAGAAACCAGCAGGUUUGCUCCAACCUCUACCGGUACCCGAAUGGAUAUGGGAAAAGCUUGGUAUGGACUUCAUCACAGGAUUACCCAGGACCCGUUCUGGCUAUGAUUCUAUUUGGGUUGUGGUCGAUCGUUUGAUUACUAUGAUGUGGAGCAAAUAGAAGAGUUUGUUUCUUUUAUGGGUGCUUAUGAAAUUGAAGCUCUGUUUAAAGGGUAUGAUGAUAAUGAUGAUGCUCCUUACAGAUCUAAAAAUUUGGUUAUGAUUCGUUAUUGUUAUACUCAUUAUGAAUAUAAUGCCCAUAUUUAUCGAUUUAUGGAGAAAUUCUACGCUGCCCAAGAAGAGAUUAAUACUUUGCAAGAAACUAUGGAAGAAGAAAAUGCUGAAACUGUGAGCUCAUUAGAUGAAAAAGAUGAUGAAGAGAGCGAAUAACAAAAGGAGGAAGUGCGGACUAGCUACCCGUGCCCACCUUCUAAUGAGAGUAACUCUUCAACUCAUACAUUGUUUAAUUCCCCUUCGUUCUUACCGAAGGAUGAAUGCUAUGUUGAUUGCUAUGAUCCCUUGGAUUCGUUUGAAAUAUCCCUUUUUGAUGAACUUGAUGCUUGCUAUGCUUGUGGCCAUGAUGCCAAUAUGAGUGAUGCUUAUGAAGAUGAACUUGCUCUAGUUCCUUAUGUUAAACAUGAAAUUGUUGCUAUCACACCCACUUAUGAUAGUCCUAUUAUCUUUUUGAACUCUCCCAACUACACUAUAUCGGAGAAGUUUGCUCUUAUUAGGGAUUACAUAGAUGGGUUGCCUUCUACUUUUACACAUGAUGAUUUUGAUGAAUAUAAUAUGCAUGUGCUUGCUGCUCCUACUUGCAAUUAUUAUGAGAGAGGAACUACAUCUCCACCUCUCUAUGUUUCCAAUACGAUAAAAUUGCAAGAAACUGCUUAUGCUAUGUAUUGGCCUUUACUUGAUGUGCAUGAAUUGUUCUUUUAUGACAUGCCAAUGCAUAGUAAGAGAGUUAGACUUCUUCAUUGCAUGAUAUAUGUUACCUUGUGCUCACUACUGAAUUACAAAUCAUUGUUAAUUAAAAUUGGCUUUGAUAUACCUUGGGAUCCGGGUGGAUCCAUUACUUGAGCACUUUAUGCCUAGCUUAAUGUAACAUCCCAAUUUUCUUAAAUUCGGAUGUUAAUAGAUCAUUCAUAUGCAUCUCAUAUUUUAUGCAUCAUUUCGUUCUUCUGAAAAUUUUUAUCGUUAUGUGACUGCGGGAAAUUUAGUGGAGUGGAGAUAAUAUGACUUCUCCCCCCCGUCGAAUUAAAGUGCAUAACGUUUCGAAUUUUUAUUUUAAAGUCACCAUUUGGUUUUGCAAAUUUUCUAAACUCCGAAGUAUUUUUUUUGUUGAGUUUUUCGUUCGCGUUGUGUGACCUAUUGCAUAAAACUUUUUUUUUAAAAGUGGCAUUAGGUGGAACUAGGGUUCCUAUAUAUAUUAUAUAUAUAUUAGUAGUAUAUUUUUCUGCCUUGUUUUUCUCCUAGUAUUCUAGUGCAUAUAUGUAUAUUAGCACCUAUUUUUUUUCUAGUAUUUUGUUAGCUAGGAAAAUAUUUUUUUUUACUGUUUUGUUUUUUUUGUUUUUUUGCUGCUGUUAGUUUGUUUUUCAAAAAAAAGGGACCUGCCAGGCCGAGCCAAGUGGCUCAGCCCAGCCGCCACCAGCAUGCAAUCGCACGCAAGCCUGCAUGCAUGCAACCACCGCCUCCAUCUUCUCUCUCUCUCCCCACGUAUUUCUCUCUCUCUCCCCCACGUUAUUCUCUCUGCCUCUCCUCCAUUAUUUUCUUUCCUCUCUCUCCCCGUUUCCUUCUUCUCCUUCCUCCCUCUCUUUCCUAUUUUCUUUUCCCAGUCACCAAACCGAGCCAGGGAACCAGCGGGUUCCUUCCACCCCGUGCUCUCUCCCCUGCUCCUCCCUUAUUCUCUCCACCGCCUCCCUCCUCUCCUGCCCAAGCCCCCCACGUCACUUUCCUAUCUCUCCUCUCCUCUCUUUUCCUUCUCUGCACAAGCACCGAACCGAGCCCAGGAACCAGUGAUUUCUUUACCAAGUACUCCCUCUCCUCCUUCCUUUCUACUCCCUCCACCCAGCCUAUAUAUACCCCCACCCCCGAGCCACCCCUUCCCAACCCUAGCCGCCGCCGCCUCCACGAGCCGCCGCCGCCACAAGCCUCGCCGGAGCAGCAGCAGCCCGAGGCUGCGCCACCCUCGGCCUCGCCUGGGAGAACCUCCCCCGAGCUCUCUCUCUCCACCGCCGCCUCCCCCGCGGAGGAGGACCCCGCCGCCGCCUCCCCCCGAAGCCCCACCGCCCCCGGAGCUCCCUCCUCGCCNNNNNNNNNNNNNNNNNNNNNNNNNNNNNNNNNNNNNNNNNNNNNNNNNNNNNNNNNNNNNNNNNNNNNNNNNNNNNNNNNNNNNNNNNNNNNNNNNNNNNNNNNNNNNNNNNNNNNNNNNNNNNNNNNNNNNNNNNNNNNNNNNNNNNNNNNNNNNNNNNNNNNNNNNNNNNNNNNNNNNNNNNNNNNNNNNNNNNNNNNNNNNNNNNNNNNNNNNNNNNNNNNNNNNNNNNNNNNNNNNNNNNNNNNNNNNNNNNNNNNNNNNNNNNNNNNNNNNNNNNNNNNNNNNNNNNNNNNNNNNNNNNNNNNNNNNNNNNNNNNNNNNNNNNNNNNNNNNNNNNNNCCACUGUGCUGGAAAGUCUCUCUCUCCACCGCCGCCUCCCCCGCGGAGGAGGACCCCGCCGCCGCCUCCCCCCGAAGCCCCACCGCCCUCGGAGCUCCCUCCUCGCCGGCCAUCUCCAUUCUUGCCGGUGCAAGCUACAGCCAGCAGGUAGCUAUCCAUCUCUCUCUCUCUAUUUGCAUGCAUCUCAUCCUAGCCUUUAGAUCUCCAUGCAAUGGCUAGGAUUAGAACACUAGUAACCCUUCGGUUUAUUCCGGAAAACCAUUAGGUUCUUUUAGCCACUUAUGCAUUAACCGGCGACCUUGUUAGCCUUAGGCCAUUUGCUCGAAGUCACGAAACAAACAGCCACUACAGCCCGUAGAAUCUUGCCACGUGUGCCUCUUUUUAGCACUAGCAGUUUUGUAACUUUCUGCCCAGAUUUCGAAAACAGAAACUUUCAAUCUUGUUUUGAUCACAACUUUUUAUCCCUACGUCCAAUGACAUUGAUUCNNNNNNNNNNNNNNNNNNNNNNNNNNNNNNNNNNNNNNNNNNNNNNNNNNNNNNNNNNNNNNNNNNNNNNNNNNNNNNNNNNNNNNNNNNNNNNNNNNNNNNNNNNNNNNNNNNNNNNNNNNNNNNNNNNNNNNNNNNNNNNNNNNNNNNNNNNNNNNNNNNNNNNNNNNNNNNNNNNNNNNNNNNNNNNNNNNNNNNNNNNNNNNNNNNNNNNNNNNNNNNNNNNNNNNNNNNNNNNNNNNNNNNNNNNNNNNNNNNNNNNNNNNNNNNNNNNNNNNNNNNNNNNNNNNNNNNNNNNNNNNNNNNNNNNNNNNNNNNNNNNNNNNNNNNNNNNNNNNNNNNNNNNNNNNNNNNNNNNNNNNNNNNNNNNNNNNNNNNNNNNNNNNNNNNNNNNNNNNNNNNNNNNNNNNNNNNNNNNNNNNNNNNNNNNNNNNNNNNNNNNNNNNNNNNNNNNNNNAAGUAUUUUUACUGGUGUUUUCAACAGAAACAAGUUUCUGCCCUACCGGCGCGCGAUAAAUUCUUUUGCGUAGUCUUUUGCAAAUCUUUGCAUGUGAUGUUAUUUCUACUUGUGGCAUGAUUGAAUUGCUUAUGGUGUGCUUUGUGUUUGUAUCGGUAGAUCAUCCGGAGUGCGAAGCGUGUUACUUAGAGACGCUCGAGCAGGACAACUAUCGUCAAGGCAAGUCAUCUUUGAUCAUGUUAUUUUUACCUAUGUUUUCAAUGCAUAGUAGAUCACCUUCUUUGCCCUAUUUUGCAUGCUGCCUAGGUACUUGGAAACUUUAGUCAUAGGUGUAGUAUCAUGUGGUAGGAACACCAACACCCCGAUACUUGGCCCCGGGACGACAUUGUUAUAUAUGCUAUGCUCUAGUAGACGGGUUAUCGGUUGAGUGUAUACCACGAGUGAAUGCGAGGUUGAUAUAAUAAUCAAGACCGGACUAAGACAAGAUUUUCAAGACCUCGNNNNNNNNNNNNNNNNNNNNNNNNNNNNNNNNNNNNNNNNNNNNNNNNNNNNNNNNNNNNNNNNNNNNNNNNNNNNNNNNNNNNNNNNNNNNNNNNNNNNCCUGCGCCGCCCUCAAGCUGUCCUCCCACCUGCUGCAGCGAAUCUGGCCUUCCAAGCCCGACGCCGUUCUCGCCUUCCUCGCCGGCCUCGGCCUCUCCGGCGUUGACGUCGCUGCCCUCGUCUCCAAGGACCCACAGUUCCUCUGCGCCGGCGUGGAGAGCAACCUGCGCCCCGCCGCCGUCCGGUUCACCAGCCUCGACCUCUCGCGUUCUGAGCUCGCGCGCCUCGUCUCCAUCUGCCUUGCCGCACGGAGGCGAGCCGCGGGUCCGCGAGCUGUCGGGGUUCGAGUCCCGCGUCCAGCUAUGCGUGGUACGUCACUGCAUUUCCACUAUGGAGAGAUCAAUUUGUUCUGUGAGUGUCCACUAUACACAAGUGCGCAUAUCAGUAUGUGGUGAAUUUGGUAACUGGGAUUGGGAACGCCGACUGGGGAGACAAUAGCUGUAUUUGUGCUACUCAUAUCCUCUGAAUUGCACUUGGUCCAUUGUGGAUCCGCAGUACUUUGCUGAAACCAUUGUUUCAUGUGACAUGGAGGGACUCAUAUCCCCUUCUCAAUAAACUGAAGCUGUUUUCUGCCAGUUUUACCCAGGGUGUGUUCACCAUGUUUGCAAGGUAGUUAGUGAGCUAGUGCCUGAACUAUUAAACACAUCCGAGCUUUGUUAUGGUUUAUACUUCCUUGUGUACCAGCUUGAAUUUAGUGAUGCCAUCUGUAGGAUAACAUGCUAUGAAUCAAUAAGGAAGUUAUUGUCAUGUCUACUGGAAAGGAAAAUUGGUCAUCAUAUUAUGCAACUAUGUUUAGCUCAGAUUGAACCUUCUCAAGAACUGAAAGUUGACACAAUAUUCCAACACUUCCCAGAUAACUGAAGAAAACUGAAUUUUAAGGUUUAUUUCAGACUUGUCUCUUGCUAAAAUGUUGCAGGUCACAUAGCUCUUUCUACAAUCAUUUUUUAGUCCACUAUUAGAGAACACUGAAGGAAACUGUUCAGGGCGACGAGGAACAAUUAUCUGUUUUGAGUACUGUAGAAAACUUGUGCAGUACUCAGAACAUGUGCUCUUGUAACAAUCAGUUCUCUGUUUUGGUUGCACAUAGUAACUGUUUUGUGUAAUGAAAAAAACUGCAUUGCUGCUUGUGAUGGCUUGUGAUGAUUAUUAAUUCUUGCUGUUGAUAUCCACUACAAUAUCCUUGAAGUUUAAAAGGACCCUGUGUUUUUAGGAAAUGCAUGAAGUUCAACAAUGCACCCUGGAUAUUUAAAACCUUUGUUAACUGAGAAUACUUAAAAUGGUGCUAUGGCAGCCUCUUUGCCCUGUUUCAAUUAUUUGUCUCUAUCAUUUGUAUAUUGGGAAGAAUGCUUCAUUUGUUUACAUUAUGGUGCUAACCGGAUUCAUCUAUCAAUGAUUAUAGAUAGAAGCAGAGGAACGACUAUGGAUUUGAACUUGAUGGCUGAAGAGGAGGAAGGAGCUCGAGAGGGUCAUGNNNNNNNNNNNNNNNNNNNNNNNNNNNNNNNNNNNNNNNNNNNNNNNNNNNNNNNNNNNNNNNNNNNNNNNNNNNNNNNNNNNNNNNNNNNNNNNNNNNNGACAAAUUCUGAAAGUUCUACCACAGUAAUAUUUUAUCACUAGAAAACAGUAGCAAAAAGAAUCAACUCAAUAUCAUUUUUCAAACUCCUGGAAUAAGCAAAACAGUGUUUAAACUAAAUCUUCUCUAACUUAUAUUUACAAAUUUCAAACACAGACAAACUAUAUGUUUUUAAAAACUACAGGAAAUUUGUGAGCUACUGGAAAACGAAUCAAUGUCAUUGGACGUAGGGAUAAAAAGUUGUGAUCAAAACAAGNNNNNNNNNNGCUCUAACUUAUAUUUAAAAAUUUCAAACACAGACAAAUUAUAUGUUUUUAAAAACUACAGGAAAUUUGUGAGCUACUGGAAAAAGAAUCAAUGUCAUUGGACGUAGGGAUAAAAAGUUGUGAUCAAAACAAGAUUGAAAGUUUCUGUUUUCGAAAUCUGGGCAGAAAGUUACAAAACUGCUAGUGCUAAAAAGAGGCACACGUGGCAAGAUUCUACGGGCUGUAGUGGCUGUUUGUUUCGUGACUUCGAGCAAAUGGCCUAAGGCUAACAAGGUCGCCGGUUAAUGCAUAAGUGGCUAAAAGAACCUAAUGGUUUUCUGGAAUAAACCGAAGGGUUACUAGUGUUCUAAUCCUAGCCAUUGCAUGGAGAUCUAAAGGCUAGGAUGAGAUGCAUGCAAAUAGAGAGAGAGAGAUGGAUAGCUACCUGCUGGCUGUAGCUUGCACCGGCAAGAAUGGAGAUGGCCGGCGAGGAGGGAGCUCCGAGGGCGGUGGGGCUUCGGGGGGAGGCGGCGGCGGGGUCCUCCUCCGCGGGGGAGGCGGCGGUGGAGAGAGAGAGCUCGGGGGAGGUUCUCCCAGGCGAGGCCGAGGGUGGCGCAGCCUCGGGCUGCUGCUGCUCCGGCGAGGCUUGUGGCGGCGGCGGCUCGUGGAGGCGGCGGCGGCUAGGGUUGGGAAGGGGUGGCUCGGGGGUGGGGGUAUAUAUAGGUUGGGUGGAGGGAGUAGAAAGGAAGGAGGAGAGGGAGUACUUGGUAAAGAAAUCGCUGGUUCCUGGGCUCGGUUCGGUGCUUGUGCAGAGAAGGAAAAGAGAGGAGAGGAGAGAUAGGAAAGUGACGUGGGGGGCUUGGGCAGGAGAGGAGGGAGGCGGUGGAGAGAAUAAGGGAGGAGCAGGGGAGAGAGCACGGGGUGGAAGGAACCCGCUGGUUCCCUGGCUCGGUUUGGUGACUGGGAAAAGAAAAUAGGAAAGAGAGGGAGGAAGGAGAAGAAGGAAACGGGGAGAGAGAGGAAAGAAAAUAAGGGAGGAGAGGCAGAGAGAAUAACGUGGGGGAGAUAGAGAGAAAUACGUGGGGAGAGAGAGAGAAGAUGGAGGCGGUGGUUGCAUGCAUGCAGGCUUGCAUGCGAUUGCAUGCUGGUGACGGCUGGGCUGAGCCACUUGGCUCGGCCUGGCAGGUCCCUUUUUUUUUUAAAAACAAACUAACAGCAGCAAAAAAAGAAAAAAAAACAAAACAGUAAAAAAUUAUAUUUUCCUAGCUAACAAAAUACUAGAAAAAAUAUAGGUGCUAAUAUACAUAUAUGCACUAGAAUACUAGGAGAAAAACAANNNNNNNNNNGUGCGAUUGCAUGCUGGUGGCGGCUGGGCUGAGCCACUUGGCUCGGCCUGGCAGGUCCCUUUUUUUUGAAAAACAAACUAACAGCAGCAAAAAAACAAAAAAAACAAAACAGUAAAAAAAAAUAUUUUCCUAGCUAACAAAAUACUAGAAAAAAAAUAGGUGCUAAUAUACAUAUAUGCACUAGAAUACUAGGAGAAAAACAAGACAGAAAAAUAUACUACUAAUAUAUAUAUAAUAUAUAUAGGAACCCUAGUUCCACCUAAUGCCACUUUUAAAAAAAAAGUUUUAUGCAAUAGGUCACACAACGCGAACGAAAAACUCAACAAAAAAAAUACUUCGGAGUUUAGAAAAUUUGCAAAACCAAAUGGUGACUUUAAAAUAAAAAUUCGAAACGUUAUGCACUUUAAUUCGACGGGGGGGAGAAGUCAUAUUAUCUCCACUCGAAUAAAUUGCCCGCAGUCACAUAACGAUAAAAAUUUUCAGAAGAACGAAAUGAUGCAUAAAAUAUGAGAUGCAUAUGAAUGAUCUAUUAACAUCCGAAUUUAAGAAAAUUGGGAUGUUACAUUAAGCUAGGCAUAAAGUGCUCAAGUAAUGGAUCCACCCGGAUCCCAAGGUAUAUCAAAGCCAAUUUUAAUUAACAAUGAUUUGUAAUUCAGUAGUGAGCACAAGGUAACAUAUAUCAUGCAAUGAAGAAGUCUAACUCUCUUACUAUGCAUUGGCAUGUCAUAAAAGAACAAUUCAUGCACAUCAAGUAAAGGCCAAUACAUAGCAUAAGCAGUUUCUUGCAAUUUUAUCGUAUUGGAAACAUAGAGAGGUGGAGAUGUAGUUCCUCUCUCAUAAUAAUUGCAAGUAGGAGCAGCAAGCACAUGCAUAUUAUAUUCAUUAAAAUCAUCAUGUGUAAAAGUAGAAGGCAACCCAUCUAUGUAAUCCCUAAUAAGAGCAAACUUCUCCGAUAUAGUGUAGUUGGGAGAGUUCAAAAAGAUAAUAGGACUAUCAUAAGUGGGUGUGAUAGCAACAAUUUCAUGUUUAACAUAAGGAACUAGAGCAAGUUCAUCUUCAUAAGCAUCACUCAUAUUGGCAUCAUGGCCACAAGCAUAGCAAGCAUCAAGUUCAUCAAAAAGGGAUAUUUCAAACGAAUCCAAGGGAUCAUAGCAAUCAACAUAGCAUUCAUCCUUCGGUAAGAACGAAGGGGAAUUAAACAAUGUAUGAGUUGAAGAGUUACUCUCAUUAGAAGGUGGGCAUGGGUAGCUAGUCCGCACUUCCUCCUUUUGUUAUUCGCUCUCUUCAUCAUCUUUUUCAUCUAAUGAGCUCACAGUUUCAACAUUUUCUUCUUCCAUAGUUUCCUGCAAAAUAUUAGUCUCUUCUUGGGCAGCGUAGAAUUUCUCCAUAAAUCGAUAAAUAUGGGCAUUAUAUUCAUAAUGAGUAUAACAAUAACGAAUCAUAACCAAAUUUUUAGAUCUGUAAGGAGCAUCAUCAUUAUCAUCAUACCCUUUAAACAGAGCUUCAAUUUCAUAAGCACCCAUAAAAGAAACAAACUCUUCUAUUUGCUCCACAUCAUAGUAAUCAUAUAUACCAUUAGCAUAAGAAGCCAAGGUUUCAUUAGCAUUAAAUUUACAAGAAAAUGGAAGGUGUUUAGCCUUCAUCCUGGAGCAACAAGUAAUAUCAUAUCUCGAGCAUAGCUCCCAAGCAUACAAUUUCAACAUAUGAAUUUGAUCCCAUAAUAGUUUCCCUUUUUGAGUCAAACGAUAAUCCCUAAAGUAUUCACGUUGAUCCAACGUGUAUCCCGUUAUAUAAUUUAAUGGGGUUUUCUCAGGAUUAUUAAAGAAGUACAUAAGAUUUUCCACAUAACGAGCGUCGAGGGUUUUAGGAGGUUCCCCGUCUCCAUGAAUAGCAAGUACACCUAUUUUUUUGGUAUUUCGUGUUCCAUAUCCAUAACUAAAGAUAGAGAACAACUUAGAACAGCAAAUAAAUCUACUUAGUGAUAAAGCAAACAAGAACACACGGGAAUAUUCACCCCACGCUAUUGCUCCCCGGCAACGGCGCUAGAAAAAGGUCUUGAUAACCCACAAGUAUAGGGGAUCAAUUGUAGCCUUUCUCGAUAAGUAAGAGUGUCGACCCCAACGAGGAGCUAAAGGUAGGACAAAUAUUCCCUCAAGUUCUGUCGACCACCUAUACAACUCUAUGCACACUUUACGUUCGCUUUACCUAGAAAAAGUAUGAAACUAGAAGUACUUUGUACGAGUGAUAGGAUAGGUUUGCAAGAAAAGAAGGAACACGUAAAUAAGAACUAGGGGCUGCUAGAAACAACUACGUUAGUUUAGCGAGUGUGGAAAAGUGGUGGUAGGAGUUGCGGAAUUGUCCCUAAGCAAUUGACUAUGUUACUAGACCGAUAGCAAGUUUUAUGUGGGAGAGGCCACUGCUAGCAUGUCAUCCCUUACAUGNNNNNNNNNNNNNNNNNNNNNNNNNNNNNNNNNNNNNNNNNNNNNNNNNNNNNNNNNNNNNNNNNNNNNNNNNNNNNNNNNNNNNNNNNNNNNNNNNNNNCUCAACCAUCCAGUCGGAGACUAGCAUUCGGAGGAUACCAAGCUAACCGACUGGCUACACUCGGUACAUCGUAACCUCUCUGGAGGGAAACUGCCGUACAUUUCUGGGUGCAUUUAUUAGCAUUUAGAGCAUACGUUACCUGUAACGUACGCAUUCAAUCCCCAUUACUCCACCCCUGUAUCGGAAUCGUUGUGGAGGGCAGCGCACUCUAUAUAAGACGCCCUCCCCCACUGGUAGAGGGGUUAGCAAAUCAUUGUAUUCCAUAUUCCACUCGACAGCAAGCUCCGAGAGCACUAAGACGUAGGGCUGUUACCUCCACCGCUGAGGGGACCGAACUCAUACAACCUCGCCGUAGCUAGGACUCUGCCCAUCUCAUUCGUAACCUACACAUCUACUGUCAGGCUUAUACCCACGACAGUUGGCGCCCACCUUGGGGUAGGCGUCUAAGCGACUUCCGGCGAGUUUGCGACUACUUCCUUUCGUCAUGUCGUCCGGUGGAGGUUCGAGCAUGGGUCACCAGAUCUUCUUCGGCGCUCUCUCCUUCAUCGUCGAUGAUUCGGCAUGGCUUCGGGAUGCGCCCCUCGACAUCGAGGCGCUUCCCCGUUGCGGCGCUACGCAGUUCCGUGCCGGCGCCCGCGGCAUUCUUCUUCUCCAGCGGUCGGCUCCGGUGUCGACCUACACCGCGGUCACGCGCCGCGUCAAGCGGUCCCGCCGUCCGCGGCUCCAGCGUUGGGUGCAACACGCCCAGGCGCGCCAGAACGCAUCUUCGCAAGUGGCGGUUCUUGAGUCCGUUGUGGUUGCCCCGUCGUCCCAGCAUUCGGACUCGGUUCCGACUGAGUUUCCUUCCGAGUAUGCGGGUCACGGGCCCGCAGCAGAAGUACACAUGGCCAACUCCCAUGAAGAUCCCCGUCAGGCUGGCCGAAACGAGCACGAGAUCGGCGAAGCAUCCGGCGCACGUCGUCCACCUCGCCGUUCUGCUAGUCGGCACACUCGGCGGAGCAAUGUGGAGCUGUUCCGCACACCACUCCUCAACUUGGCUGCAGCUGCCAAGAUAGCCGAUUCCCUCCAGCCGACUAAUUCAGAGGUUGGUAGAGGAAUCGAGCAGAUCCGAGCCCUGUUGCACACGGCGCAGCAGCAGAAUUCUGCGCUCUCCCAGUCGCACAACCGGAUCUAUAAUAGUUCCCUCCACGCGAAUACGCAUCGGUCGGUUCACAGCCCUGGUUCCCAUCAGCGCCACAGGGGAGGCAGUCGUUCCAUGAUUCAUGAAGAUCGCCGCCGCUCACGCACCCCUCCGCGGGGUGGCCCAUAUGGGUCCCGACAUCAUGAUGAUCGGCGUUCAGUCAGCGACACUUACGACCCAAGACCCGACGCAAGAGCACAUAUUGCCCAGCGAAGAGUCGACAGAGGUCGAACCCACCGCGAUGGUCGCGAUACCGACCGUCCGAGUGGAAGCAGGGCCAUCGUGUCUGGUCCCGAGUGUUUCAGUUGAGCCAUCUGUUCGGCUGACAUCCCUCCCAACUUCCGGUUGGUGACAGGAAUUAGCAAGUUCACAGGAGAGUCCAAGCCAGAAACGUGGCUGGAUGACUACCGAGUGGCGGUCCAGAUCGGAGGAGGGGACGACCAUGUCGCCACGAAGCACCUCCCUCUGAUGCUCGACGGCUCGGCGCGAGCGUGGCUAAACCAGUUGGCCCCCUCAAGCAUCUACAGAUGGGAAGAGCGUUCAUCAGGACCUUCGAAGGGACGUGCAAGCGCCCUGCUGGCCUUGUGGACCUCCAGCACUGCGUCCAGAAGCAGAAUGAGCCCCUGCGUGACUUCAUCCAGCGCUGGACAAUUCUCUAUCACACGGUGGAGAACGUCACCGAGCAUCAAGCAGUCUGCGCUUUCAAGGCAGGCGUGCGGUACAGGGAUCUGUACCUGAAGUUCGGCUGAACAGGCGACAUCUCCAUGAGCAAGAUGAUGGAGAUAGCAACACGCUACGCAAAUGGCGAAGAAGAGGACCGCAUCCGGAGCGGCAAGCACAAAACAGUCGCUGAUGGCGAUGGGAGCAACACUCGGAAGCAGAAGCAGAAAGCUCCGACCGCUCCGCAAGCGGAGGCUGCAGCCGUAACCAAUGCCAAGUUCAAGGGUAAAGGGAAGGCUCAGUUCACACCCAAGAAGAAGAAGUUCAAUAACCCCAUCCUGGACCAGCCAUGUACGGUUCAUACGAAGAUGGACGAAGAAGGCAACCCCAUAUAUGCGAAGCAUACCACUCGACAGUGUCGCCUCUUGAUCCAGGGGUUCAGCGAAGGGCAACCGAGUGAGAAGGACCAUGAACAGGAUGAGGAGGAUAAGGAGGAUCCGUUCCCCCAAGUCCAUGCAACCCUGAUGAUCUUUGCUGACGUCGAGAGCAAGAGCCGACUGAAGCUGGUGAACAUGGCCACCCCUUCCAACCCCAAAUUCCUCAAAUGGUCUCAGACUGCGAUCACCUUCGACCAGUCGGAUCAUCCGGCACAUGUACCCACCCCGGGGAGAUAGGCCCUAGUCGUCGACCCGGUGGUAGAAGGAGUCCGACUGCACAAAGUCCUCAUGGAUGGCGGCAGCGGCUUGAACAUCAUGUACGCUGACACCCUCAAGGGGAUGGGCAUCCCGAUGUCCAAACUCAGCGAGAGCAGCAUGCAGUUCCACGGAGUCGUCCCUGGACGGAAGGCCAAGUCACUCGGCCAGAUCGCGUUGGACAUCGUUUUUGGCUCCGACAAGAACUUCCGCAAGGAAAAGCUGACGUUCGAAGUGGUUGACUUCCAGAGCGCUUAUCACGCAAUUCUGGGUCGCCCAGCGUAUGCGCACUUCAUGGCCCGUCCAUGUUACGUGUACCUGAAGCUAAAGAUACCAGGCCCGAAAGGUGUGAUCACCAUCACAGACAAUCGGCAGCGGGCUGAAGAGUGUCUGCAGCAGGGAUCAAGAAUCACCGACGAGCAGAUGGCCGUCCUCGAGCUGGACGAGUACAAGAAAACAGUCGACCCCGCCGACCUGAUGCGCUCGAAGAAGCCGGCUUCAGAGUCUGCAUUUCAGUCAGCGGGAGAGACGAAGAAGGUCAGCAUCCACCCGACGGACGCCACUGCUGCCCCGACGAACAUCUCCACCACCCUCGAUCCUAAAUAGGAAGCCGAGCUCACCUAAUUCCUCCGUGCGAACUGGGACAUCUUCGCAUGGAAACCCUCUGACAUGCCAGGUGUACCCAGGGAGUUGGCUGAGCACCGACUGCACGUGGAUUCCACGGCUCGGCCUGUCCGAGAGCGCCUGCGCCGGGCCGCCGCGCACAAGAGGAAGGCAAUCGGGGAAGAGGUGGCCAAGCUGUUGGUAGCCAACUUCAUUCGCGAGGUUCACCACUCCGAGUGGUUCGCCAAUGUUGCCAUGGUGCCCAAGAAGGACAAGUCGCUCUGAAUGUGCAUCGACUUCAAGCAUCUCAAUAAGGUCUGCCCGAAAGACCAUUUUCCGCUCCCCCGCAUAGAUCAAAUUGUCGAUUCAACUGCGGGCUGCGAGCGUCUAUCAUUUCUCGAUGCCUACUCGGGCUAUCAUUAGAUCCGUCUGUAUGGCCCCGAUGAGUUAAAAUCAGCCUUCAUCACCCCAUUCGGAUGCUUCUGCUACAUCACUAUGCCAUUCGGUCUGAAGAAUGCAGGAGCUACCUUUAUGCGCAUGAUCCAAAAAUGUCUCCUCGAUCAGAUCGGUCGCAAUGUGGAGGCAUAUAUGGAUGAUAUCGUAGUCAAGUCACGCAAAGGUUCCGACCUGCUGACUGACUUGGCAGAAAAAUUGCCAACCUUCGUAGGUACAAUAUCAAGCUCAACCCAGCCAAAUGUUCAUUCGGUGUUCCCAGCGGAAAGUUACUCGGUUUCUUCGUUUCCGAAUGAGGGAUCGACGUCAACCCCGAAAAGAUCGGGACCAUCGUCCGAAUGGAGAGGCCGGUCCGAAUACACGAUGUUCAACGGCUCACAGGUUGCCUAGCGGCUUUGAGGAGGUUCAUCAGUCGACUCGGCGAAAAAGCACUUCCUCUGUACCGACUCGUGAAGAAAUCAUAUACUUUCGAGUGGACAGAUGAGGCCCAAGUCGCAUUCGACGACCUCAAAGUCCUGCUUUCCACCCAGCCGGUUCUUACUGCUCUGCUCAGUAAAGAGCCCCUUCUUCUGUAUAUCGCGGCUACAAAUCAAGUCAUCAGUACCGUUCUUACAGUCGAACAAGAUGAAGAAGGCAAAGCAUACAAAGUUCAGCGGCCAGUGUACUACGUAUCCGAAGUCUUGACCCCUUCCAAGCAGAGGUAUCCCCAUUAUCAAAAACUUAUCUACGGGAUUUACAUGACUGCGAAGAAAGUGGCCCAUUAUUUCCAAGACCACUCGGUGUCUGUCGUUUCUGAUGCUCCAUUGUCGGAAAUUCUCCACAAUCGAGAUGCGUCAGGCCGAGUGGCGAAGUGGGCGAUGGAGAUGCUGUACUGUGACAUCAAGUUCGAGGCCAAGAAAGCUAUUAAGUCUCAAGCUCUCGCUGACUUCAUAGCAGAAUGGGUAGAACAACAGCAACCGACCCACAUCUGCUCGGCCCAUUGGACAAUGUUCUUUGAUGGGUCCAAGAUGUUGAAUGGCUCCGGCGCUGGCGUUGUGAUCAUAUCACCAAAGGGAGACAAGCUCAAGUACGUGCUUCAGAUACACUUCGAUUCCUCCAACAAUGAGGCGGAGUAUGAAGCUCUCUUCUACGGGUUGCGUAUGGCCAUCUCACUCGGUGUCCGUCGCCUGAUGGUCUACGGCGAUUCAGAUCUGGUGGUCAAUCAAGUGAUGAAAGAGUGGGACGUCAGAAACCCCACCAUGACUACAUACUGCAAUGCAGUGAGGAAGCUUGAGAAGAAGUUUGAAGGUCUAGAACUUCACCAUGUUCCAAGACUGAAGAACCAAGCAGCUGACGAGUUAAAAAAACUCGGAUCCACUCGGAGACCAGUCCCGAGUGACGUCUGCCUCGAGCACCUCCACCUCCCCUCAGUCAAAGAAGAUCCUUUCACAGAGGAACCAGUACAACCCAAGAGCACAACAGAUCCGACUGAAGUCGAUGUACCUGCUGUGGUUGAUCUGGUCAUGGAGAUUCUGGCUGUCAUUCCCGAUUGGACUGUGCCGAUCAUGGCAUAUAUCUUGAGGCAAGAACUUCCAGAAGACGAAGUCCAAGCCAGGCAGAUAGUCCGCAGGUCGAAGUCAUUCACUGUCAUUGAUGGCCAAUUGUACAAGGAAAGUAUCUCAGGCGUUCUUCAACGAUGCAUCUCCCCAGAGGAGGGGCAACUGAUUCUGGAGGAUAUUCACUCGGGGACCUGCGGUCAUCACGCUUCUUCGAGAGCAAUCGUCGCCAAGGCAUUCAGGGCUGGCUUCUUUUGGCUGCAGACUAACGAGAUGGCUAAGGAUAUGGUUGAUCGAUGUGAGGGCUGCCAGUUCUACUCCAACAAGUCUCACAAGCCAACGUCUGCGUGGAAGACGAUCCCUCUGGUGUGGCCGUUUGCAGUGUGGGGAUUAGAUACAGUCGGCCCAUUCAAGACAGGCCAAGGUGGAUACACACAUCUGUUGGUGGCAGUCGACAAGUUCACGAAAUGGAUCGAAGCGAAGCCCAUCAAGAAGCUCGACGCCUCAACAGCCGUCAAGUUUGUCACGGACAUCAUCUUCAGAUUCGGUGUACCUCACAGUAUAAUCAUAGACAAUGGGACAAACUUUGACUCGGACAGAUUCAAAGGUUUCUGUACAAGCCAAGGCAUCCGAGUGGAUUUUGCUUCCGUAGCACAUCCUCAGUCCAAUGGACAAGCAGUGCGGGCAAACGGACUUAUUUUGCAAGGUUUGAAGCCCCGACUCCUGCGAGAAAUAGGACAUGCCGCUGGCGCUUGGGUUACCGAGCUACCUUCAGUGCUUUGGGGACUUCGCACAAGCCCGAACAGAUCUACAGGGCGAUCACCGUUCUUCCUCGUUUAUGGAGCAGAAGCGGUCCUUCCGAGUGACUUGCUUCACAAUGCGCCACGAGUCGAACUCUUCUCCGAAGUCGAAGCAGAACAAGCAAGGCAAGACGGAGUGGAUCUUCUGGAGGAGGAGCGCGAGAUGGCGUUAACUCGCUCGACCAUUUAUCAACAAAAUCUACGGCGUUUUCAUGCACGCCACGUCAGAAGUCGCACGUUCCAAGCAGGCGAUCUGGUGCUCCGAGUGGAUCAGCAAAGACCUCACAAGUUGGCUCCGGCCUGGGAAGGACCCUUCAUCAUCUCCAAGGUGCUGAACAACGGAGCAUACAGACUCUACAACAUCGAGAGGGAGACAGACGAGCCGCGUGCAUGGAACGGAGCUCUCCUGAAGCGCUUCUACACGUGACCGUCGACUCAAGCAAUGUAAAGAACAAGUGUUGGCGAAAUAAUAUAAAGCAGAUUGAGUUUUUUGCAGGUUCAAAGUUCUUCCGCGGUCGCAGACUUCGGUCUCAAAAAAAAACUUAGCUGCUAUCCAGAAUCGCCUAAGUAUUAACCUUCUCCGAGUGUGCACUACACGUCACACUCGGGGGCUUAGCUGCGAUCCAGCAUCGCCUAAGUACUAACUAUCUCCGAGUGUGCACUACACGUCACACUCGGAGGCUUAGCUGCGAUCCAGCAUCGCCUAAGUACUAACUAUUUCCGAGUGUGCACUACAUGUCACACUCGGGGGCUUAGCUGCGAUCCAGGAUCGCCUAAGUAUUAACCUUCUCUGAGUGUGCACUACACGUCACACUCGGGGGCUUAGCUGCGAUCCAGAAUCGCCUAAGUAUUAACCUUCUCCGAGUGUGCACUACACGUCACACUUGGGGGCUUAGCUGUGAUCCAGAAUCGCCUAAGUAUGAACCUUCUCCGAAUGUGCACUACACGUCACACUCGGAGGCUUAGCUGCGAUCCAGCAUCGCCUAAGUACUACCUAUCUCCGAGUGUGCACUACACGUCACACUCGGGAGCUUACCUGCGAUCCAGAAUUGCCUAAGUACUACCUAUCUCCGAGUGUGCACUACACGUCACACUCGGGAGCUUAGCUGCGAUCCAGAAUCGCCUAAGUACUAACUAUCUUUGAGUGUGCACUACAUGUCACACUCGGGGGCUUAGCUACGAUCCAACAUCGCCUAAGUACUAACUAUCUCCGAGUGUGCACUACACGUCACACUCGGGGGCUUAGCUGCGAUCCAGAAUCGCCUAAGUAUUAACCUUCUCCGAGUGUGCACUAAACGUCACACUCGGGAGCUUAGCUGCGAUCAAGAAUCGCCUAAGUAUUAACCUUCUCCGAGUGUACUCUUAACGUACACUCAGAGACUUAGGAAAUUCCACGGACCCUCAAUGAGGCUCACGCAGAUGUCAAAACAACUGACAUGUUCCGAAUGUUUGCCUUUGGCUUCACCAAGAAACGCCAAACAAAAACCCGAAUCAAAAUUGCAACAGAACAGCAAAAAUUCGAUUCAAAGCUCUAGCAAAGAUAGUUUACUCGGUGCGGAUCAAGCUUACCCGCACCGAUCUAAGAAUGUGACGGCCAACAGCAGUGGCCAGAGUUUCUUAUAGAUUAACACUCGGCAUACCGAGGAUAAAGUUUUUUCAAGCGUCAGCUGGGUUGGCGCCAGGACUGGAGGGCUCCACGAAGGUGUCCAAGUCGAUUCCGUCGGCGAUGCGGGUAGCACUCUCAAGGAACGUCUCCAUGAAGUCUUCGAAUCGAAGCUUCUUCGUGUUGGCGACCUUCAGUGUCUUCAACUUCUCCUCACACACCUCCUUGCAAUGGACUCGGACCAGGGACAGAGCAACAUCUGCACCGCAACGAGCUGUAGAUUUCUUCCACGACUGCACUCGGUUGGGAAUCUCCUCCAGUCGGGCCAUCAGGUUCUCCAUCUCCUGCCGCGACUCAUCCUCUAGCCAAAGUUCCUUCUCAAUUCGGCCGACGACCUCUCUCAGUCGACCGAUGAAAGGACCCACUUUGCCUAUGCGGAUAUGCGCCCGGAGCAGAUCCCGAUUGGCGUCCUCGCCGAGUGGCACGUUGUCACGAAUGGACCGCUCCACGUCCGCCGCUUCAGCUUCAGCAUCAAUGCAAAAGUCUGCAACAAAAGGGCAAGCAUUUAAUAAACGUCGAGUGUCACGCACACAGUACCAGCACUCGGCAAAACAUAAGACUUACCAGCCAGACGCCUCAUCAUCUGCCCAGCCCAGUCGCUGACAUACUUCUCCUGAGCGGUGCAUCGCUUAUUCAGGACGACAAUCUGAUUCGUGAGAGCAGUCCUCUGUUUCUUCAUUUUUUCCACUUCCUCUGUCAACACCUUGUUCGCUUCACGCGCCUCCUCCAAGUACUUCUCUCGUUCCUCCAGAGCAUCCUUCAUGCCGGCCAUUGCGAGCAUAGCCGCAUCAAGCUCCGCAGCGAAUUGGUUCCUCUCCGCUCUGAGAGCCUCAUAGGCCGUCCCCAUUUCACAAGUUUUCUCCCACCAAGCACCAAGGAGCAAUCAGAAAGUUCAACAGUUAAAAGUCUAAGUUCUUCAGACCACUGCCGACGCUAGUAGUCGACAGCGGUCUCGGGGACUACACCCAGUGGGUUCACUAAGAGUGAGCCCACUGGCAUGCAGCUCAAGCAGGCUUGCCCCAUUGAGAUGCAUGUUAUCACCUACGCUUACGAGGCCAAUAAUACCCGACCUGAGUACAAAUUACUAUCGGGGACUCUUACAGUAAGUGCACUCCGAGUGCCACAACUACGCGCACUCGGUCAUGUUAUUUACAGACCUGACCAAAGCACAGACAGAAGUCUCGGGGACUACACCCACCGGGUUCACUAAGAGUGAACCCAUUGUGAACAACAGAUGCUAUCCAAAAACACUCGGUGGGUUACAAGAGAAAAGUAAAUACUUACUAGCCCACUCACUCGGAUAUCAUCCCGCAGCUCCAGGCUCCGCUGGUACAAGGACGUGACGGAAUCGUAGGUCCUCUUGGCCUCCCGAGCCAUCAGCUCCGCCUGCACCAUGGCUCCCUUGGCCGCUCCCACCUGCUCCUCCGGGGGACGCCGGAUGUUGAACUCGGCAUUCGACGAGCCUGGCAUCGUCGGAAGCUCCUGAGGCAUCCCGAGGUCCGCUCCAGUCGGCACCUCAACCACCAGUGCCGGUUAGUCGGCGGCAGCGCCUCAGUCGCCAGCACGUCGGCGGCGAGAGCGGCAGUGGGAGGAGCAGCCUCAAGAACAGGCUCCACGGCUGGGUCAGCUCUCCUCUGGUCCCCCUCGUCCAGGCAAAUCGCCCAUGACAGGCCGAAUGGCACAAGGUCUCAGAAAAAGAAAGAGGCAGAUCCUAUGGUAGAAUAAAACACUCGGAGUCACUACAACACACCUGGCUGGGACGAGACGACGUUGUACGUGUCCAUGGGGUCAUCUUCUUGACGCGCCAUAGAGGUGGCAGAAGUAGCGACUCUGUCGAGUAAAAUCCAUUCGACCAAUGAACAAAGAAUUCACUCGGAUAUCAGAAGAAAUUAGAGGAUCGAUACACUUAUGUGGAGGUGACGGGGACAUCAACCCUCAUCCGCGGCAGAGACUUCCGAGGUUUGGACCCACUCGGUCUGGCCGGCUUGGAAGACUGACCCGUAGGCUCAGCGGCAGCAUCCCUGGCCCUUUUGGUGCUCCGAGCACUCGGGACCACCGGGGCAGUAGGCGGAGCACUCGAAGAUGCUGGAGGGGCCGAGGGAACGACAGGCUCAUGUCGGCGCUUGGUCCGAUGCUCUGUUUGUGGAGGCGGAGAGUCCUGCUCUUCGUCUUCCUCGUCUUCCUCGCUGGUCUCUUCCUCCGACCCCCCGCUCUCGGAGACAUAUUCAGCGCUCUCCAUGCUGCCCUCCUGGCUGCCUUCCUCCUCCUCGGCCGGGUUCCCGUUCGAGACGGGAGAAAACCAGUUGGUCCACUCCUGCAUAAAAUUCAGUCGGCGACAUCAGACAUCACACAGAGAUAUAGACAAACGACAAGAAUUAAGACAGUUCAGUGCACUCGACAAGUGUCACUCACCUGAUUCGGUGGAGGAUGAUCCGCGCUGUAAGGCUUCACUCGCCGAGAUCCUUUGGGAUUCUCGCAAGGGCCCGUGAUUUGGAGCACCCACGAGGUCACCCUCUCCUCAGUCACGCCCACCACAUUGGUCCGAGUGGAAUCUUCGGGCCCCGUGUAAUGCCACAUGGCAUGGUCGCGAGCCUGCAGAGGCUGGAUCCGCCGACCAAGGUAGACCUCCAGCAAGUCUAUGCCGGUGACCCCCCUCCUGACGACGUCCACGAGUGCCUCAACCAAGGGCUGGAUGUCGAUCAUCUCCGCCUUCGAGAGCGCGAGUUGCUUAGGCGGAGCGGGCCGAUCUAAACUAAAAGGAGGCAGCCCAGUCGACGCAUUCGGACAGGCGAUAUCCUGGCAGUAGAACCACGUCGUCUGCCAGUUCCUGACCGACUCAAUUAACUGAAGAGCAGGAUAACUACUCCGACUCUUCUUCUGAAAGCCUAAGCCCCCGCAGAGCUGGAGGAGAUGCGUCUUAUCAUCCGACUGGCUAAGUCGUUUGAUGGUUUGGGAUCUGGCGGAAAAGAUGUGUUUGAACAAACCCUAAUGGGGAGGGCAGCCGAUGAAACACUCGCACAAAACUAUAAAGGCAGAAAGAUGGGCGAUGGCAUUCGGAGGAAAAUGGUGAAGUUGGGCCCCGAAGUGAUUCAUGAUGCCCUUGAAGAAAGGAUGCGGGGGCAAAGAAAAACCUCGGUGGACGUGGCUGAGGAGCAGGACACGCUCCCCCUCCCGAGGCGCUGGCUCGACCUCGUCCUCCGCCGGUAGCCUCCAGGACUUAUGAACGAUCAUUCCGUGCUCCACCAGCUGCAGCAGAUCCCCCUCCGUCACCGUGGAGGGGAGGAAGUCGCCCUGAAUCCACCCCGCCGGCAGCGGCCGCUGCCGCCGCUAAGCAGGCGCCGCCGCCUUGCCCUUCUUCUUCCUCGCCUCCAUCUUGCUGGUCUAACCCUUGGUCAUGGAGGCGACGGCGAACCCUCGGGAGGAAGGAGAAGGAAGGAGUGUAGGAGCACUAGAGGUGGCGAGGAAGAUGGAGCAGGCGAGAGCGAAAUAUUCGGGGAGCGUAACAAAGAAGCCUCGCCGCCGAGAUUUAAAUAGGGUUCCGACUGGGUCACUGGCGGGUGGCCCCGAAACCUUAUCCGCCCGAUCGGCCGCGGCGAUAUAAGUGGAGGAGUUGAAGGCGCGAGAAUCGAGGCGUCAGGCGCUACUCGAGCGCUCCGGCGUCAUCCCAGCUGGACGCCCGGAAACCGAAAUUUGAAGAUCCCGGAAAAUCCGCCGCUGCCAGUUGACCGGUCGCGUCAAAAGAUGCUGCGGAAGCACUCGGCUUCCGACAGUCUGUUUCGCGAGUACUUCCACUCGGAUCGUUGGUCAGAAAAGAUAAAAUGGAUAGAGGCAAGCAACGCCCAAGCCAAAUCUGUUCCAGUCGGAACCAAACUUCAAGCACCGCUUCGUCGUUUCAACCCCAAUCCAUUCGGGGACUAAUGAUGGGGUCAUAGUCCUAGGGUAGGGUCAUAGGCCUGUCAUAUAGGUCCUACCCAAGGACUACCCCUCACAAAGGACAAGGCCCUAGUCAGUCCCGACUGAAUUAAGGGGUCCCCAUCAUCCAGUUGGUAACAGGUCCUCAACCAUCCAGUCGGAGACUAGCAUUCGGAGGAUACCAAGCUAACCAACUGGCUACACUCGGUACAUCGUAACCUCUCUGGAGGGAAACUGUCAUACGUUUCCGGGUGCAUUUAUUAGCAUUUAGAGCAUACGUUACCUGUAACGUACGCANNNNNNNNNNNNNNNNNNNNNNNNNNNNNNNNNNNNNNNNNNNNNNNNNNNNNNNNNNNNNNNNNNNNNNNNNNNNNNNNNNNNNNNNNNNNNNNNNNNNUAGGGCGAAUUCUAUACACUUACGAUUGCAACUAUUAGCAAGCAUCCGCAACUACUAAUGUUCAUUAAGUUAAAACCCAACCAUAGCAAUAAGAUAUAUUGGUCCCCUUUCAAUCCCAUAUGCAUCAAUUUCUAUGCUAGGCUGAAGCUUCUGUCACCCUUGCCCUCCAAUAUAUAGUCCUAUUAACAUACUACUAACCCUAUGGUGUGAUCCACGGGCGCGCUCAUAUGAUGGGCACCAAAGGACACCAACAUAACCACAAGCAAAUUAAACCAAUCAUAGCAAUUCAUCAAUCACCGAUAGGACAACAAAAAUCUACUCAGUCAUCAUAGGAUGUCAACACAUCAUUGGAUAAUAAUAUGAAGCAUAAAGCACCAUGUUCAAGUAAAUUAUACAGCGGGUUGCGGGAGAGUGGACCGCUGAAUAUAGAUGGGGGAAGGUGAUGGAGGUGUUGGUGAAGAUGACGGAGGUGUUGGUGUAGAUCACCGUCACACGAUGAUGUCCCGGGCGGCGUUCCAGCGCCACCGGGAGAGAGGGGGAGAGCCCCCCUCUUAUUCUUCUUCCUUGACCUCCUCCCUAGAUGGGAGAAGGGUUUCCCCUCUGGUCCAUGGUCUCCAUGGCGGCAGAGGGGCGAGAGCCCCUCCGAGAUUGGAUCUCUCUCUGUGUGUCCUUCUGUUUCUGCGCUCCCAGAUUUUGCCUUUCACCGUUUCUUAAAUUCCGGGAGAUCCGUAACUCGGAUUGGGCUGAAAUUUUAACACGAUUUUCUUACGAAUAUUAGCUUUAUUGCGGAGAAAGGAGGGCCCCAACCUCCUUAUAUAUUAGUCACAAGCCUGCCAGGUGCGGCCGCACCCCGGGCUGCGGCUACGGGACUUGUGACCCCCUCGGGCAUCGUUUCGCAUAGAUUCUUCUUCCAAAAAUCAUAAAUAUUCCAAAUAAAAUCCCCAUAUGUUUUUUAUUUCAUUUGGUAUGGUUAAUCUGCGAAACAAAAAACAUGCAACAACCAGGAACUGGCACUGGGCACUGGAUCAAUGUGUGAGUCCCAAAAAUAGUAUAAAAAGUUGCCAAAAGUAUAUGGAAGUUGUAGAAUAUUGGCAUGAAACAAUCAAAAAUUAGAGAUACGAUCAAGACGUAUCAAUCAUCAUUAUUAGAGUAUUGUCCCGUGUGAGGAAAUAAAAAAAGAGGCCAAAGAGCCCAAAUAAAAAAGGAGAAAACAAAAAAAGAGAAAAAAGGAGGCCCAAGAGCCAAAAAAAGAGAAAAAAGAGAGAAGGGACAAUGCUACGAUCUUUUCCACACUUGUGCUUCAUAAUAGCACCAUGUUCUUCAUGAUUGAGAGCUUCUUGCUUUGUCACUACCGUAUGCUAGUGGGAAUUUAUAUAGCUUGGCUUGUAUAUUCCAAUGAUGGGCUUCCUCAAAUUGCCCUAGGUCUUCGUGAGCAAGCAAGUUGGAUGCACACCCACUAGUUCUCCUUUUGAGCUUUCACAUACUUAUAGCUCUAGUGCAUCCCUUGUAUGGAAAUCCCUACUCAUUCACAUUGAUAUCUAUUAAUGGCCAUCUCCAUAGCCUUUUGAUACGCCGAGUCAAUGUGACCAUCUCCUCCUUUUUGUCUCACAACCACCACCACACUCUAUACCACCUAUAAUGCUAUAUCCAUGGCUCACGCUCAUGUAUUGCGUGAUAGUUAUAUAAAGUUUGAGAAAGUAAGAGUGCAAAAACAAUUACUUGGCCAAUACCGGGGUUGUGCAUGAUCUACAUUAGUUGUGUGAGGAUGAUGGAGCAUAGCCAGACUAUAUGAUUUUGUAGGGAUAACUUUCUUUGGCCUCGUUAUUUUGAAAGUUCAUGAUUACCUUGCUAGUUUGCUUGAAGUACUAUUGUUUUCAUGUCAAUAGAAAACUAUUGUUUUGAAUCUUACGGAUCUGAACAUUCAUGUCAUAUGAAAGAAGUUGCAAAGGACAACUAUGCUAGGUAGCAUUGAACUUCAAAACUUCAGUGUUUAUCACUUCCCUACUCGAGGACGAGCAGGAGUUAAGCUUGGGGAUGCUUCAUACGUCUCCAACGUAUCAAUAAUUUUUGAUGGUUUCAUGCUAUUAUCUUGUCAAACUUUGGACGUUUUAUAUGCCUUUUAUAUCUUUUUGGGACUAACUUAUUAACUCAAUGCCAAGUGCCAGUUCUUGUUUUUUCGUGUUUUUGACCCUUUUCAGAGGAAGAUUUGAAACGGAGUCCAAACGGAAUAAAAUCCCCGAAAAUAUUUUUUCCGAAACAAAAGAAGAUCGGGAGACGUGAGAACCAAGGUAGGGGGUCCCCAGGGACCCCACAAGCCCCUCAGCCCUGGCCAGGGGGGAGGCCGGGCCUCAAGGGCUUGUGGGCCCCUGGACCUCCUUUUUUCUAGGUUUUGCGCCUAUAUAUUCCCUAAAAUCCCAAAAAAAUCAGGAGAUCAUCGAAAAUACUUUUCCGCCAUCACAAGCUUCUGUCUCUGCAAGAUCCCAUCUGGGGCACAUUCUGGUGCCCUGCCGGAGGGGAGAUUCGGACACGGAGGGCUUCUUCAUCAACACCAUGACCUCUCCGAUGAUGCGUGAGUAGUUCACCAUAGACCUACGGGUCCAUAGUUAGUAGCUAGAAGGCUUCUUCUCUCUCUUGGAUCUUCAAUACAAAGUUCUCCAUGAUCUUCAUGGAGAUCUAUCCGAUGUAAUCUUCUUUUGCGGUGUGUUUGUCGAGAUCCGAUGAAUUGUGGAUUUAUGAUCAGCUUAUCUAUGAAUUUUCUUAUGAUCUCUCUUAUGCAUGAUUUCAUAUCCUAGUAAUUCUCUUCAAGUUGUGGGUUUUGUUUGGCCAACUAGAUCUAUGAUUCUUGCAAUGGGAGAAGUGCUUGGUUUUGGGUUCAUACUGUGUGGUGACCUCACCCAGUGACAGAAGGGGUAGCGAGGCACGCAUCGUGUUGUUGCCAUCAAGGGUAAGAAGAUGGGGUUUCAUCAUUGGUUUGAGAUUAUCCCUCUACAUCAUGUCAUCUUGCUUAAGGUGUUACUCUGUUCGUCAUGAACUCAAUACACUAGAUGCAUGAUGGAUAGCGGUCGAUGUGUGGAGUAAUAGUAGUAGAUACAGAAAGUAUCGGUCUACUUGUCUCGGACCGGAUGCCUAUAUGUAUGAUCAUUGCCUUAGAUAUCGUCAUGACUUUGCGCGGUUCUAUCAAUUGCUCGACAGUAAUUUGUUCACCCACCAUAAUACUUGCUAUUUUGAGAGAAGCCUCUAGUGAACACUAUGGCCCCCGGGUCUACUCCACACGAUAUUUUCAGCCUUACACUUUUACUUCGUUGCACUUUCCGCCUUCUGAUCUCACUUUGCAAUCAAUCUUGAAGGGAUUGACAACCCCUUUUAGCGUUGGGUGCAAGCUCUUUUAUGUUUGCGCAGGUACUCUGGACUUGACGAGAUGCUCCUACUGGAUUAAUACCUUGGUUCUCAAACUGAGGGAAAUACUUACUGCUCCUGUGCUGCAUCACCCUUUCCUCUUCAAGGGAAAAACCAACGCAAGAAAGUCUCCAUCAACGUGUCAAUUUCCGGUGCUGUUGUUUGAGAAGUAGUAGAAGGAUUCUUGGCGUCAUUGAUUGGGAAGGACUUUUGUUGCCGUAGGAAUUACAAGUUCGCCAUAGCUGCAACUUCGCGUUCUUUGUUUGUGUUCUACGACCAGACAAAGGCGUCAUAUAACUCGACCUUCAUCAAUAAAGCUUUCCUCUUAUAUUCGCAAUAUCUUGAUUGCAUCUUAGUUUCUUGCUUUUCUUUGUUUGCAUGCAGGAAACAGACCUUCGUGGUGAGGUUGAUCGUGCUCCGGCGUGGUCAAUAACCUCUCGGAGUUGGUUUAGCGAUUGCUAAGGCGCGACGUCCUCACAUGUUUGUAGUCGGAUCGUCAAAGUUGACUCUACCAAAAUGAUAACCACGAUUUCAUCGAAAGACAGGGAUAACUUCGCCUCUAUCAUAUCGUUCCAUCUCAAGAACAAGAGAGAGAAAGAGAGAGAGAGAUCAAACACAUAUAUACUCAUACAUACCUCAGCCCCGAGGGUGAAGUACCCCCUCCUCAUCAUGGCCUCCAUAGAGAUGAUUAAGAUGGCCACGAGAGAUGAUUUCCCCUCUUUGUCAGGGUACUGGAAAGGCUCGAGAUGGGUUUUUCGUUGAUACAAAGAGUUGCGGUGGUUGAGCGGAAGUUCUCUCUUUAUUUCUGGGGAUCUCAUAUAUAUAGGAUUUUUCAGAUUUGGAAUCAAGCCAAACGGAGCCACGUGGGCCCCACAAGCCAUUAGGGCACGCCCUAGGGGGCACACUCCGGGGUUAGUUCCAAAUAAAUCAUAUAAAGUAAAAAAAACAUAUAAAAGUAUUGUAAACAUAUGCAAACAUGGCAUGAAUACUUCAUAAAUUAUCGAUACGUUGGAGACGUAUCACUUACUUUCAUGAGAGAUGCCACUAGGGAAAACUAUGAACCCCAGGUCUAUUCACUUAUAAGUUUACAAAUUCUACAAUACCUUGUUGUUCUUAUUUACUAUUUAUUUUAUUUUGCAUUUUUCAAUUACCUACUACCAACCACACUAAUUACAAGCUUGUAAAUUACAAGUCCAAGGGGAUUGACAACCCUCUUGCCCAUGUAGGGUGCAAGUGUUUUCUCAUUUGUGUGUAGCCGCUGAAGAUGGAGGUUGGUUGUUACUCCUAUUGUUCGAUAAACCUGGAUUCUCUACUGAGGGCAAUACUUACCUAUACUGUGUUCCAUCACCCAUUCCUCUUCACGGAAAACCCAAUGUAGAUCACAAGUAUCAGGAAUCCCCAAGAUUGAUCUUUUGUAUCUCUUUCAAUCCUCUCAUAUCCCGUUUUCUCCUAAGUCUCCAGUACUUCAUCCACACGAAACUUGAACAGAACCCGUGAGAUCGGUUAGUACAUAUAAGAAUAGAUCAACACUUCAUGUGCUGCCAAGACAAGUUGGAUAGUAAUUUCCAAACAUUACAUACUGUAUACUAUUGAUACGACCAUUUUGCAACAUGUUUUCAUGUUGAUAUUUAUCGCUUUAUGGACUGUUAUUAUACUUUGUGGUACCAUACUUAUGCCUUUUCUCUCUUAUUUUGCAAGGUUUAUUUGAAGAGGGAGAAUACCGGCAGCUGGAAUUCUGUACUGGAAAAGGAGCAAGUCUGAGUCCUCUAUUCUGCGCAACUCCAAAUGCCCUGAAAAUCAACGUGGAAUUUUUUGGGAAUAUAUAAAAAAUAUUGGGUGAAAGAAGUACCAGAGGGAAGCUGCAAGGGGCCCACAAGCCUGGUAGCCGCGGCCUGCCCCCUGGCCGCGGCUACAGGGCUUGUGGGCACCCUGGUAGCCCACCGGCCCCCCUCUUCUGCUAUAUGAAUGGUUUCGUCCAGAAAAAAACAAGGCGGAGCUUUUUCGAGGAGGCGCCGCCGCCACGAGGCGGAACUUGAGCAAAACCAAUCUUGAGCUCCGGCAUGUAGAUCCUGCCGGGGAAACUUCCCUCCCGGAGGGGGAAAUCGUCGCCAUCGUUAUCACCAACACUCAUCUCAUCGGAGGGGACUCGUCUCCAUCAACAUCUUCAUUAGCACCAUCUCAUCUCCAAACCCUAGUUCAUCACUUGUAACCAAUCUCCGUCUCGCGACUCCGAUUGGUACUUGUAAGGUUGCUAGUAGUGUUGAUUACUCUUUGUAGUUGAUGCUAGUUGGAUUACUUGGUGGAAGAGUUUAUGUUCAGAUCCUUGAUGCUACUCAUUACCUCUCUCGUCAUGAAUAUGAUUAUGCUUUGUGAGUAGUUACUUUUGUUCCUGAAGACAUGGGAUAAGUCAUGCUAAUAGUAGUCAUGUGAAUUUGGCAUUCGUUCGGUAAUUUGAUAUGUUGUAUGUUGUUUUUCCUCUAGUGGUGUUAUGUGAACGUCGACUACAUAACACUUCACCAUUAUUUGGGCCUAGAGGAAGGCAUUGGGGAGUAGUAAGUACAUGAUGGGUUGCUAGAGUGACAGAAGCUUAAACCCCAGUCUAUGCGUUGCUUCGUAAGGGGCUGAUUUGGAUCCGCUAGUUUAAUGCUAUGGUUAGACUUUGUCUUAAUUCUUCUUUCGUAGUUGUGGAUGGUUCCGAGAGGGGUUAAUCAUAAGUGGGAUGCUUGUCCAAGUAAGGGAAGUACCCAAGCGCCGGUCCACCCACAUGUCAAACUAUCAAAGUAACGAACGCGAAUGAUAUGAACAUGAUGAAAACUAGCAUGACAGAAAUUCCCUUGUGUCCUCGGGAGCGUUUUUCCUCCUAUAAGACUUUGUUCAGGCUUGUCCCCUGCUACAAAAGGGAUUGGGCCACUUUUCUACACCGUUUCUACUACUUGUUACUUGUUACUUUUCACCUGCUACGUUUCACCUCACUACACCAUCAAUUGUUACCGCUACUUCCAAUGCUUGCAGUUACUACCUUGCUGAAAACCGUUUUUCAGAGCCUUCUGCUCCUCGUUGGUUUCGACACUCUUACUUAUCAAAAGGACUACGAUUGAUACCCUAUUCUUUUGGGUCAUCAAGACUCUUUUCUGGCGCCGUUGCCGGGGAGCGAAGCGCCUUUGGUAAGUGGAAUUUGGUAAGGAAACAUUUAUAUACUAGGCUGAAAUUUAUUGUCACUUGUCACUAGGGAAACUGUUCCUUUGAGGAAUUUGUUCGGGGUAUAUUCACCACGAACGGAAGCACGAGAAGUUGCUCCUCAACCUAAGGUACCCACUGAAAAUAUCUUUUAUGAAAUUCCUUCGGGUAUGCUUGAGAAACUGCUGGCUAAUCCUUUUACAGGAGAUGGAUCUUCACAUCCAGACUUGCAUCUAAUCUAUGUAGAUGAAGUUUGUGGUUUAUUUAAGCUUGCAGGUUUGCCCGAGGAUGAGGUAAAGAAGAAAGUCUUUACUUUAUCUUUGAAGGAUAAGGCGUUGACAUGGUAUAGGCUAUGUGAUGAUACUGGAUCGUGGGACUACAAUCGGUUGAAAUUGGAAUUUCAUCAAAAGUUUUAUCCUAUGCAUUUAGUACAUCGUGAUCGGAAUUAUAUUUAUAACUUUUGGCCUCGUGACAGGGAAAGCAUAGCUCAAGCUUGGGGGAGGCUUAAAUCAAUGCUAUAUUCAUGCCCCAAUCAUGAGCUCUCGAGAGAAAUUAUCACUCAAAACUUUUAUGCUCGACUUUCUCAUGAAGAUCGUACCAUGCUUGACACUUCUUGUACCGGUUCUUUUAUGAAGAAGGAUAUUGAUCACAAGUGGAAUUUAUUGGAAAGAAUCAAACGUAACUCUGAAGAUUGGGAGCUUGAAGAAGGUAAGGAGUCAGGUAUGAAUUUCCAGUUUGAUUGCAUUAAAUCUUUUGUUGAAACAAACACUUCUAGAGAUUUUAGCGCUAAGUAUGGACUUGACUGUGAGAUAGUAGCUUCUCUAUGUGAAUCUUUUGUUGCUCAUGUUGAUCUUCCCAAAGAGAAGUGGUUUAAGUAUCAUCCUCCUGUAGAAGUCAACAUAGUUAAACCCAAUCUAGUUGAAGGGAAAGUCAUUGCCUAAAAUUAUCCUAUUGUUCCUUGUGCCUACACUAAGAAACCACCUUACCCUGCUAGGAAAAAGGAUUAUUCUAAAGCUCCAAUUGUGAUACGUAGGGGUUACAUUAGACCACUUGCACCCCUGAGGAAAUUAGAGUUGAACCUAGUGUUGUGGGUAUAAGCCUGACAGUAGAUGUGUAGGGUACGAAUGAGAUGGGCAGAGUCCUAGCUACGGCGAGGUUGUAUGAGUUCGGGCCCCUCAGCGGUGGAGGUAACAGCCCUACGUCUCAGUGCUCUCGGAGCUUGCUGUUGAGUGGAAUAUGGAAUACAAUGAUUUACUAACCCCUCUACCAGUGUGGGAGGGCGGCUUAUAUAGAGUGCGCUGCCCUCCACAACGAUUCCGAUACAGGGGUGGAGUAAUGGGGAUUGAAUGCGUACGUUACAGGUAACGUAUGCUCUAAAUGCUAAUAAAUGCACCCAGAAAUGUACGGCAGUUUCCCUCCAGAGAGGUUACGAUGUACCGAGUGUAGCCAGUCGGUUAGCUUGGUAUCCUCCGAAUGCUAGUCUCCGACUGGAUGGUUGAGGACCUGUUACCGACUGGAUGAUGGGGACCCCUUAAUUCAGUCGGGACUGACUAGGGCCUUGUCCUUUGUGAGGGGUAGUCCUUGGGUAGGACCUAUAUGACAGGCCUAUGACCCUACCCUAGGACUAUGACCCCAUCAUUAGUCCCCGAAUGGAUUGGGGUUGAAACGACGAAGCGGUGCUUGAAGUUUGGUUCCGACUGGAACAGAUUUGGCUUGGGCGUUGCUUGCCUCUAUCCAUUUUAUCUUUUCUGACCAACGAUCCGAGUGGAAGUACUCGCGAAACAGACUGUCGGAAGCCGAGUGCUUCCGCAGCAUCUUUUGACGCGACCGGUCAACUGGCAGCGGCGGAUUUUCCGGGAUCUUCAAAUUUCGGUUUCCGGGCGUCCAGCUGGGAUGACGCCGGAGCGCUCGAGUAGCGCCUGACGCCUCGAUUCUCGCGCCUUCAACUCCUCCACUUAUAUCGCCGCGGCCGAUCGGGCGGAUAAGGUUUCGGGGCCACCCGCCAGUGACCCAGUCGGAACCCUAUUUAAAUCUCGGCGGCGAGGCUUCUUUGUUACGCUCCCCGAAUAUUUCGCUCUCGCCUGCUCCAUCUUCCUCGCCACCUCUAGUGCUCCUACACUCCUUCCUUCUCCUUCCUCCCGAGGGUUCGCCGUCGCCUCCAUGACCAAGGGUUAGACCAGCAAGAUGGAGGCGAGGAAGAAGAAGGGCAAGGCGGCGGCGCCUGCUUAGCGGCGGCAGCGGCCGCUGCCGGCGGGGUGGAUUCAGGGCGACUUCCUCCCCUCCACGGUGACGGAGGGGGAUCUGCUGCAGCUGGUGGAGCACGGAAUGAUCGUUCAUAAGUCCUGGAGGCUACCGGCGGAGGACGAGGUCGAGCCAGCGCCUCGGGAGGGGGAGCGUGUCCUGCUCCUCAGCCACGUCCACCGAGGUUUUUCUUUGCCCCCGCAUCCUUUCUUCAAGGGCAUCAUGAAUCACUUCGGGGCCCAACUUCACCAUUUUCCUCCGAAUGCCAUCGCCCAUCUUUCUGCCUUUAUAGUUUUGUGCGAGUGUUUCAUCGGCUGCCCUCCCCAUUAGGGUUUGUUCAAACACAUCUUUUCCGCCAGAUCCCAAACCAUCAAACGACUUAGCCAGUCGGAUGAUAAGACGCAUCUCCUCCAGCUCUGCGGGGGCUUAGGCUUUCAGAAGAAGAGUCGGAGUAGUUAUCCUGCUCUUCAGUUAAUUGAGUCGGUCAGGAACUGGCAGACGACGUGGUUCUACUGCCAGGAUAUCGCCUGUCCGAAUGCGUCGACUGGGCUGCCUCCUUUUAGUUUAGAUCGGCCCGCUCCGCCUAAGCAACUCGCGCUCUCGAAGGCGGAGAUGAUCGACAUCCAGCCCUUGGUUGAGGCACUCGUGGACGUCGUCAGGAGGGGGGUCACCGGCAUAGACUUGCUGGAGGUCUACCUUGGUCGGCGGAUCCAGCCUCUGCAGGCUCGCGACCAUGCCAUGUGGCAUUACACGGGGCCCGAAGAUUCCACUCGGACCAAUGUGGUGGGCGUGACUGAGGAGAGGGUGACCUCGUGGGUGCUCCAAAUCACGGGCCCUUGCGAGAAUCCCAAAGGAUCUCGGCGAGUGAAGCCUUACAGCGCGGAUCAUCCUCCACCGAAUCAGGUGAGUGACACUUGUCGAGUGCACUGAACUGUCUUAAUUCUUGUCGUUUGUCUAUAUCUCUGUGUGAUGUCUGAUGUCGCCGACUGAAUUUUAUGCAGGAGUGGACCAACUGGUUUUCUCCCGUCUCGAACGGGAACCCGGCCGAGGAGGAGGAAGGCAGCCAGGAGGGCAGCAUGGAGAGCGCUGAAUAUGUCUCCGAGAGCGGGGGGUCGGAGGAAGAGACCAGCGAGGAAGACGAGGAAGACGAAGAGCAGGACUCUCCGCCUCCACAAACAGAGCAUCGGACCAAGCGCCGACAUGAGCCUGUCGUUCCCUCGGCCCCUCCAGCAUCUUCGAGUGCUCCGCCUACUGCCCCGGUGGUCCCGAGUGCUCGGAGCACCAAAAGGGCCAGGGAUGCUGCCGCUGAGCCUACGGGUCAGUCUUCCAAGCCGGCCAGACCGAGUGGGUCCAAACCUCGGAAGUCUCUGCCGCGGAUGAGGGUUGAUGUCCCCGUCACCUCCACAUAAGUGUAUCGAUCCUCUAAUUUCUUCUGAUAUCCGAGUGAAUUCUUUGUUCAUUGGUCGAAUGGAUUUUACUCGACAGAGUCGCUACUUCUGCCACCUCUAUGGCGCGUCAAGAAGAUGACCCCAUGGACACGUACAACGUCGUCUCGUCCCAGCCAGGUGUGUUGUAGUGACUCCGAGUGUUUUAUUCUACCAUAGGAUCUGCCUCUUUCUUUUUCUGAGACCUUGUGCCAUUCGGCCUGUCAUGGGCGAUUUGCCUGGACGAGGGGGACCAGAGGAGAGCUGACCCAGCCGUGGAGCCUGUUCUUGAGGCUGCUCCUCCCACUGCCGCUCUCGCCGCCGACGUGCUGGCGACUGAGGCGCUGCCGCCGACUAACCGGCACUGGUGGUUGAGGUGCCGACUGGAGCGGACCUCGGGAUGCCUCAGGAGCUUCCGACGAUGCCAGGCUCGUCGAAUGCCGAGUUCAACAUCCGGCGUCCCCCGGAGGAGCAGGUGGGAGCGGCCAAGGGAGCCAUGGUGCAGGCGGAGCUGAUGGCUCGGGAGGCCAAGAGGACCUACGAUUCCGUCACGUCCUUGUACCAGCGGAGCCUGGAGCUGCGGGAUGAUAUCCGAGUGAGUGGGCUAGUAAGUAUUUACUUUUCUCUUGUAACCCACCGAGUGUUUUUGGAUAGCAUCUGUUGUUCACAAUGGGUUCACUCUUAGUGAACCCGGUGGGUGUAGUCCCCGAGACUUCUGUCUGUGCUUUGGUCAGGUCUGUAAAUAACAUGACCGAGUGCGCGUAGUUGUGGCACUCGGAGUGCACUUACUGUAAGAGUCCCCGAUAGUAAUUUGUACUCAGGUCGGGUAUUAUUGGCCUCGUAAGCGUAGGUGAUAACAUGCAUCUCAAUGGGGCAAGCCUGCUUGAGCUGCAUGCCAGUGGGCUCACUCUUAGUGAACCCACUGGGUGUAGUCCCCGAGACCGCUGUCGACUACUAGCGUCGGCAGUGGUCUGAAGAACUUAGACUUUUAACUGUUGAACUUUCUGAUUGCUCCUUGGUGCUUGGUGGGAGAAAACUUGUGAAAUGGGGACGGCCUAUGAGGCUCUCAGAGCGGAGAGGAACCAAUUCGCUGCGGAGCUUGAUGCGGCUAUGCUCGCAAUGGCCGGCAUGAAGGAUGCUCUGGAGGAACGAGAGAAGUACUUGGAGGAGGCGCGUGAAGCGAACAAGGUGUUGACAGAGGAAGUGGAAAAAAUGAAGAAACAGAGGACUGCUCUCACGAAUCAGAUUGUCGUCCUGAAUAAGCGAUGCACCGCUCAGGAGAAGUAUGUCAGCGACUGGGCUGGGCAGAUGAUGAGGCGUCUGGCUGGUAAGUCUUAUGUUUUGCCGAGUGCUGGUACUGUGUGCGUGACACUCGACGUUUAUUAAAUGCUUGCCCUUUUGUUGCAGACUUUUGCAUUGAUGCUGAAGCUGAAGCGGCGGACGUGGAGCGGUCCAUUCGUGACAACGUGCCACUCGGCGAGGACGCCAAUCGGGAUCUGCUCCGGGCGCAUAUCCGCAUAGGCAAAGUGGGUCCUUUCAUCGGUCGACUGAGAGAGGUCGUCGGCCGAAUUGAGAAGGAACUUUGGCUAGAGGAUGAGUCGCGGCAGGAGAUGGAGAACCUGAUGGCCCGACUGGAGGAGAUUCCCAACCGAGUGCAGUCGUGGAAGAAAUCUACAGCUCGUUGCGGUGCAGAUGUUGCUCUGUCCCUGGUCCGAGUCCAUUGCAAGGAGGUGUGUGAGGAGAAGUUGAAGACACUGAAGGUCGCCAACACGAAGAAGCUUCGAUUCGAAGACUUCAUGGAGACGUUCCUUGAGAGUGCUACCCGCAUCGCCGACGGAAUCGACUUGGACACCUUCGUGGAGCCCUCCAGUCCUGGCGCCAACCCAGCUGACGCUUGAAAAAACUUUAUCCUCGGUAUGCCGAGUGUUAAUCUAUAAGAAACUCUGGCCACUGCUGUUGGCCGUCACAUUCUUAGAUCGGUGCGGGUAAGCUUGAUCCGCACCGAGUAAACUAUCUUUGCUAGAGCUUUGAAUCGAAUUUUUGCUGUUCUGUUGCAAUUUUGAUUCGGGUUUUUGUUUGGCGUUUCUUGGUGAAGCCAAAGGCAAACAUUCGGAACAUGUCAGUUGUUUUGACAUCUGCGUGAGCCUCAUUGAGGGUCCGUGGAAUUUCCUAAGUCUCUGAGUGUACGUUAAGAGUACACUCGGAGAAGGUUAAUACUUAGGCGAUUCUUGAUCGCAGCUAAGCUCCCGAGUGUGACGUUUAGUGCACACUCGGAGAAGGUUAAUACUUAGGCGAUUCUGGAUCGCAGCUAAGCCCCCGAGUGUGACGUGUAGUGCACACUCAGAGAAGGUUAAUACUUAGGCGAUCCUGGAUCGCAGCUAAGCCCCCGAGUGUGACAUGUAGUGCACACUCGGAAAUAGUUAGUACUUAGGCGAUGCUGGAUCGCAGCUAAGCCCCCCGAGUGUAACGUGUAGUGCACACUCAGAGAUAGGUAGUACUUAGGCGAUGCUGGAUCGCAGCUAAGCCUCCGAGUGUGACGUGUAUUGCACACUCGGAGAUAGUUAGUACUUAGGCGAUGCUGGAUCGCAGCUAAGCCCCCGAGUGUGACGUGUAGUGCACACUCGGAGAUAGGUAGUACUUAGGCGAUGCUGGAUCGCAGCUAAGCCUCCGAGUGUGACGUGUAGUGCACACUCGGAGAUAGUUAGUACUUAGGCGAUGCUGGAUCGCAGCUAAGCCCCCGAGUGUGACGUGUAGUGCACACUCGGAGAAGGUUAAUACUUAGGCGAUUCUGGAUAGCAGCUAAGUUUUUUUUGAGACCGAAGUCUGCGACCGCGGAAGAACUUUGAACCUGCAAAAAACUCAAUCUGCUUUAUAUUAUUUCGCCAACACUUGUUCUUUACAUUGCUUGAGUCGACGGUCACGUGUAGAAGCGCUUCAGGAGAGCUCCGUUCCAUGCACGCGGCUCGUCUGUCUCCCUCUCGAUGUUGUAGAGUCUGUAUGCUCCGUUGUUCAGCACCUUGGAGAUGAUGAAGGGUCCUUCCCAGGCCGGAGCCAACUUGUGAGGUCUUUGCUGAUCCACUCGGAGCACCAGAUCGCCUGCUUGGAACGUGCGACUUCUGACGUGGCGUGCAUGAAAACGCCGUAGAUUUUGUUGAUAAAUGGUCGAGCGAGUUAACGCCAUCUCGCGCUCCUCCUCCAGAAGAUCCACUCCGUCUUGCCUUGCUUGUUCUGCUUCGACUUCGGAGAAGAGUUCGACUCGUGGCGCAUUGUGAAGCAAGUCACUCGGAAGGACCGCUUCUGCUCCAUAAACGAGGAAGAACGGUGAUCGCCCUGUAGAUCUGUUCGGGCUUGUGCGAAGUCCCCAAAGCACUGAAGGUAGCUCGGUAACCCAAGCGCCAGCGGCAUGUCCUAUUUCUCGCAGGAGUCGGGGCUUCAAACCUUGCAAAAUAAGUCCGUUUGCCCGCACUGCUUGUCCAUUGGACUGAGGAUGUGCUACGGAAGCAAAAUCCACUCGGAUGCCUUGGCUUGUACAGAAACCUUUGAAUCUGUCCGAGUCAAAGUUUGUCCCAUUGUCUAUGAUUAUACUGUGAGGUACACCGAAUCUGAAGAUGAUGUCCGUGACAAACUUGACGGCUGUUGAGGCGUCGAGCUUCUUGAUGGGCUUCGCUUCGAUCCAUUUCGUGAACUUGUCGACUGCCACCAACAGAUGUGUGUAUCCACCUUGGCCUGUCUUGAAUGGGCCGACUGUAUCUAAUCCCCACACUGCAAACGGCCACACCAGAGGGAUCGUCUUCCACGCAGACGUUGGCUUGUGAGACUUGUUGGAGUAGAACUGGCAGCCCUCACAUCGAUCAACCAUAUCCUUAGCCAUCUCGUUAGUCUGCAGCCAAAAGAAGCCAGCCCUGAAUGCCUUGGCGACGAUUGCUCUCGAAGAAGCGUGAUGACCGCAGGUCCCCGAGUGAAUAUCCUCCAGAAUCAGUUGCCCCUCCUCUGGGGAGAUGCAUCGUUGAAGAACGCCUGAGAUACUUUCCUUGUACAAUUGGCCAUCAAUGACAGUGAAUGACUUCGACCUGCGGACUAUCUGCCUGGCUUGGACUUCGUCUUCUGGAAGUUCUUGCCUCAAGAUAUAUGCCAUGAUCGGCACAGUCCAAUCGGGAAUGACAGCCAGAAUCUCCAUGACCAGAUCAACCACAGCAGGUACAUCGACUUCAGUCGGAUCUGUUGUGCUCUUGGGUUGUACUGGUUCCUCUGUGAAAGGAUCUUCUUUGACUGAGGGGAGGUGGAGGUGCUCGAGGCAGACGUCACUCGGGACUGGUCUCCGAGUGGAUCCGAGUUUUUUUAACUCGUCAGCUGCUUGGUUCUUCAGUCUUGGAACAUGGUGAAGUUCUAGACCUUCAAACUUCUUCUCAAGCUUCCUCACUGCAUUGCAGUAUGUAGUCAUGGUGGGGUUUCUGACGUCCCACUCUUUCAUCACUUGAUUGACCACCAGAUCUGAAUCGCCGUAGACCAUCAGGCGACGGACACCGAGUGAGAUGGCCAUACGCAACCCGUAGAAGAGAGCUUCAUACUCCGCCUCAUUGUUGGAGGAAUCGAAGUGUAUCUGAAGCACGUACUUGAGCUUGUCUCCCUUUGGUGAUAUGAUCACAACGCCAGCGCCGGAGCCAUUCAACAUCUUGGACCCAUCAAAGAACAUUGUCCAAUGGGCCGAGCAGAUGUGGGUCGGUUGCUGUUGUUCUACCCAUUCUGCUAUGAAGUCAGCGAGAGCUUGAGACUUAAUAGCUUUCUUGGCCUCGAACUUGAUGUCACAGUACAGCAUCUCCAUCGCCCACUUCGCCACUCGGCCUGACGCAUCUCGAUUGUGGAGAAUUUCCGACAAUGGAGCAUCAGAAACGACAGACACCGAGUGGUCUUGGAAAUAAUGGGCCACUUUCUUCGCAGUCAUGUAAAUCCCGUAGAUAAGUUUUUGAUAAUGGGGAUACCUCUGCUUGGAAGGGGUCAAGACUUCGGAUACGUAGUACACUGGCCGCUGAACUUUGUAUGCUUUGCCUUCUUCAUCUUGUUCGACUGUAAGAACGGUACUGAUGACUUGAUUUGUAGCCGCGAUAUACAGAAGAAGGGGCUCUUUACUGAGCAGAGCAGUAAGAACCGGCUGGGUGGAAAGCAGGACUUUGAGGUCGUCGAAUGCGACUUGGGCCUCAUCUGUCCACUCGAAAGUAUAUGAUUUCUUCACGAGUCGGUACAGAGGAAGUGCUUUUUCGCCGAGUCGACUGAUGAACCUCCUCAAAGCCGCUAGGCAACCUGUGAGCCGUUGAACAUCGUGUAUUCGGACCGGCCUCUCCAUUCGGACGAUGGUCCCGAUCUUUUCGGGGUUGACGUCGAUCCCUCAUUCGGAAACGAAGAAACCGAGUAACUUUCCGCUGGGAACACCGAAUGAACAUUUGGCUGGGUUGAGCUUGAUAUUGUACCUACGAAGGUUGGCAAUUUUUCUGCCAAGUCAGUCAGCAGGUCGGAACCUUUGCGUGACUUGACUACGAUAUCAUCCAUAUAUGCCUCCACAUUGCGACCGAUCUGAUCGAGGAGACAUUUUUGGAUCAUGCGCAUAAAGGUAGCUCCUGCAUUCUUCAGACCGAAUGGCAUAGUGAUGUAGCAGAAGCAUCCGAAUGGGGUGAUGAAGGCUGAUUUUAACUCAUCGGGGCCAUACAGACGGAUCUAAUGAUAGCCCGAGUAGGCAUCGAGAAAUGAUAGACGCUCGCAGCCCGCAGUUGAAUCGACAAUUUGAUCUAUGCGGGGGAGCGGAAAAUGGUCUUUCGGGCAGACCUUAUUGAGAUGCUUGAAGUCGAUGCACAUUCAGAGCGACUUGUCCUUCUUGGGCACCAUGGCAACAUUGGCGAACCACUCGGAGUGGUGAACCUCGCGAAUGAAGUUGGCUACCAACAGCUUGGCCACCUCUUCCCCGAUUGCCUUCCUCUUGUGCGCGGCGGCCCGGCGCAGGCGCUCUCGGACAGGCCGAGCCGUGGAAUCCACGUGCAGUCGGUGCUCAGCCAACUCCCUGGGUACACCUGGCAUGUCAGAGGGUUUCCAUGCGAAGAUGUCCCAGUUCGCACGGAGGAAUUAGGUGAGCUCGGCUUCCUAUUUAGGAUCGAGGGUGGUGGAGAUGUUCGUCGGGGCAGCAGUGGCGUCCGUCGGGUGGAUGCUGACCUUCUUCGUCUCUCCCGCUGACUGAAAUGCAGACUCUGAAGCCGGCUUCUUCGAGCGCAUCAGGUCGGCGGGGUCGACUGUUUUCUUGUACUCGUCCAGCUCGAGGACGGCCAUCUGCUCGUCGGUGAUUCUUGAUCCCUGCUGCAGACACUCUUCAGCCCGCUGCCGAUUGUCUGUGAUGGUGAUCACACCUUUCGGGCCUGGUAUCUUUAGCUUCAGGUACACGUAACAUGGACGGGCCAUGAAGUGCGCAUACGCUGGGCGACCCAGAAUUGCGUGAUAAGCGCUCUGGAAGUCAACCACUUCGAACGUCAGCUUUUCCUUGCGGAAGUUCUUGUCGGAGCCAAAAACGAUGUCCAACGCGAUCUGGCCGAGUGACUUGGCCUUCCGUCCAGGGACGACUCCGUGGAACUGCAUGCUGCUCUCGCUGAGUUUGGACAUCGGGAUGCCCAUCCCCUUGAGGGUGUCAGCGUACAUGAUGUUCAAGCCGCUGCCGCCAUCCAUGAGGACUUUGUGCAGUCGGACUCCUUCUACCACCGGGUCGACGACUAGGGCCUAUCUCCCCGGGGUGGGUACAUGUGCCGGAUGAUCCGACUGGUCGAAGGUGAUCGCAGUCUGAGACCAUUUGAGGAAUUUGGGGUUGGAAGGGGUGGCCAUGUUCACCAGCUUCAGUCGGCUCUUGCUCUCGACGUCAGCAAAGAUCAUCAGGGUUGCAUGGACUUGGGGGAACGGAUCCUCCUUAUCCUCCUCAUCCUGUUCAUGGUCCUUCUCACUCGGUUGCCCUUCGCUGAACCCCUGGAUCAAGAGGCGACACUGUCGAGUGGUAUGCUUCGCAUAUAUGGGGUUGCCUUCUUCGUCCAUCUUCGUAUGAACCGUACAUGGCUGGUCCAGGAUGGGGUUAUUGAACUUCUUCUUCUUGGGUGUGAACUGAGCCUUCCCUUUACCCUUGAACUUGGCAUUGGUUACGGCUGCAGCCUCCGCUUGCGGAGCGGUCGGAGCUUUCUGCUUCUGCUUCCGAGUGUUGCUCCCAUCGCCAUCAGCGACUGUUUUGUGCUUGCCGCUCCGGAUGCGGUCCUCUUCUUCGCCAUUUGCGUAGCGUGUUGCUAUCUCCAUCAUCUUGCUCAUGGAGAUGUCGCCUGUUCAGCCGAACUUCAGGUACAGAUCCCUGUACCGCACGCCUGCCUUGAAAGCGCAGACUGCUUGAUGCUCGGUGACGUUCUCCACCGUGUGAUAGAGAAUUGUCCAGCGCUGGAUGAAGUCACGCAGGGGCUCAUUCUGCUUCUGGACGCAGUGCUGGAGGUCCACAAGGCCAGCAGGGCGCUUGCACGUCCCUUCGAAGGUCCUGAUGAACGCUCUUCCCAUCUGUAGAUGCUUGAGGGGGCCAACUGGUUUAGCCACGCUCGCGCCGAGCCGUCGAGCAUCAGAGGGAGGUGCUUCGUGGCGACAUGGUCGUCCCCUCCUCCGAUCUGGACCGCCACUCGGUAGUCAUCCAGCCACGUUUCUGGCUUGGACUCUCCUGUGAACUUGCUAAUUCCUGUCACCAACCGGAAGUUGGGAGGGAUGUCAGCCGAACAGAUGGCUCAACUGAAACACUCGGGACCAGACACGAUGGCCCUGCUUCCACUCGGACGGUCGGUAUCGCGACCAUCGCGGUGGGUUCGACCUCUGUCGACUCUUCGCUGGGCAAUAUGUGCUCUUGCGUCGGGUCUUGGGUCGUAAGUGUCGCUGACUGAACGCCGAUCAUCAUGAUGUCGGGACCCAUAUGGGCCACCCCGCGGAGGGGUGCGUGAGCGGCGGCGAUCUUCAUGAAUCAUGGAACGACUGCCUCCCCUGUGGCGCUGAUGGGAACCAGGGCUGUGAACCGACCGAUGCGUAUUCGCGUGGAGGGAACUAUUAUAGAUCCGGUUGUGCGACUGGGAGAGCGCAGAAUUCUGCUGCUGCGCCGUGUGCAACAGGGCUCGGAUCUGCUCGAUUCCUCUACCAACCUCUGAAUUAGUCGGCUGGAGGGAAUCGGCUAUCUUGGCAGCUGCAGCCAAGUUGAGGAGUGGUGUGCGGAACAGCUCCACAUUGCUCCGCCGAGUGUGCCGACUAGCAGAACGGCGAGGUGGACGACGUGCGCCGGAUGCUUCGCCGAUCUCGUGCUCGUUUCGGCCAGCCUGACGGGGAUCUUCAUGGGAGUUGGCCAUGUGUACUUCUGCUGCGGGCCCGUGACCCGCAUACUCGGAAGGAAACUCAGUCGGAACCGAGUCCGAAUGCUGGGACGACGGGGCAACCACAACGGACUCAAGAACCGCCACUUGCGAAGAUGCGUUCUGGCGCGCCUGGGCGUGUUGCACCCAACGCUGGAGCCGCGGACGGCGGGACCGCUUGACGCGGCGCGUGACCGCGGUGUAGGUCGACACCGGAGCCGACCGCUGGAGAAGAAGAAUGCCGCGGGCGCCGGCACGGAACUGCGUAGCGCCGCAACGGGGAAGCGCCUCGAUGUCGAGGGGCGCAUCCCGAAGCCAUGCCGAAUCAUCGACGAUGAAGGAGAGAGCGCCGAAGAAGAUCUGGUGACCCAUGCUCGAACCUCCACCGGACGACAUGACGAAAGGAAGUAGUCGCAAACUCGCCGGAAGUCGCUUAGACGCCUACCCCAAGGUGGGCGCCAACUGUCGUGGGUAUAAGCCUGACAGUAGAUGUGUAGGUUACGAAUGAGAUGGGCAGAGUCCUAGCUACGGCGAGGUUGUAUGAGUUCGGUCCCCUCAGCGGUGGAGGUAACAGCCCUACGUCUUAGUGCUCUCGGAGCUUGCUGUCGAGUGGAAUAUGGAAUACAAUGAUUUGCUAACCCCUCUACCAGUGGGGGAGGGCGUCUUAUAUAGAGUGCGCUGCCCUCCACAACGAUUCCGAUACAGGGGUGGAGUAAUGGGGAUUGAAUGCGUACGUUACAGGUAACGUAUGCUCUAAAUGCUAAUAAAUGCACCCGGAAACGUAUGACAGUUUCCCUCCAGAGAGGUUACGAUGUACCGAGUGUAGCCAGUUGGUUAGCUUGGUAUCCUCCGAAUGCUAGUCUCCGACUGGAUGGUUGAGGACCUGUUACCAACUGGAUGAUGGGGACCCCUUAAUUCAGUCGGGACUGACUAGGGCCUUGUCCUUUGUGAGGGGUAGUCCUUGGGUAGGACCUAUAUGGCAGGCCUAUGACCCUACCCUAGGACUAUGACCCCAUCACCUAGUGUUGCUAUUAUCAAAGAUCUCUUAGCCGAAGACAUAGACGGGCAUGUUAUCAAAUUCUGUCAGGACUCCGCUAGAAUCGCUAAACCUCACACGAAAGACAAAUACGGACCUGUAGUUGGCCUGCCCGUUGUUUCUGUCAAGAUAGGUGAUCACUGUUAUCAUGGUUUAUGUGAUAUGGGUGCUAGUGUUGGUGCAAUACCCCGGUCCCUAUAUGAUGAAAUCAAAGAUGAGAUUGCACCUGCUGAGUUAGAACCCAUUGAUGUCACUAUUACGCUAGCUAAUAGAGACACUAUCUGCCCUGUGGGAAUUGUGAGAGAUGCAGAAGUCCUGUGUGGUAAGACGAAGUAUCCUACUGAUUUCCUCGUCCUUGCUACUGCACAAGAUAGCUUUUGUCCCAUCAUAUUUGGUAGACCCUUUCUCAACACUGCCAAUGCUCAUAUUGAUUGCAUUAAACACACUGUCACUGUUAGUUUCGAGGGUGUGUCUCAUGAAUUUAAUUUCUCCAAGUUUGGAAGACAACCCCAUGAAAAAGAGUCGUUUGGUAGGGAUGAAAUCAUUGCUCUUGCCUCUAUUAUCGUGCCUCCUACGGAUCCUUUAGAGCAAUAUCUGCUUCAGCAUGAAAAUGAUAUGCAUAUGGAUGAAAGAGAUGAGAUAGAUAAAAUUAUUUUAGAACAAUAUCCUAUUCUUAAGAAUAAUUUGCCUGUUGAACUGCUUGGGGAUCCUCCCCCACCAAAGGGUGAUCCUGUGUUUGAGCUUAAACAGUUACCAGAUACACUUAAGUAUGCCUAUCUUGAUGAGAAGGAGAUAUAUCAUGCUAUAAUUGGUGCUCACCUCUCGAAUCACGAAGAGAAGAAGUUAUUAAAAACUUUGAGGAAGCACCGUGCUGCUAUUGGAUAUACUCUUGAUGAUCUUAAGGGUAUUAGUCCCACUCUAUGUCAGCAUAAGAUUAAAACCGAUCCUGAUUCUAAGCCAGUCGCUGAUCAUCAACGAAGGUUAAACCCUAGGAUGAAAGAGGUCCUGAGAAAAGAAAUAUUAAAGCUUGUGGAAGCAGGAAUCAUUUAUCCUGAUGCUCAUAGUGAUUGGGUAAGUCCAGUACAUUGCGUACCUACGAAGGGAGGUAUCACCGUCGUUCCUAAUGAUAAGAAUGAACUAAUCCCACAGAGGAUUAUUACUGGCUAUAGGAUGGUGAUAGACUUCCGGAAACUGAACAAGGCAACCAGGAAAGACCAUUAUCCUUUGUCGUUUAUCGACCAAAUGCUAGAAAGGCUAUCUAAACGCACACACUUCCGCUUUCUAGACGGUUAUUCAGGUUUCUCGCAAAUACCUGUUGCACAAUCUGAUCAGGAUAAAACCACUUUCACCUGCCCCUUCGGUACCUUUGCUUAUAGACGUAUGCCUUUUGGCUUAUGCAAUGCACCUGCCACCUUUCAAAGAUGUAUGAUGGCUAUAUUCUCUGACUUUUGUGAAAAUAUUGUUGAGGUUUUCAUGGAUGAUUUCUCCGUUUACGGUUCUUCCUUUGACGAUUGCCUCAGCAACCUUGAUCGAGUCUUACAGAGAUGCAAAGAUACCAACCUCGUCUUGAACUGGGAGAAGUGCCACUUCAUGGUUAAUGAAGGCAUCGUCUUAGGACACAAAAUCUCUGAGAAAGGCAUUGAAGUUGAUAAUGCUAAGGUUGAUGCAAUUGAGAAAAUGCCUUGCCCCACAGAUAUCAGAGGUAUAUGAAGUUUCCUAGGUCAUGCUGGUUUCUACAGAAGGUUCAUUAAAUACUUCUCUAAGAUUUCUAGGCCUCUUACCAACCUCUUGCAGAAGGAUGUUCCUUUUGUUUUUGAUGAGGAUUGUGAGGAAGCUUUCGAAAUACUUAAGAAGGCCUUGAUAACCGCACCUAUUGUUCAACCACCUGAUUGGAACUUGCCCUUUGAAAUCAUGUGCGAUGCUAGUGAUUAUGUUGUUGGUGCUGUUCUAGGACAAAGAGUUGACAAGAAGUUGAAUGUCCUUCACUACGCUAGUAAAACUCUAGACAGUGCCCAAAGAAACUAUGCCUCUACGGAGAAGGAAUUUUUAGCAGUCGUGUUUGCAUGUGAAAAGUUCAGAUCUUAUAUAAUUGACUCCAAAGUCAUUAUUCACUCUGAUCAUGCUGCUAUUAAGUACCUUAUGGAGAAGAAGGACGCUAAGCCUAGGCUAAUCAGAUGGGUUCUCCUGCUACAGGAAUUUGAUUUGCACGUUGUUGACCGAAAGGGUGUUGAUAACCCUGUAGCAGAUAACUUGUCCAGGCUAGAGAAUGUCCUUGAUGACCCACGACCUAUUGAUGACAACUUUCCCGAUGAGCAACUGAAUGUCAUCUGCACUUCACAUAGUGCACCGUGGUAUGCUGAUUACGCAAACUAUAUCGUAGCCAAAUACAUACCACCCAGUUUCACCUACCAGCAAAAGAAGAAAUUGUUCUUUGAUUUGAGACACUACUAUUGGGAUGAUCCUCACCUUUAUAACUAAGGAGUAGAUGGUGUUAUUAGACGUUGUGUGCCUGAACAUGAACAGGGACAGAUCCUGCAAAAGUGUCAUUCGGAAGCAUACGGAGGACACCAUGCUGGAGAUAGAACUGCUCAUAAGGUAUUGCAAUCAGGUUUCUAUUGGCCCACUCUCUUCAAGGAUGCCCGUAAGUUUGUCUUGUCUUGUGACGAAUGCCAAAGAAUAGCGAACAUCAGUAAACGUCAGGAAAUACCUAUGAACUAUUUGCUUGUCAUUGAACCAUUUGAUGUCUGGGGCUUUGAUUAUAUGGGACCCUUUCCGAGUUCCAAUGGGUAUACUCACAUCUUAGUUGCUGUUGAUUACGUCACUAAGUGGGUAGAAGCUAUCCCCACUAGAAAUGAUGAUCACCACACCUCUAUUAAGAUGCUUAAAGAAGUCAUUUUCCCAAGAUUUGGAGUCCCUAGAUAUUUGAUGACUGAUGGCGGUUCACACUUCAUUCAUGGUGUUUUCCACAAGAUGCUCGCUAAGUAUGAUGUCAACCAUAGAGUUUCAUCUCCUUAUCAUCCUCACUCUAGUGGUCAAGUGGAGUUGAGUAAUAGGGAGAUCAAAUUGAUCUUACAAAAGACUGUCAAUAAAUCUCAAAAGAAUUGGUCUAGCAAACUUGACGAUGCACUAUGGGCUUAUAGGACUGCUUAUAAGAAUCCCAUGGGCAUGUCGCCGUAUAAAAUGGUUUACGGUAAGGCCUGUCAUUUACCUCUUGAGCUAGAACACAAAGCUUAUUGGUCAAUCAAAGAGCUCAACUUCGAUUUUAAACUUGCCGGUGAGAAGUGGUUGUUUGAUAUCAGCUCAUUAGAUGAAUGGAUAGCCCAUGCAUAUGAGAAUGCCAAGUUGUUCGAGGAAAAGCUUAAGAGAUGGCACGAUAAAAGAAUACAAAAAUGUGAGUUCAAUGUAGGUGAUUAUGUCCUGCUAUACAAUUCUCGCUUAAGAUUCUUCGCAGGCAAGCUUCUCUCUAAAUGGGAAGGUCCCUACGUUGUCGAGGAAGUAUAUCAUUCUGGUGCCAACAAAAUCAAUAACACGGAAGGUAAUUUUCCUAGAGUGGUAAAUGGGCAAAGAAUCAAGCAUUGUAUCUCUGGUACUCCCAUAAAUGUUGAGAGCAAUAUCAUCAAUAUCAUAACUCCAGAGGAGUACAUAAGGGAUGUUUAUCGGCCUGUUUCAGACUCUGAAAACAAAGAGGUAUGUCUUUCGAUAAGUAAUUGGACUCCAAAACUUUUCCAGUAGGAAAUUUUCUCCGUUUUGGAAUUUAUGGAAAAAUAGAAAAAUAAAAAGCAGUCCGGAGAGCGCACGAGGCGGCCACAAGCUUGGUAGCCGCGACCUCCCCCCUAGUCGCGGCUACACGGCUUGUGGGCACCUCGUGUCGCCCCCCCCCCCCGAGACUCCGUUUUCUUGCGGAGCACUCCUUCUGGUCCAGAAAAAAUCAUUAUAUAUACGCCCGAGGGUUUUGAUCUCCGUAUCGCGCAGUUUUCCUCUGUUUUCAUUUCGAGCCUGUUUCUGCCGCAGAUCUAGGUCAAGAUGUCUUCUCAGGAUUCAGAGGGGGAGAGCUAUGAGGCUGAUUACCUUGCUAACCCCAAGGUCUAUGGGGACUUGCAACGAUAUGGCUGGACCACUGAUGAGGAAGAGGACUAUGCUCCCUAGAGGAAGGAACAAACGAGUUCCGAUGAAGAGGAGGCUCCUCUACCUCAACCUGGACGCACUCAUGUGGAGUUCAAGAAGUCGAGCCUCCCUGACCCAAGGAAGAAGCCUAAGAACUUGUUUAUCCCUUCUCGUUUCUUGCAGGAGAUUAAGCAGGAACUUUGUCAAAGGGUUUUGAAGCUUGAGGAGGAAAAUGAUGAUCUGAGAGAGCAGAAUUUCAUGCUCAAGUGGAAAUUAGACAAGCUCAAGACCUCUGCAACAACUCCUCCGUCACCACCAAAGGAAGACAACUAAGCAUUGGUAUGGGAAACUCCCUUGGCUUGUGCCAAGCUUGGGGGAGUUUCCCUGGUAUUGUAUCACCUUUAUAUCUUUUGCUUUUACCUUUGUUUUAGUUCUUUCUUUUUCAGUUUUUACUUUCUUAUCUUAGUGGAAUAAUUCUUUAGUGUUUAGUUUGAGUCUUUUGCCUUGUGUCUCCCCCGAUGUAUUCGAGCUUGCGAGAUAUAUAAUAAAGAGUAUCUUAGUCAAGUGCUUUGUUUUGUGUCGUGAUCAAAAGUAUGAAAAGAACGAUAGCAUGAAAGAUCAUGAGAUGAUCUUAUGGAAAGUGAUAGCUUCACAUAUAACAAGUAUAAUGAUUGAAACUUGUUGAGAAUAGACCAACAUAGACCCCAGUCAUUGUUGCAAUUAAUAAGGAGUAAUAAGGAAAGAGAGGUUCACAUAUAAAUAUAUCAUCUUAGACACUUUCUAUAAUUGUGAGCACUCACCAAACUAUUACAUGCUUAGAAGUAGAUGUUGGACAAGGAAGACAACAUAAUGAAUUGUGUUUUCUUGGUUCCAAACAAUGUUAUAUGUCUAGAGAUCCCUUAGCAUGUGACGAUUGCUUCCACCUCAUAUUAGCCAAAACUUCCGUACUAAGUAGAAAUACUACUUGUGCAUCCAUAAACCUUCAACGCAGUUUUGCCAUGAGAGUCCACCAUACCUACCUAUGGAUUGCGUAAGAUCCUUCAAGUAAGUUGUCAUUGGUGCAAGCAAUAAAAAGUUGCUAUCUAAAGUAUGUAUGAUUUAUCAGUGUGUGGAAAAUAAGCUUUGUACGAACCUGUGAUGAGGAAGACAUAAAAGCGACAGACUGCAUAAACUUCUUUAUCACAGGGGGCAAUAUAAAGUGAUGUUCCUUUAUACUAAGAGGUCGUAUAUCCAAACCUUAAAAGUGCAUGACAACCUCUGCUUCCCUCUGCGAAGGGCCUAUCUUGUACCUUUACUUUUGUCCUUGUGAAAGUCAUGGUGAUCAACACCAAUUCCCUAUUCCGUCUUCAUCUUGGUGAACGUCAUAUGCUAGGGAAAGAUCUAUAUUCAUAUAUCAACUUGGAGAUGAGUACUUAUGCUUUAUUAUUGUUGACUUUACCCUUGAGGUAAAUGGUUGGGAGGCAAAAUUAUAAGCCCCUAUAUUUCUCUGUGUCCAACUGAAACUUUGAUACCAUGAGUACCACGUGAGUUAUAACAAUUGUGGAAAACAAAAGAGAUGAUUGAGUAUGUGGAAUUGCUUUACAAGCUCUUAUUUGACUCUUUCUUAUGUUAUGAUAAAUUGCAAUUGCUUCAAUGACUAUGGACUGUUGUUGGCUACUUCUAGGUAAGGUUUUUGAUUCAUACUUUGCUUUGUGAAGGAAUUGUUACUUUCCCAUAAGAAUCUUUAUGAUGUAUUGCUGUUCUAAGUGUGAUCAUGAUGCCCUCAUGUCUGUAUUAUGUUUUAUCGAUACCUUCAUCCCUAAACAUGUGGACAUGUUUGUGGAUCUUGGUUUUCGCUUGAGGACAAGCGAGGUCUAAGCUUGGGGGAGUUGAUACGUCCAUUUUGCAUCAUGUUUUCAUGUUGAUAUUUAUCGCUUUAUGGACUGUUAUUAUACAUUGUGGUACCAUACUUAUGCCUUUUCUCUCUUAUUUUGCAAGGUUUAUUGGAAGAGGGAGAAUACCCGCAACUGGAAUUCUGGAAUGGAAAAGGAGCAAGUCUGAGUCCUCUAUUCUGCACAACUCCAAAUGCCCUGAAAAUCAACAUGGAACUUUUUGGGAAUAUAUAAAAAACAUUGGGCGAAAGAAGUACCAGAGGGGAGCUGCCAGGGGCCCACAAGCCUGGUAGCCGCGGCCUGCCCCCCUGGCCAUGGCUACAGGGCUUGUGGGCACCCUGGUGGCCCACUGGCACCCCUCUUCUGCUAUAUGAAGGGUUUCGUCCGGAAAAAAAUCAAGGCGGAGCUUUUUCGAGGAGGCGCCGCCGGCAUGAGGCGGAACUUGAGCAGAACCAAUCUAGAGCUCUGGCAGGACGAUCCUGGCCGGGAAACUUCCCUCCCGGAGGGGGAAAUCAUUGCCAUCGUCAUCACCAACACUCCUCUUAUCGGAGGGGACUCGUCUCCAUCAACAUCUUCAUUAGCAUCAUCUCAUCUCCAAACCCUAGUUCAUCACUUGUAACCAAUCUCCGUCUCCCGGCUCCGAUUGGUACUUGUAAGGUUGCUAGUAGUGUUGAUUACUCUUUGUAGUUGAUGCUAGUUGGAUUACUUGGUGGAAGAGUUUAUGUUCAGAUCCUUGAUGCUACUCAUUACCUCUCUGGUCAUGAAUAUGAUUAUGCUUUGUGAGUAGUUACUUUUGUUCCUGAGGACAUGGGAUAAGUCAUGCUAAUAGUAGUCAAGUGAAUUUGGUAUUCGUUCGGUAAUUUGAUAUGUUGUAUGUUGUUUUUCCUCUAGUGGUGUUAUGCGAACGUCGACUACAUAACACUUCACCAUUAUUUGAGCUUAGAGGAAGGCAUUGGGGAGUAGUAAGUAGAUGAUGGGUUGCUAGAGUGACAGAAUCUUAAACCCCAGUCUAUGCGUUGCUUCGUAAGGGGCUGAUUUGGAUCCACUAGUUUAAUGUUAUGGUUAGACUUUGUCUUAAUUCUUCUUUCGCAAUUGCGGAUGCUUGCGAGAGGGGUUAAUCAUAAGUGGGAUGCUUGUCCAAGUAAGUUCAGUACCCAAGCGCCGGUCCACCCACAUGUCAAACUAUCAAAGUAACGAACGCGAAUCAUAUGAACAUGGUGAAAACUAGCAUGACAGAAAUUCCCUUGUGUCCUCGGGAGAGAUUUUCCUCCUAUAAGACUUUGUUCAGGCUUGUCCCUUGCUACAAAAGGGAUUGGGCCACUUUGCUGCACCGUUUCUACUACUUGUUACUUUUUACUUUUCACCUGCUACGUUUCACCUCACUACACCAUCAAUCGUUACCGCUACUUUCAGUCCUUGCAGUUAUUACCUUGCUGAAAACCGUUUAUCAGAGCCUUCUGCUCCUCGUUGGGUUCGACACUCUUACUUAUAGAAAGGACUACGAUUGAUACCCUAUACUUGUGGGUCAUCAACUAUCAUUUCCAUAAUUUAUACCCAUCAAUAUAAGCCAAAAAACUCUAGGAUAAGUAUAUAACAAAACUAUGACAUCAAUCUAUCCAAACAGAACAGUUUGUAGCAAUCAAUUUAACAAAGUGUACUUAGGUAACUCCCAAAAUUAUGAUAAUUUACUACAUGAAAAAAAAUUGUAUGAAAAUACUUUGUAAAAAAUUCAGAAUCUUUCCAUUUUUGAGUAAAAUAUGAUAAUUCAAAGACUACAUCAAAAGUUUCUGUUUUUGUAUAGCACACAUCACACAUGCAAUUCAAGUAUUCUAAAGGCAAUUAAUGGAACUUAUUAUUGAAAAAUAAGAUUAUAAACAGAAAAAAAAUUACUACCAAAAUAAAAUGACGCUCCAAGCAAAACACAUAUCAUGCGAUAAUAAAAUAUAGCUUCAAGUAAAAUAUAUCGAUAAUGUUGGAGACGAAAGAGGGGAUGCCAACCGGGGCAUCCCCAAGCUUAGAUGCUUGAGUAUUCCUUGGAUAUUACCUUGGGGUGCCUUGGGAAUCCCCAAGAUUAAGUUCUUGCUUCUCUUUAUUCUCCUCAUAUCGGUAUCUCACCCAAAACUUGAAAACUUCAAUCAGAGAAAACUUAACAAAACUUCAUGAGAGGGAUUAGUGUAAUAAAGAUAGUUUAUUCAUUUAGGUACUCCCAACACAAGAUUCAUAAUUGUUCCAACAUAAUACCUACUGUAUUAUAUCAUUACCAUAAUUUCUAUCGCUCAAUAUAAGCUCUGGAAACGCUAAAACAAGCAAAGUAUGCAUGCAAAACAGAAUUUGUCAUAAACAAAACAGUCUAUGAAGAUCUAAAUGAACAUCGUACUUCCCUGACUCUAAAUAUUAUGAAUCAUUAGGAAAACACAAAAAAUUCACAUACAAAACUGUGAAAAAAAUUAAGAAAUUUUUGAGCAUCCACUAAAGUCACGGAAAUUCCGCACUUCACGUAAAAUUUUCUGUUUUUGCACAUAAUCAAACGAACAAGUAUCCGCACUAUCCCAAAGGCUUUACUUGGCACCUUAUUGAAAUAAAAGACACAAAACAUGAUUACUAAAGUAGAUUAAUCAUGUGAACACACAGAAAUAUAAAGUGUAAACAUUGAGUUGUCUCCCAACAAGCGCUUACCUUUAAAGCCUUUUGGCUAGCCAUGAUGAUUUCAAUGACGAUCGCAUAAAAAUUAAUAAUUGAAACAUGAAAAAGAGCAUCAUGAAUCCCAUGAAAAGAACAUUUAAGUCUAAUCCAAUUCCUAUGCAUAGGGAUUUUGCGAGCAAACAAUUCAUGGGAUCAAUAAUCAACUAGCAUAAGAAGGCAAAACAAGCAUAACUUAAAGUUUUUCAACACAUAGAGAGGAAACUUGAUAUUAUUGCAAUUCCUACAAGCGCAUGUUCCUCCAUCAUAAUAAUUUUCAGUAACAUCAUGAAGGAAUACUACAAUAUAACUAUCAUAUAAAUAAUUAUCUUCAUGAUCCACAAACAUUGAAAAUUUAUCACUCUCCACAUAAGUAAAUUUCUUCUCAUUCAUAAUAGUGGGAGCAAACUCAACAAAAUAACUAUCAUGUGAUACUGCAGUUGCAUUAUCCAAUUGAAAAUUAAAAUCAUGAUGACAAUUUCAUGGUUAUUAUUACUUUUUAUAUCAUACAUGCCAUCACCAUAAUCAUAGUAGAUAGCAACUUUUUUUCAUAGUCAAUUGAAACUUCUUCCAAAAUAGUGGGCUCGUCACUCAAUAAAGCCAUGACCUCUACAAAUCCACUUUUAUCAUAAUGAAAAGAUUCAACACCCUCCAAAAUAGUGGGAUCAUUAGUUACUAGAGUUGACACUCUUCCAAACCUAGUUUCAUAAAUCUAAUCAUCAUAAAUAGGAGGCAUUCUAUUCUAUCAUCAUAAUAAAUUUGCUCAUUAAAACUUGGGGGGCUAAAAAUAUCAUCUUCAUCAAACAUAGCAUCCCCAAGAUUGUGGCUUUGCAUACAUUAGCAUCAUGGAUAUUUAGAGAAUACAUACUAACAAUAUUGUUAUCAUGCUCAUCAUUCAAGGAAUUCACAUUAAGCGUUUUUAUAAAUUCUUCCUCUAACAAUUCAACACAAUUUUCCAAACCAUCAUUUUCACGAAAGACAUUAAAAAGGCGAAGAAAUUGAGGCACACUAAAUUCCAUUUUUUGUAGUUUUGUUUUAUAAAAGUAGACUAGUUUAAAACAAGAAACUAAGAGAUUUAAUUGUAAGAUCUAAAUAUAUACCUUGAAGCACUCACCUCCCGAACAACGAUGCCAGAAAAGAGCUUGACAUCUAUUACGCAACUUUAUUCUUGUAGAUGUUGUUGGGCGUCCAAGUGCAGAGUUUUGUAGGGUUGUAGAAAAUUUCCCUCAAGUGGAUGACCUAAUGUUUAUCAAUCCAUGGGAGGUGUAGGAUGAAGAUUGUCUCUCUCAAACAACCCUGCAAUCAAAUACAAGAAAUCUCUUGUGUCCCCCAACACACCCAAUAAAAUGGUAAAUUCUAUAGGUGCACUAGUUCGGCGAGGAGAUGGUGAUACUAGUGUAGUAUGGAUAGUAGAAGUAGAAUUUUAUAAUCUGAAUAAAUAAAAAUAACAAGGUAACAAGUAGUAAAUAGUGAGAAAAAUAUUAUAUAAAUGCUUGGAAAUAAGGCCUAGGGUUCAUACUUUCACUAGUGCAAUAUAUCAACAACGCUAACAUAAUAGAAUCAUAUGGUCAUCGCUCAACUCGCAACAAAGAAUCACUCCAAGGUUCAUAUCUAGCGGAGAACAUAAGAUGAAAUUGUUGUAGGCAGCAAACCACCUCAAAGUUACCCUUUCCGAUCAAUCCAUUGGGCUAUUCCUAUAAGUGUCACAAACAUCCCUGGAGUUCGUACUAGAAUAAAACCUAUGAUCAAUGUUGAGGAUAUCGCUUAUUGUUAUCGUCUUGGUGAGUUGGCGAUUAGAGAUUAAUCAGGAAUUGGCCGAUUAUUAGAUUUUACCGGUCACUCAUAGUUGUGGUCUGCGUUGGGUUUUCAGUGAAGAGGAAUGGGUGAUCUAGCACAUUAUAGAGAAGUAUUUCCCUAAGUAGAGAACAAAGGUUUAUUAAACCAAUAGGAGUAACAACCAGCCCCCGUCUUCAGCGACUGCACACAAAGAAGCAAACACUUGCACCCAACGCGCGUAAGAGGGUUGUCAAUCCCGAUGGACUCAUUUUUUGCAAUCAAGCAAAGUGUGUAGAUGAAAGUGAAACCAAAGUAAAUAAAAAGUAAAUAAAGGCAGCAAGGUAAUUGUAGUGUUUUUAAACUUAUAAGUGAAUAGACCUGGGGGCGUAGUUUUCCCUAAUGGCAUCGCUCAUUUAGUAGGCAUACGGUGGGUAAAAAAUUUACUCUUGGGCAGUUGGUAGAAAAGCACAUGGUUAUGUGAUAUUCACGGCAAUGAUCAUGUAUAUAUAGGCAUCACAUUCAUAAUAAAAUAGGCAUGCAUCUAGAGUAUUAAGUAAAACAGAGUAAUCCUUGAGAACAAUGACAUGAUGUAGACAAAGAGAACUCAAUCAAUACGAAUGAAUUAACCCUUUCGUUUUAUCCUUAGUGGCAACAAUACAAAGAUGUGUCCUUUUCCCUUUCUGUUAUCGGGAUAUAGAGCUCCGCCAGAUUGAACCCACUACAACGCACCCCUCUCACUUAAAAAUAUCAAUCUAGUUAGCCAAACUAUUUCAAAAGAUCGGAGAGAUUUACAAAUCUAUAAUAAUCGUGCAAAUAAGAAUCAUAAUAGAAUUCAGAGAAGACUCAAAUAUUUAUCAUGAAUAAUCUAAACAUAAACCCACAAUUCAUUGGAUCCUAACAAAGGCACCACACAAAAUAAUUACAUCGGGUAGAUCAAAGCGAAGAUGUGAUGACCAUUGUAUUGAAGAUCAAGAGAGAGAUAAGCAUCUAGGUACUAACUACGGACCCGUAGGUUUGUGGUGAACUACUCACACAUCACCAUGGGAGCUGCAAGGUUGAUAUAGAGGUCCUUAGUUAUUGAACCCCCUCUCGCAGGACAUCGGAACAGGGCUCUAGAUGGUCACACGAUGGAACGAAGACUUGCGGCGGCGAGAAAAGUGUUUCUCGUGGCUCCCAUAGGGUUUGGGGGAAGUUUAGAAUUUUUAGGCCAAAGAGGGACGUGGGGGGCCACACGAGGGGGGAAAUAGACAUGAGGGCGUGGCCAGCCCCAUGGGCGUGCCCUAUAAUGUGUUCCCUCCCUCGUGCAUCGUAUAGUCUCCUUCCUAAGCUUCGAGGUCUUCUUUUGGUCCAGAAAAAAUCAUAAAAAAGUCUCAUGGUAAUUGGACUCUGCUUGGUACUAUAAACCUGAAAAAGUCAAAAAACAUGCAAAAAACAACAACUGCCACUGGGCACUGGAUUAAUAGGUUAGUGCUCAAAACUAAUAUUAGCCGGUAUAUAAACACCCUACAAGCAACCUAGAAUGAUAAUAUUAUAGCAUGGAACAAUCAAAAGUUAUAGAUACAUUGGAGAUGUAUCAGCAUCCCCAAGUUUAAUUCCUGCUUGUCCUCGAGUAGGUAAAUGAUAAAAACAGUUUUUUUUGAUGUGACAUGCUACCCAACAUGUAGUCUAUUGCAGGUUUGAUAAUUGAGAAACGAUGAGUUAAUAAAUAUUACAAUAGUAAUAUUCAUAAACAUAAGCAAUAUAAUCACCAAGUUUAAAAAUAUACGAUCCUUAAAUAAUGUUCACCCCCUAUUCAUUUUAUCAUAUAAGCAUAGCAUGGUUGUGUCUUGACCUCAUAAAUACAAAUGUUAAGCACCACAAUGUCAAGCCAGGCAAUUGGAUCAUACUCUUUAAUGCAUUCAACUUGUUAUUACUCACACAAUAUAUGAGUGUGAACCAUGUAUAUAUCAUAAAGGUGGAAUAGAAUAUGGUGAUAUCUUUUAAAGGGGUGAAAGUGGCAAAGAAAGUCUCGCAUCAACUAGGUGUAUCAACGGGCUAUGGAGAUUCCCAUCAAAAGAUAUCAAUGUGAGGACUAGGGAUUGCCAUGCAAUGGAUGCAUUAGAGCUACAAGUGUAUGAAAUCUCAACUGAAGUUAAGUGGGUGUGCAUCCAACUUGCUUGCUCAUGAAGACAUCGAGCAUUUUAGGAAGCCCUCAUUGGAAUAUACAAGCCAAGUUUUAUAAUGAAAAACUCCCACUAGCAUAUGGAAGUGACAAAACAAGAGACUCUAUGUAUGAAGAACAUGGUGCCACUUUGAGGCACAAGUGUGGAGAAAGAAGUAGUAGCAUUAUCCCUUCUCUCUUUUCUCUCAUUUCUUUCUUUCUUUUCUCUUUUUUUUACUUUUUCCCUUUUUUGUCCGGAGUCUCAUCCCGACUUGUGUGGGAAUCAUUGACUCCAUCAUCCUUUGCUCACCGAGACAGUGCCCUAAUAAUGAUGAUUAUCACUCUUUUAUUUACUUACAACACAACAUGAAAAACUGUAGUAUGACUCUAUAUGAAUGGCUUUGGUAGUUUACCAGGAUGUGCAAUGAUCAAGCAUAACAUGUAUAAAAAUGAUGAACGGUGGCUUGACACAAACACUAUGUCAACUUAAUUACAUGAUCAUGCAAAGCAAUAUGACAAUGGAAGUAUAAAUCAUAUGAUGUUAUGGUGGAAGUUGCAUGGCAAUAUAUCUUGAAUGUUUAUGGAAAUGCCAUGAUAGGUAGGUACGGUGGAUGUUUUGAGGAAGAUAUAAUGAUGUUUAUAUGAAAUAGAUCAUAUCAUGUCAUGGGUUUUGGGUGCACCGACGAAAGUAGCAUGGUCCUUGUGGUGAGAAUGGGCAAUGCACGGUACACAAGAGGCUAGCAAAUAUGUGGAGGUGAGAGUGCGUAUAUCCAUGGAUUCACAUUAGUCAUAAAAACUCACAUACGUAUUGCAAGAUUUUAUUAGCUCUCUCGAAGCAAAGAACUACUUGCAUACCCCUAGGGAGGAGGUUGGUAGGAGUUAACCAUCGCACGCCCCCGACAUAAACAACACUAGGAUUUCAACGAGGAAUAAGGAUGCUCACACAUCAUCACCAUUCCAUAAAAAAAUUGGAUGAACAACAAGUUAACAACCUGUAAUUCAUGAUACUUAUACUACCCAAUGAUCAUGCACUCAUGCUAUUUCACAUUACCAUAUUAAUAUCACUAAUCAUGAUUUCUCUUUUAUGUGCUACAUGUGGUUUUGAUUAUGCACUCAUUGAAUACCUAUUAUUUUUUGGACUAGUCUUAUAACCCAUGAAAAUUACCAUCGCUAUUUAUUAACUAUCAAACAAAUAUAAGUGAAUAAUGAUAAUGCAAUUAUUUAUUUAAAAUCUAUACACCACCAUGCUCUAAAAGAUAUAAGUGAAGCACUAGAGCAACUCCUAAGCUCAAAAGAUAUAAGUGAAGCACAUAGUAUUCUAAUAAAUCAUGGUGAUCUUGUGUAUCUCUCAAGUGGGUGUAUUCAAAGAACAAUAAUUGUGGAAAACUAAAACAAAAGAAAACUAAAGCAAACGAUGCUCCAAGAAAAACUCAUAUCAUGUGAUGAAUAAAAAUAUAGCUCCAAUUUACCUACCCAUGGAUUCACUCGAAAGAGGGGAUGCCUUCCGGGGCAUCCCCAAGCUUAGACCCUUGAGUAUUCCUAGAAUAUUACCUUGGGGUGCCUUGGGCAUCCCCAAGCUUAGGCUCUUGCCACUCCUUAUUCCUUCAUCCAUCGUCAUAACACCCAAUACUUGAGAAUUUCAGCACACAAAACUCAACAGAAACUUCGUGAGAUCCAUUAGUAUAAUAAACAUAUCAAAUACUUUAGGUACUGUUAUAAAUUGGUUCGUAUUUUAUUAUUGUAUAAGUACUGUAUUCUAAAUUCUCCAAGACUUAUACCCCCCCGAUACUGUCCAUGGCAUCAUCAAAACAAGCAAACUCUGGAAGCAAAAAUAGAAUCUGUCUAAAACAGAAGAGUUUGUAAUGAUAUAAUUAAGUACCAAACUUCUCGAACUCAAAAAACUUCUGAAAUAUAGGACGACAUGAGGAAUUUGUAUAACAAUACUAUGUAAAAAAAUCAGAUCAAAAGGGCGUUCCAGUAAAAUCAUAGAAAUUCUCUAGUGGACGUCAAAAUUUCUGGUUUUGCACUGCAUCAAUUCUACUAUCAUUCAAAUCAUCCCAAAUGCUUUAUUGGCAUAAACACUAAUUGAAACAUAAAAACACAAUCAUUAAAUAGGAAACAAUCAUGUUAUCAAACACAAACAUAAAAUUAAGAUAACUAUUAGGUUGCCUCCCAACUAGCGCUAUUGUUUUACGCCCCUAGCUAGGCAUGAUGGAUAUGAUUCAAGUAUUGUCAUCUUUGAAACUCCGCCCAUAAGUAUCAUUCAUGGUAGAUUCAUAAGGUGGUUUGAUUCUCUUUAUAGGGAAGUGUUCCAUCCCUUUUUUAUGGGAAUUAGAAUCGUAUGUUUCCCUCUUUUAUGUCAAUUAAUGCACCUAUAUUCGUAGAACAAUUCUCCCAAGUAUUGAUGGACAAGAUGGGUUGGAAUCAAUAUCAAGAACUAUAAAAUCUACAAGCACAUAAUUUCUAUUAGCAAUUAUGAGGAUAUCAUUUAUUCUUUCCAUAGGUUUCUUAAUAGUAGAAUCCACAAGAUGUAAAUUAAGGGAACACUCAUGAAUGUUAGUGAGACCAAGUACAUCACAUAAAGAUUUAGGUAUAGUUGAAACACUAUCACCUAGUUCACACAAGGCUUUGCAUUCGCAUUCUUUGAUUUCAAUUUUAGUAGUAGCUUCCCACUAAUCAUGCGAAUUUCUAGGAAUAGAGACUUCUAACUCAAGUUUUUCAUCAUAGGCUUUUACCAUAGCUUCUCCUAUAUGUUGAGUAAAAGCUUUAUUUUGUUCAUAAGCAUUGAGUGAGUUAAUGAUGGAUUGCAGCAAGGAAAUAUAUUCUACUAAACAACAAUUAUCAUAAUUAAAAUCCGUGUUAUCCAAGAUAGUGGUUACAUCGCUAGUUAAAGUUUUAACCUCCCCAAACCCACUUUUUCAGUUUUAUCACUAUAGUCAUCACCCUCCAAGCAAUUGGAACACUCUCUAGCUAGAGUUAACUCAUCUCCAGUCCCUUUAUCGUUCAAUUUCAGAUUAGUAAACAAUGAUUCAAUAGGAAAAGUACCAAGCAGUUCAAGAUCUUCAUCAUGAUUACUAAUGGAGAGAAUUACGGGUUAGCAGCCAUCCUAUUCACUAGAGUGGUUUGUUUAUCUAAAAUCUUCCGUAUUAAUACUUCAGUUUGAGAAAAUUGUAGUUGAAGAUUACAUACUUAUUGAUUGACUUCAUCAAGUUGUUUACUAAUUGCAUCAAGUAUAGUUGAGUGUUACUUAAUUUUCAGCAAAAAAUUAAUUGUGCUCAUAUUAUGGGAUCAUGAAAGUUUUCAUGGAGUUUUCAAUUCAGACCUCUUUUGGUAGUAGAAAAUUUUAUAGAAUCUAUCUUGUGACAUGGUGACCGAGCAAGCAAAGUAACAAGCAGGACAAGUAAACUAGCGAGCAAAGAAGUAAACUAGUGACUAGCAAAAAUACAUAUCUUUGUAUUUUUUUUAUUUUUAUGAAGCAAGCUAAAUAUAACAACAAAUAAAAAGAAUAACAAGUGAAUGAUAAUUUAUGCAAAGUUACUUGACAGUAGGUUGGUGGUACUCCUCGGCUACAGCGCCGUAAAUCCUUCCUCAUACUUGUGAUCUGCUUUGGCUUUUCUGUGAAGAGGAACAAGUGAUGCAACACAGUAUACAUACGUAUUUCCCACGGUAGAGAACCAAGGUUUAUGGAACCAAUAGGAGUAACAACCAGCCCCGGUCUUCAGCGACUGCACAAAGAGAAGCAAACACUUGCUCCCAAUGCGGGCAAGAGGGUUGUCAAUCCUGUUGGACUCGUUUUUUGCAAGCAAGUAAAGUGUUUAUAUGAAGGUUGAUAAAUUCAAAGGAAAUAGAAAGUAAAUAAAGGUAGCGAGGUAAUUGUAGUGUUUGUGAAAUUAUAAGUGAAUAGACCCGGGGGUCGUAGUUUGCCCUAAUGGAAUCUCUCAUGUAGAAGGCAUAGGUGGGUAAACAAAUUAUUGUUGGGCAAUUGAUAGAAAAGUGCAUAGUUAUGUGAUAUUCACGACAAUAAUCAAAUAUAUAUAUAGGCAUCACGUCCAUAAGCAAAUAGGUUGAUUCCUGUCUGCACCUAUUACUAUUACUCCACCCGUCGACCGCUAUCCAGCAUGCAUCUAGAGUAUUAAGUAAAUGGAGAACAAUGAGAUGAUGUAGACAAAGAGAACUCAAUCAAUAUGAAUUAACCCCAUCGUUUUAUCCUUAGUGGCAAAAAUACAAAGACAUGUCCUUGUUACUUUCCGUCAUUGGGAUAUAAAACCCCGCCAAAUUGAACCCACCACAACCCACCCCUCUCACUGAAGAAAUAUCAACUUAGUUGGCCAAACUAUUUCAAUAGAUUGAAGAGAUUUGCGAAGCUAUAACAAUCAUGCAAAUAAGACUUAUAAUAGAAUUCAGAGAAGACCCAAAUUUUUAUCAUGAAUAAUCUGAACAUAAACCCACAAUUCAUCGGAUCCCGACAAACGCACCUCACAAAAGUAUUACAUCGGAUAGAUCAAAACGAAGAUGCGGUGAUUAUUGUAUUGAAGAUCGAGAGAGAGAGAGAGGGAGAGAGAGAGAUAGCCAUCUAAGUAUUAAAUACGGACCCGUAGGUAUGUGGUAAACUACUCACACAUCACCAUGGGAGCAACAAGCUUGAUGUAGAGGUCCUCGCAAUCUGUCCCCCCUCCAGCAGGGCAACGGAACAGGGCUCCCCAUCAGCACACGACGGAACAAAGAUUUGCGGCGGCGGAAAAAGUGUUUCUGAUGGCUACCAUAGGGUUUUGGAAUAUUUUAGAAUUUAUAGGCUAGAGAGGAACGUCGGGAGCCACACGAGGGGGCAUGACAUAUCAGAGUUCGGCCACCCCCUGGGCGUGCAAUGUUGUGUGCUCCCUCCCUCGUGCAACGUCUGGUCUCCUCCAAAAGCUUUCAGGUAUGAUAAAAAAGUUUCGUGGCAAUUGGACUCCGUUUGGUACUGUAAACUAACAAGCCAAAAACAUGUAGAAAAUCACAACUCGCACUUGGCACUGGGUUAAUAGGUUAGUGCUCAAAAGUAAUAUUAAUUGGUAUAUAAACACCCUAAAAGCAUCCUAGAAUGGUAAUAUUAUAAAAUGGAACAAUACAUAAUUAUAGAUACAUUGGAGAGCUAUCAGUCACAUAUUAAUCGAUCAUUUUUUGCAAAUCCUUGGUUCCCAAUACUAAAUUUUGCUAUAUUCAAACACCAAAACAAUAUUGGAGUGAAGUUUUACCUUGAUUCCUAAUGUUUGAAUUCUCGUAUAAUGAUAACCAAAAUAAGACAACAAUACAUAUUGCAUAACAACGCCAACAAAACACAAAUAAACAUAAUUUUUGCAAACAUAGUGAUAUGAAUAGGCCCAAUCUAUCGUAGGUUCCAGAUAAAUCGCUUGCGAGAGUGAUAAAUCUGCCCAAACAAUAAAUGGUGAAGAUAAGGCACAAUCUUAUCGGUCACCCCCUCAGUAGCGAUAAAUCAAACAAUUAAUCGCUGAAUCUGACGUUUUUUUGAACAAUGCCUAGGAUACACGUCAAUCAACCCUAAUGCCACCUAGAUACUCCAAUGUCACCUCAAGUAUGCGUAGAUUAAUUAUUUGACAUGCAUCAAGCAAUUUCAGGUUUAUCAUAUGCAAUCCAACAGAAAGAACUUCAAAGAGUAUCCCAAGAUUUCUAUCAGAGAAAGUAGGACAAGAACGUGUAUCAACCCCUAUGCAUAGAUUACAGCAUUGUCACCACGGAAAUCUGCAAGUUGAGUACAAAGAUAUACAUCAAGUGAUCUCAAAUCCAAUAUUCAAUCCAACAUAACAAAAUCUCAAGGGGAAAGAUUCAAUUCAUCACAUCAAGAUAGCAAGGGAAGAACACCAUAUGAGCCAACAAUAUUAACAAAGCUCAUGAUACAUCAAGAUCAUACCAUCUCAAAAAUCUCAGAGAGGGAGAUCAAACACAUAGCUACUGGUACAUACCCUCAGCUCCGAGGGUGAACUACUCCCUCCGCGGCAUGGACACCGUCGGGAUGAUGAGGAUGGCAACCGGUGAUGAUUUACCCCUCCGGCAAGGUACGAGAAAGACUCCCGAUGGGUUUUUCUUUGAUAUAGAGAGUUGCAGCGGCGGAGCGGAAGUUCUAGGUUAACCUUCGAGGGUUUCUGGAUUUAUAGGAAUUUUUAGCGUUAGAAUCACGUCGGCCGGAAUCACGUGGGUGCCACAAGCUAACAGGGCGCGCGUGGGGGAGGGGCGGUUGGCGCGCCCUGUUGGCUUGUGGCCCACAGGUGGCCCCCCUCCCGUGGUUCUUCGCUCCGGUAUUUCUCAUAUUUGCUAGAACAGAUCGUCAAAAAGUUCCGGACGAUUCCAAGAACUUUUAUUUUCUGCACAAAAAACAACACCACGAUAAUUCUACUGAAAACAAUGUCAGUCCGGGUUAGUUCUAAUUAAAUCAUAUAAAGUGCAUCACAAUCAUAUAAAAGUAUUGUAAACAUAGGCAAAUAUGGCAUGGAUACUUCAAAAUUAUCGAUACGUUGGGGACGUAUCAUCGGCAUUCUUCCUCUCUCUGAAGAAAAUUGUUUACCCAUGUUUAAUAUUUUGCUAGAUGAGCAAGAUUUACCGGAGAAAAUUGUGUUCCAACUGCCGACGGACAAAUACAACAGAAUAAACUACCAUGUGUCAAGGAAUUCCUAGAAAAAAACAUGUAAGUGUGUCAUACAUUCAGUUUUCUUCCUAAUUCUUGACACUUACGAAGUAAGGUCAGUUUAUUGUUCAUGUAGCUUCGACAUCUAAAGUAAUUCAGAUUUCUAUUACAAAUUGUUGCAGGGUAUGAACAACUUGGACUAACUGUAAGUUGUAGCAUGGGAGUUCAUUAUGGCAAGUCAAAGGAGAACUUGAAGUAAUGCAUCUUCGAAAUAAUAGGAGUUAUCUUUCAGAAACUCCUCUUCUUCUAGCUUUGUCAAUUAUAUAUUCGCUUUUCUUCCUAAAUUUUAUAAAUCCUAAUUAGUCAUGCUCAAUUAAGUUCUGCUCAUGUAGCUUUGACACUUGAAUUAAUUCAGUUUUUUGUUUCAAAUUGUUGUUCGGUCUGGACAAGUUGGAGUAAUUGGAACUGUAGCAUGGGAGUUCAUCAUGGCAAAGUAAAAGAAGAACUUAAAGUAAUUCAUCACUACGCAGUAACAUGAAUAUCGGGUCACAAGUUGAAAAGUAGAAAAAAAUUGAGAAGUUAGCACACAUUGGUCUAUCUAUAUAUUUUUCUUAAGAUUGAAGUUAGUGAGUGAAUGUUUACUAUCCAGUAAUUGUCAUUUCAAGUGACUAGUUGGAAACUGUCCAAUAGUUCAUUAUAAUUUGUGCUGAGUGAAUGAUUACUAUCCAAUAGAAAUACUUAGUAUCCGGCUUUUUUCUCUACCUCUUUUAUUAAAGAAUUUAAUACAUUUUGUUGUUGAGAACAACAUUUUUUUAUGACUAUGUACAUUUCAAUGAGGUGUAUGAUAAAAAAAUAAGAAAAAUCAAUUUAAUAUGCACAAAUUACUGAGGAAUAUGUUCAUUUUUCAAAUGAGAAAGAAGAAAAUGUGCUACUAGUUGAAUGUAUCCAAAGGAAAGAAGAAGGCAAAGAAAGAACAAAAAGUGAAACACCAACGAGAAGAAAAGAAAAAGGAAGCAACGGAGGAGUGAGACAAGUCAGAAUUUUUGAAUCAGUCCACUCGCGCGGACGCCAGCUGGACCGGCCUAGUCGCGCCCUCUCUUAAGGGAGAGUCCCCUCUGGUCUCGCGUAAGGCGAGACAUAGGGCCCCCUCUAGAUACGUCAUUCUUAUAAAUUUGCACAAAUAAUGGAUGCAAGAAUUUCCAUUGAUAUUUUAUCUUUGUUUUGACCUGAUUUAUAUGGCAGUUUGCGGCAAAAAAACACCUAGCACCCGCAGUUGCACCGGUGAAUAACCAGUUUUAAAAACUACUCCCUCCGUCCGAAAAAAGUUGUCCAAUGCUUAGUUCAUUUUAAAUUUUGCAAAUACACCCUUUUCGUUUUAAAUCUCGUGCUAAUCCCCCCUCCUCUGCUUCUUCUUCCUUCACCCGUGGCUGGACCAAGUGGCCAUCUUCGCCACCGUCGGCAGCCGCCGUAGAUGUAGCGGGCGGCCGCCACCCACCCGCGCCGCUGCCCACCUGCGCCGCCCUCAAGCUGUCCUCCCACCUGCUGCAGCGAAUCUGGCCUUCCAAGCCCGACGCCGUUCUCGCCUUCCUCGCCGGCCUCGGCCUCUCCGGCGUUGACGUCGCUGCCCUCGUCUCCAAGGACCCACAGUUCCUCUGCGCCGGCGUGGAGAGCAACCUGCGCCCCGCCGCCGUCCGGUUCACCAGCCUCGACCUCUCGCGUUCUGAGCUCGCGCGCCUCGUCUCCAUCUGCCUUGCCGCACGGAGGCGAGCCGCGGGUCCGCGAGCUGUCGGGGUUCGAGUCCCGCGUCCAGCUAUGCGUGGUACGUCACUGCAUUUCCACUAUGGAGAGAUCAAUUUGUUCUGUGAGUGUCCACUAUACACAAGUGCGCAUAUCAGUAUGUGGUGAAUUUGGUAACUGGGAUUGGGAACGCCGACUGGGGAGACAAUAGCUGUAUUUGUGCUACUCAUAUCCUCUGAAUUGCACUUGGUCCAUUGUGGAUCCGCAGUACUUUGCUGAAACCAUUGUUUCAUGUGACAUGGAGGGACUCAUAUCCCCUUCUCAAUAAACUGAAGCUGUUUUCUGCCAGUUUUACCCAGGGUGUGUUCACCAUGUUUGCAAGGUAGUUAGUGAGCUAGUGCCUGAACUAUUAAACACAUCCGAGCUUUGUUAUGGUUUAUACUUCCUUGUGUACCAGCUUGAAUUUAGUGAUGCCAUCUGUAGGAUAACAUGCUAUGAAUCAAUAAGGAAGUUAUUGUCAUGUCUACUGGAAAGGAAAAUUGGUCAUCAUAUUAUGCAACUAUGUUUAGCUCAGAUUGAACCUUCUCAAGAACUGAAAGUUGACACAAUAUUCCAACACUUCCCAGAUAACUGAAGAAAACUGAAUUUUAAGGUUUAUUUCAGACUUGUCUCUUGCUAAAAUGUUGCAGGUCACAUAGCUCUUUCUACAAUCAUUUUUUAGUCCACUAUUAGAGAACACUGAAGGAAACUGUUCAGGGCGACGAGGAACAAUUAUCUGUUUUGAGUACUGUAGAAAACUUGUGCAGUACUCAGAACAUGUGCUCUUGUAACAAUCAGUUCUCUGUUUUGGUUGCACAUAGUAACUGUUUUGUGUAAUGAAAAAAACUGCAUUGCUGCUUGUGAUGGCUUGUGAUGAUUAUUAAUUCUUGCUGUUGAUAUCCACUACAAUAUCCUUGAAGUUUAAAAGGACCCUGUGUUUUUAGGAAAUGCAUGAAGUUCAACAAUGCACCCUGGAUAUUUAAAACCUUUGUUAACUGAGAAUACUUAAAAUGGUGCUAUGGCAGCCUCUUUGCCCUGUUUCAAUUAUUUGUCUCUAUCAUUUGUAUAUUGGGAAGAAUGCUUCAUUUGUUUACAUUAUGGUGCUAACCGGAUUCAUCUAUCAAUGAUUAUAGAUAGAAGCAGAGGAACGACUAUGGAUUUGAACUUGAUGGCUGAAGAGGAGGAAGGAGCUCGAGAGGGUCAUGCUAUGGAUUUGAACUUGAUGGCUGAAGAGGAGGAAGGAUCUCAAGAGGGUCAUGCUAUGGAUUUGAACUUGAUGGCUGAAGAGGAGGAAGGAGCUCGAGAGGGUCAUGCUAUGGAUUUGAACUUGAUGGCUGAAGAGGAGGAAGGAGCUCGAGACGGUCAUGGUAUGGAUUUGAACUUGAUGGCUGAAGAGGAGGAAGAAGCUCAAUAUGGUCAUGCUAUUGAUUUGAACUUGAUGGCUGAAGAGGAUGAAGGAGCUCGACAUGGUCAUGCUAUGGAUACGAACUUAAUGGCUGAAGAGGAGGAACAAGCUCGAGAGGAAGAAGCUGAUGCACAAGGUAAUGCAAAAAAGAAGGAGCUAACAGACAAUGAGAGGUUUGGUGUUUACUUUGCUCUGCGAGUAAUCGAGCUCAGAGAUGGGAAGGUUCAUCCAUAUGAUAAGGUGCUCAUCGCAACGCUGAUGAAUGUAUGCGUACGAACAGUUUCAAGAAUAUGGAAUCUAGCGAAAGAACAACUUGACUUAGGCCAAGAAGUGAACGUUUCAAGCAAGAAGAAGGGGAAUGUUGGUAGAAAGAGAAAAGAGCUAGACUUGGCGAGAACAGCUACGGUCCCACUGAACAGAAGAAGGACAAUCAGAUCUCUUGCAAGGUGUUUGGGUGUUCCCCGCUCGACGCUACAUGAUAGGUUUCAGUUAAAAGAGCUGAAACGCAUCACUAACACUGUCAAGCCCUUCCUCAAGCGAGCUAACAAGAUAGCGAGACUGAAAUUUUGCAUAUCCAUGAUGGAUGAGCACUCGAUAUCAACCCCCUAUCCUAGCUUCAAAUCAAUGAAUAAUAUGGUUCAUAUAGACGAGAAAUGGUAUGACAUGACGAGGGUUAAGAACACUUACUAUGUACUGCCCGGAGAACCUGAACCUGAGCGCACUGUCUCAAACACUAACAGUAUUGGGAAGGUCAUGUUCUUGACCGCCGUGGCAAAGCCCCGGUACAAUGAUGAAGGAGAGAUGACAUUUGAUGGAAAGAUUGGGACUUGGGCGUUUGUUGUUGAGACAGAGGCACAACGGAACAGUCAAAAUAGAGAUAGAGGAACGAUUGAGGUGAAAUCAGUGAAGGUAACCAGACAUGUAUGCAGAGAGUACCUGAUCAAUAAAGUAAUCCCGGCAAUCCAAGACAAGUGGCCCGACGAUGACGAGGGCACCACAAUCUUCAUUCAACAAGACAAUGCAAAGCCUCAUGUUCUUCCUAACGAUCCAGGUUUUCGAGAAGCAGUGGAGCAAACAGAUUUGGACAUUCGAUUGUUACAACAACCUCCAAACAGCCCCGAGUUCAAUGUUUUAGACCUGUGCUUCCACCGAUCUCUCCAAUCCCUAACCGACUACAGAGCGCCUAUGAAUAUCCGGGAACUGAUACAGGGUGUAGAGGAGGAGUUUGAGAACUAUGAGGCUCAUAUUUGAAUUAUUUGGUUUUUUAUGAAUUUAUUUGGAUUUUUUGGAUUUUAUGAAUUUAUUUGGAUUUAUUUGAAUUAUUUGGAUUUUUAUGAAUUUAUUUGAAUUUAUUUAAAUUAUUUAAAUUAAUUUGACAAUAAAAUCUUAUGACAAGAUAUAAAGACAAAAACUCUAGUUGAGAGAAAUAAUAUCUUUAUUAAGAGUCAUUACAAGAUGUACAAGGUCAUUACAAGGAGUUGGAAGAAGAGAAAUAAUAUCUUCAUAAGGGUCAUUACAAGUUGUAUAAGAUCAUUAGAAUAAAUUCUUCUCCUUCUUCUUCUUCUUCAUAUUUUUCUUCUUCUUCUUCUUCUUCUUCUUCUUCAAUACACAUGAUAGUUUCCUAUUCUCCAAAUAAUUCUGCAGUACACAAACAAAACGUUAUCUUUUCAACCAUUUCAGAAACUCCAAGUUGUCAAGUGGCCGUCCUUUAACAAGUUUGUUGACCUCAAUAUUCUGCAGAAAGCAUCCACCCACUAAUUAGCAUAAUAAAGAACAUUUUAUGCUACAGAUUACCUAUAUUCAUAAAGAGUAGAAGCUCUAGAAGAGAGAAGAAGCACCCUUAGCUCGGUUUACUAAAACACAGGCUCUAAAAAUGGGCAAAACAUUCAGAAAGCACAACUCCUUUUCUUGUGCUUGAAAACACAAUGUCUACUGUGAAGGAAACAUAAAAACGUCUCCUCAACAGGAGAUGAAAGACAAGCAGGCCUGGGAUAGAAACUAAAACUAGCCUUUUUGUUCAGAUCUGCUUCAGACCACCACAUAUUCUCCUGAUUGCCUGAGCUUCAGAGGAGGUGCAGCAAUGGCUUGUGGUGACCAACAUGCAGAGAGGAUAGAGACGGGGCUGCUCAGUGUGCAUUUGUCCCUAGGGGCCUUUUCUUGCUCGGGAGUGGUAGCAGUCGUCGUCAUCAGAUACCUUGAGAUUAGGGAUCCCUUCAUUUGAAACCUGCUUCAGCAUCAGCCACUUAGGAUCAUGGGGGGCAGCUGGGUGUAUCUUGUCAGCUCCUCCAAGAAGCCCAACAUCUUCAGCUUGCCAUGUUCUGGUGUCAGUAUCUCCCAGGAUUUGAGAGUCCUGAGGAUCACUCUCCAGACCUGCUCAGCAUAUAUCCAAGUGUUGUUGUUAAAGAUCAUAGAGUUCUUAUACAUCCACCCACUAAUUAGCACAAUAAAGUAAGCAAAGCAACAUAAUUCAGCAUUCCAUUUAAAGAGUAGCCACAUUUGUUUGGGUCUAGAACAUAAGCCUAAGAAUCCAGCAUCUAUGAACGUCGCGCAGUGCUCGAUAUAUCGAACCAAUUGCUGCAAUCAGGUAGGAGGAGAAAUAGCACACUGCCGGCGUCCUCACUGUACGCCGUGGCGGCGGCGGCGGAGACCGAAGAGGAGGAGGAGGAGGAGCCGCAGCGCGCGGCGACGAACGACACCCCUCCGAGCGCUCGCCGCGGCCGCGGACCUCAUCUCACCGUUGCAGCACGGACGCGGUCGCAGCCGCCGCGGGCCUCAUCUCGCCGCCGACGGUGGUGGGUGUGCGGGCGGGCGGGCGAGCGGCGCAGGAUGGCUGCUGAGGGGGCUGUGGACGGACUCCGCGGCGACACGAGGCUUCGAUUGGGCCAAACAAACAAAGCUGUCCCGAUCCAAACAAACAAAACUUACCGGAGACUCGCCGGAGCUGGAGUAUGCACGGGCAGUGCCGCCGCCGGAGCCGGCAAAUCGCGAGCUUGGAAGAAAAGGGUCUCCUUCCAUCUUGAGAUCCUGAUGAGGAAGAAGAGAAGAGGUCGACGGUUGGCGGGGCGAUAGAGACAGCGGCGAGACGAGCGGGAGAAGGCGGUCGGCGGUCGGCGGUCGGCGAUAGAGACGGCGGCGAGACGAGGCCCGGAGCUUAGGAGGCGGCGCGGCGCGGUGGCACCAGGAGUUGCAGCGCGGCGCGGUGGAGGAAGAUGGAGGGGAGCGCGCGUUCGGUCGGGCAAACAUGAAGGGGUUUUUUGAAAAAAUGCCUCGGUGACAUCUUUUUUCGGACGGAGGGAGUAGUAGUUCGUUUAUCUUUUUAUAAAAGCUUAUUUCCACGUGGUGAUGCCCAGCCCUGUCUUUACCAUGACACCAAACGAGCUCUAUGGAGUUACGAUGUCGCCAAAAUGAGCUCAUCCUGUCAACGUUCCGCGCGCGAGUCGCCCCACAAGGUGCCAGGUCACUCUGCAAACCUUGUUAAAACAUCAGACGCACGCACACGAGGUUCUCGGGCCAGGAACGGAGCUCCGACGCAAGGGCAAGGCUUCGCCAUGGCUAGCUACGUUCCUCGCAUCUGGCUCCCACGGACGUUCGUGGAGCAGCAGGCGCACAAGUUCAUAUCUCGGGCUUCGAAUUUCUACACGAGAAUCACAGGGUACACACACAUACUGUACUCCUAUAUUCUUCUAUCGAAUGCUCCUUUUCUGUUCCUACAUGUGGUAGAGUAAUUUCGUAGAGAACUGGUAGUGGUAUCUAGGAUGGCUGUCCCGCUGCAUGGACUAAUCUCAGAGAUUUUCCUCCGCCCAGAUAGCCGCCCCGUGAUUGACCACUUCCCCGACAGUGCCUGAAAUUCUGACUUCGAGCUGAGAGCAGAUACUUGACCACUUCCACUUCCCCAUGAUUAAUUUGUCAGUCUUGCUAUUUGAAUGUGCAUGUUGAUCUCAUGUAGUAGUCCAACCGCGAUACGAUACAUUACAUGUAUCGGCCCGAGAAACAUAUAUUAAUACUGAAACCGGUACCAUUUCAAAAUUACCUCAUGAGAAUCUAAAAACUAACUACUCCCUCAGUCCCGAUGUAUAAGUCAUUUGUGUAGUUCUAGGUCAUCGAUUUAAGGAAUUAAAUAUAUGUUAUAUGUUAUAAAAAGUAUAUCACUAGAUUUCUACACGGAUGUAGUUUCUAAAUAUAUGUUUUUUUGUCACAUAUGAUACAUAUUUACAUAGUUAAAUUGUCGACCUAAAACUACGCGAACGACUUAUACACCGGAACGGAGGUAGUAGUAUGAUGCAAAUAUUGAUUCCUGAACUAUUGAAAAAACCCUGAAACUGGAGAUAGAAAAUAGGAGAGAAAACUUAGACAGGAAAAGGCAAAGAAGAAAAAUCAAAAGGAUAAAUUAGCGUACUACACUCGGUCGAGGGGAACAAACGAUUACAAGCAGUUCAAAGUCUGAGGAACAGUUACGAGCCAACUUUGGAAGCUCAAUGUUGGGCCAAAAGUGUGAGUUUUCUAAUGGAGGGUCCUUUGUGGAAUUCUAUCCAAUGAGACGACAUUGAAGCAUCGACGCAUCAAAGAGCUAUGCAGGUGUAAUAUUUGGAUUAAUUUUACCGUUCUGACCUAUAGCUGAAACAUAAUCAAGAAUUAACCUUGUUUUGAAUAAAAUCUCGAAUCUAAUCUUUUUUGGUCACAUCAAUAUUCGUGACGUCGAGCUUACACGGGAGACGCUAGGAACCAUGACGUCCAGUUUGCACUAGACGACAAGGAACAUCCUUGGAAUUCAGCUUACACGAGACACGCGAGGGACCAUGGCGUCCGCUUUACACAAGACGCUAGAGAACAUCUCUGACGCCUAGCUUACACAGGAGACGUUAGGAACCAUGGUGUCCCAUUUACACGAGAUGCAGGGAUGUUCCCUCGCGUCCAGCUUACAUGGGAGACGUGAGGGACCAUAUGCCAAGGUUCAUGACGUUUGGUGUGUAACCUGGGGGCUAGGAAUGUUGGCAUCACAAAAGAAGUCAGAUUUAAGAUUAAAAAAACAUAUCAUUUCAUGAAUUUGUUUCAACAAAAGGUCAGAACAAUAAAGUUGUCCCAAUAUUUGCCUCGCAAUGGAGCAGAACUUCAUACAUGCACUAGUGUCAUGUGAACAUGCUAGCGAUUCUGGACUGGAUCAAAAUCUUCAUUCAAUUUGAAGUUGCCAAGGCUGCAUCUUGUUACUUGGGCCAUGGGAAUUUAUUGUGACUUAAUGGUAUCAAAGGAAGAUACAUGACACACUACUAUUUUUGCGAGCUAUUUGGUGUUCUAGGAAUCAUUGGACCCAUAACGAGGAGGCCUUCGAUCCAACAGUGACAAUGAAAUGACAUUGCUCCGAAACAGUGUUGGGGGCCGCCCGAUUUAGGUUGUGUGAAGAUUAAUACUGAUGGAGACAUAGGAGUUGAUGAGCAUAAGGAGGAGGUGAAGGGGUAGCUCAUUCACACAUUUUCUAUCUCCGUACUUGGUUUAAGCCUUGUAGCAGGGUAACAUAUCUUCUUAUGCAGAAGCGGUAGCUCUUCGGGAUGGAGUUAUGUUUGCCAAGGUAGUAUAAAUACGUACUCUCUUGAAGUGGCCAGCCUCUGGAAUACUUGCCAAAGUUCUUGGUCAAUUGUGUCUACUAUAUUCUUAAAAACUGGGGAGUUUACUUUUGGUUUUUCUUCAUAUGUUAUUCAAAAUGUUCAUAGGACCCCAAAUAAGUCAGGUCAUCUUUUGUGCUAAGCAUGGAUGCUUGCACUAACCAAUAGGAUGUUGUAUGCAAUGAUCCUCGUGCAAGUUGCUCAAAUUUUAUCCUCCCAUUUAAAUAGCGAAGGACUAACUUGUAGACUUUGUUCUUCAUGGUCAUUAUUAUCAACUUUUUACAUUUCUUUGUCCAGUCCCUGCUCUUAUCCUUCUACUUGAUGACGAUAUUCAUUAUGUUUCUCUUCACGGUUUCUCGGGACAACGCAACAUAGAGCUGAAUAAGAGAACACUAGAUCAAGUACAUACAUGCCACAAUCGGGAUGGUUUGCCUUUGCACCCUAGUGAUCAUCAUGGCAAAGCUAAACCUAAUCGGAAGCUGUUUCCUCUUGAAUAUGAAGGAGAACAUGUUGUCCUUGCAGGUCAGAAAAGUGUCCAAGGAAGGACACCCUCUUACCGAUGUGCUAUCCUAGCGCGACUUAUGUGUGGAUGCAUUUGUGUGGGAAUCGAGACAAUAAGCCGUGUGUCAUCAUUACGAUCUAUCAACUAGAUCGCUCGGUGGUAUAACAUGACAGUUUAUCUUCAAUCUAAGUACAUGCGAAGGUAGCCUGUUGAGAGUCAACGAGUUGAGGACCUAAAGAGCGCAAUACUCGUCCUUCGCACCAUCAAAGUUGUGGUAGAUUACCUCUUCACCCGAGAGUGCUUUAUCAUGCAUAUAUUUAUCAUUUCAGCUGCCAUGCUUCUCUAGCACAUGUAUAUGAUUGUCAUGCUUCUCUAGCACACGUAUAUGAUGUCAUUUCAUAUGAUUUUUUCAUAUUCAACAAGCAAAAAUACAGUAAGAUAACUUCGGCCAACCAAGAAAACAAGUUAACAUAUAUCUCUCAAAUGUGCAAUUUCCUCCCAUCAACGAUUCUAUAUACUUGAAAGAAAGUGUAAAUGCCCUAUAAUAUGAAACUUUCAGCAAUAUAAUUUUUUUUGCCACAGUGUGUUUUAUGGGUAUACACAUGAAAUCUUGAUAUCCUCUUCAUGUUGAGCGGUGUGUUUGGUGCAUAAAUUUGAAUGCCUGUUGUCGCUUGCAUAUUUGUGUGCUUGCUUAAUUUUCACCCCAAUGUCAAGAGAAGAAUCUUGCACAAUGCAUAUUUUAGUUUAUUUUUCUUCCUGGUCUAUGUUUUUUGUUGAUAUGUGUGUGUGCUUUAUACUAACAAAUUUUAUUUAAACAUCAGACCCAUGUUCUGGAUGGUAGUAGUAUGUAUAAAAAAACCUUGGACAUUUUGUUGAUUCUUAUAAUUUUCAAUACUACCUAACUUGUAUGUGAUGCAUAAUGAUUGACAUGUAAACUUGGAUUGCUUUCUGAAUUUGUAACUUCAAGAGAAACAUGGGUGGUAAUAUAAAUCUACUAUCGAGGUUGCGUUAUUUAGACUUGUUUGUGCAACUUUGCAGGUUCUGAGAUAAACCUGAACACCUGAACUACACACGGUGUCAAAGUUAUGGAAGAACGCUUAGAAGAUAAGCCAAUUGUCAUAUGCAACUGGUGGUUUGUACUCGAGGAGCUUAGUUCUCAAGGAAACAAGUAAGUACAUUGUUUGUUGCUUUUCACUUUUCUUACUACUUUGAUUGUUGUUGUGCUCUUAGUUAUCUGAAGUAUAUCUCAUGUUUGCAUUGGUAUAAAUUAGAUCAUAGCUAAUGAUAUUCCAAAAAGAAGAAGAACGAUAUAUAAGCAAUCAAAAAAACUGGCUACCAAUUGGUUGGUUGUGAACUUCCUUUGUUAGCCUCACAAAACUUGUCAAUGUUUUGGCAAUUUUUUUAUCUUUCCAAAUGUUGAACAACCAAUUUUGGCUCCUUACCAAUUAUGCUUGAAAGCAUGAUGCUGCUGAAGGCGGUGUUGGGGGGCAUCGACUGGGGUGAGGGAAACGUGAGCUGCUUUGGGUAGUGUGAGGUGAGUUGGGGCAGAAUGUGGCGUCACCGAGGCGAGGGAAGGAAAGGCAUGGUCUGAAGGUGGCUUUGGGCGGCGACAGGGUAGGGGUGGUUGGUUUUGAUGUUAGGACUCAGUGACAUUUUAUCCGCGAGAAGCCUAAGUGACAAUGAUCUUAUCUGCGAGGACCAUGUUUUUUAUUUUUUGUAUCUCCAACUUGAGUUGUGAGGGGGGAAUGAAAAGAAAACCAACGCUAACAAAAUGGAUGAGUGUUAGCAUCCCAUGCCUAGGUCCCAACGUAUGUCCCAGCUUCGGGCAUUUCUGAUGCACAUUUGACAAACCACUAUAAGCGGAGGGUCCAUCACAUCUCAUAAGACUAUCCUGUAGGGAGUGUGACACUCUCUCUUGUAAGGUGGUACGAGCCCCAUGGGUCAUUCGAACGUUUCCGGUGUCCAUCAGACACACCCUUGUAAGCGAAGAGCUCAUCACAUCCCAAAAGAGUAUUCUAAAGAAAGUGUGGCACUCUCACUUAUAAGGUUGUGACGGCCUACCACGUAACGAGGUGCAACUAAAGUACUAACAACGCCCAAUGUCACUAACAUAAAAAUCGAGGAGUACAGAUACAUAGGAGAGACCGGCCUUCCACUUUUUUUAUUUUAGUUCUUAUUUUAUACUCCCUCCGUCCAAAAAAGGAUGUAUCUAGAACUAAAAUACAUCUAGAUACAUUUAUUCUUAUGACAAGUAUAUUCGGACGGACGGAGUAGUAUCUAGUAAAGGAUCUGUUUUUUUCUUUUUCCACAGAGUGGGAGGACAGACGCAAUGGAUAAUAACGACUUCCUGAUAUUAGGCCAAUUUCAACGGGCUACGACAUUUGGUUCGUCAAUAUCCGUUUGGAUCGAAACAAACAGAAUAGCGGCCCAAUGAUGACCCAAACAGAUGGGCGUCUAUUUUUCGUUCGCCCGCGACCCAUUUUCAGCCCAAAUUUUGGUAGGGUCCGCGACGAUGCCCGUCCUUGUCCCCCUGGCCCACUCGCCGGUGGCAUGUAGGAAAUUCUCUCUCCCCCUUUCACAACCGACACCAUCUGCCCUCGCUGCCGCCACCCACUUCCGGUCGCUUGGACGCUGCCGCCACCCAGGCCUGGGCAUAAAAACCGAUGAACCAAAGACCGAACCGAUGCCGAAACCGAAAAAACCGAAUUUUCGGUUUUUCAUGCUGUUAUAGGAAAAUUCGGUUUUGAACUUUACUAACCGAAUUGUAUUCAGCCGGUUCGGUUUUAUAUCGGACACCGAAACAUAAACCGAACUUGCUAUGGAAAUUGCCGCAUGUGUGCAUGCGAGACGUGCUGGGCGCCUCGGCUGGUCACAUAACACAGGUAAUUAGGCCCACUUUUUUGCAUGACAGAUUGUGCCAGGCUGGCCUCGACGUAUCGCCUCUGCUGAAGCCCGCUCGCUCAUUCAUUCCGCAUGCAUUUGGAUUUGUCCCACCUCGCCUAGCUACACGAGAUGAGGCAGUGAGUUCGUCUACUUAAGAAGGCUUGCUGCCAGAGGAAAAAUACAUGCUCGAAACGUGGUGAGAACAAUUGAUGUUUCUCUUCGGUAUAAACUGAAACCGAACCGAAUUUUUCGGUUAACCGAGUUUUUGGUUUUCAAUCUUUUUGUGCUCUUUUCGGUCAGCAAUAUUAGAAAACGAUUUUCAAAAAAGACCGAACAGUAGAAACCGAACUUUCGGUUUCUACCGAACGCCCAGGCCUACCGCCACCCACUUCUGGUCGCUUGGACGAUGCCCAUUCCUCCUCCCGCAUGUACCCAUUCCCCCCACCUCAAUGCCGCAUCCGAAGGCACAUUCUUGCCGACAUUUGUGGCCUCUUCUCUCCACUUUUGGUUCAAGGGCAGCUACAGUUGCCAGCACCGACCUCCACUGCACUUCCACCAGCCUCGUGCUCCAGCGCCGCUCACCGCACUCGCCUCUACUUUCACAUGCCUCCUGCAUGUACGGGGAGGGCGUGGAGCUCUUCACUGGUUGCUACCACAUAACGCCCACAAGGUGUUCGUUGCUUUGCCCGCAAGGUACAAUGGAUAGUGGGGAUGAAUUCUUUUUCAACAACUUCAUUUGUGAUUCGGACGAUUCUUCGUCCGUCGGUGAGGAUUUUGUUGUUGCUACUUUGUUCAUCAAUGAGCACAUUGCUAGGCAGCGGCCGAGGUUCAGAGGAUCCAUUUUGGGCCAUGCUCCAGCGUUGAAUCGGAAAAGAGAAAGCGACCAUUGCCUACUCUUCACCGUCUACUUUGAGUGCAUGUUCACACUCUUCAACCCCAAGCUUUUUUGGCACUGCUCCAGGAUGGCAAGACAUGGGUUCAACCAUAUUCGUGAGGGAGUGAUGGCGUAUGAUGCAAAGAGGAUGCCCUUGGAAAGGUUGAUGUCUCCUUUUAUCACAAAUGCAAUGUGGCUAUUCGGAUGCUUGCAUACGUAAUUCACGGGUUAUCAUGUUUAUGAGUAUGUCUGCAUGAGUGAGUCCUCAUGAAUUGCAUCAUUGUAGAAGUUCCACAAGGUUGUGGUAGCAGUAUUUGGUCUGGAGUACUUAAGAGAUUCAAAUGCCACAGAUACAACCCAUUUAUUGACGAUCAAUGCGAGAGAGGCUUUCCCGGGAAGCUUGGUACCAUAGAUUGUAUGUACUGUAAGUGGAAGAACCGUCCAUUUGCUUGACAUGGGCAAUAUAAGGGGCACAUGAAAGCUUGCACUGUCAUACUUGAAGCAAUCACUUCAAAAGAUAUCUGAAUUUGACAAUCUUAUUUCGUAUGGUUUGUUCUGACAAUGACAUAAACGUGCAUCAACGGUCUCCCUGCAAUCCUCGACCUCCUUGGGGCAGGAAAACCACCCAUGUCAAACGAAGCCUUACUGACGUAGAAGAUGUUUACCAGAGCUAAUGAUUCACCGAGGUGUAUCCUGGUUCCCGGUCUUAUCUCUCGAGCUAAUGAUUCACCGAGCACAUCCUGAUCACACCUUAUUCUGAGCACAUCCUGAUCACACACUUGACCCACUUCAUCGCGACCACACCUCACCGUCGGCCCAGGCCCAAGCAAGAAAACCUUUGAUAAUUGUUGACUGAUACGCGGCGGAGGAUAGCAGCAGGUAGCGGCAUGUCCAUAUCGUCAUCCAUCUCUCGACCGUAAUCCCACGUCCCCCAACGCCACGCAUUCAAACCCUUCAAUUUCCGGCCCCAUCCUCCCGCGUGUGGACCAGGAUCCGUGCCGCGCGAACCGUUGGCCACGAUGGAGCGUCGCGUUAUCGGGAGCCUAUCCGGUGUCCCGCCGGGGGGAUGAGGGCGCCCAUCGCCAGUGGCCGGGAUCCACCGGCCUCGCCGAGCCGCACGCCGCCGCGCGCAACCCGUCCUUGGCUAGCUUGGUCCUCCGCGCGCAGCCGCUCCCGGCACUAUUUCUUGCGCGCGUAUAUAUAAGGAGGGCGCCAGGCACCGCCCAUCUGCAGACAAUGUCGACCGCCGCGGCUAACUGGUGCUACGCAACCGUCGCGCCCCGUGCCCGCUCCUCCACCAUCGCCGCCAGCCUCGGCACCCCCGCGCCCUCCUCCUCCGCCUCCUUCCGCCCCAAGCUCAUCAGGACCACCCCCGUCCAGGCCGCGCCCGUCGCACCUGCAUUGGUACGUACUGCACCUGCACCUGCACCUGCACUACACUACGCACGCCUUGGCAACUGCAUGCACCAUGCAUAGCUAGCAUAUCCGUCCUCUAUCCGGCCCUUCUUAAGCUUUGGCUAUAAGUUUGGCAUCAUGGCAUGUGCCUUUGCUGUUUUGGGAACGGCAUGGGCCAUGGGUCCCUUUGAUCCACGCCACAUGCCUAGAUCUUCUUCCCAGAAUAUGGGAGGAUGCCAGCCACAAUGCCUUGCGAUGGCUGAACCAAAUGCACCUCAUUUUCGCGCUCAAAGAACCAAAACGCAUUACUGCACAGCUGAGUUGACCAGCUUGAUCUGCACAUGGGGCUUGCAUGUUGCCCAUGAUCUCCUAUACUUUGCAAAAGCAAUCAUUGAAUAGUAUAUGGAUCCAACUUCCAACAGACAAAGGCAUUGUUUUCUUUAGUCCUCCCUGCAUCCACCAUCAACAUGAGUGUCAACAAACCGCAUAGAAUACGCGGGAAGAACGGUUUUCCAAAGAGGUGCCCAGCGAUAAUGUUAAUUAAACACAAUAAUGUGCUCUGGAUUGAAAAUAACUUCACAAAGUCUCAAGUGUACAGGAGAAAGUUUAUACUAGUGCAUAAAUAUGUUGCUGCUUUUCCUUAAAGCGAUAAGGUGGAGUCUAUCGGGCAUUAUUGCUAAGACUGAACGACGCCAAUUAAGCUAGGUCUACUCUAUGUUCCUACUCUCCUGGUUCUUCGAGAAUGAUGUCCAUCCUUUUGGCUUGAUGUUGGGUAGUUUGACUUUGAUUCGAAAUACUAACGACUAGGUCAUCCAAUGCGUCAGCUUCCUAUUUUCCUCUUUUUGGAGUUUUCAAACACCACCUAUGCAAGUUAUUACACUCGAAGGUUAUAACAAAUCCUCAUUUAGAUUACUAAUGUCUCAAGAAAACAAAGAGUAAUGUGCAGAAACACCAAACUUUUACGUAGGAGAUUGUACAUAAAAACUUGUAAACCAUAGGUAGAGGACGCCUGGUCUUUUAAUUUGUUGGCAUCAACGCCACAACGCUACACGUAGUGAUGUGAUGCAGAGCUUGAAGCUGAUUGCAACCCUCAACCAUGUGUGGUAGCAGCUCCUCCAGCCGAGAUGCCAUCAACAAAGAAAGAAUCCUACACAUAUGUCGUCCCAAUGUAUUAAUCUUACAUUCUAAAGAACAUGCUGAAGUAUUAUUUGGCAUAAUACAUCAUGCAUGUCAAAAAAAGAGCAGAAACGCCGUCAUAGCAAGCAUUUACAGUCUGUCUUCAAAAAAAAAGAGCAAGCCGUUGCCGUUCGGUCGUCAAUUCAGGAGAUUCGGGAGCAAAUGCCUGCCCCUGGUCGUCGAUUGAGGAGUAGGGAGGGAGGGAGGGAGCGGUACGUUGCAUAGGUUCCUUCCAAUAAUUCAGGAGGCGUUGGUCUCGGCAGUUGGUACGGGAUAGAGGCGUCAUUUCCGCUCCGCCUUCCUCGUCUAUGAAAAGGAAGAUGCUACGUCCCCGUGAAGAGGUGGCCCUUCCUCCGGCCCCAGGAUCUGGAUUUAGACGUUCGUUGGGAGUAGAGGGGCCAAUUGUCCUUGUAUCUGGGAGCUGGUGAUUACCCCAGCCCCCACCUUCACCCCAUGCACCUGGGCAAACGCUUCUGGGGAUCUGACUAGUACUACUACUAGUACUAGGCAGCACACAGUUGAAUGGCUGGCUGGCUGGCUGGCAGAAACGAGUAGAGUAGUACUGGUAUCCUGAUAUGCUUUGACUUGUGAACUUUGUCGGUUCCUAGACCUAGUGGCAAUUGCAUCAUGCAGCAGUUCCUUUGUUCGUAAGCUUUCUCUCGACCCAUCUUAUAUAUAUUUGAUUCCAUAAAUAAUAACAUUAGAAAGUAGUAGUAGUAGUAGUACAAAAGGAAAGGAUAAACAUAAGCAGGUCCGGCCACCUUCAAUUCACGGGUUUAAUGAUCUGACCAAAACAUGCUAGUACUAGAAAAAGAGAAAAGAGGACCAUAGUGACCGGCCAUUUGGCCACAGAGCCAGCCCCUCCUUUGCUGCUAACUUCUUUCGUUGCCUUCUUCUUUCCACUCACCGCGUUCCACGUGCCAUGUUUGCCAGUAAUCCGUCCGUCCAUCCAUCCGGGGAGAGAAGAGAGAAGAGAGAAGAGAGGAGAGAAAACAAAAGAGUAGAGUCGCGAUAGUUGAAGAUGAGCGGCUGCCUGUGCCUCCCCUGCUGCUAUAAGAAGUCCCCCGCCCCCGCCCCCGCUGGGGAGAACAACAAACCAGCAGCGGCAGCGGCAGCGGCAGCGGCAGCGAUAGAUUCUUCCUCCUCGUCACUCAUCCAGAAGCCUACCUACCAUCCACCACCUCCUCCACCCUCCAACAAGGUCCGUCUCCCUCCUCCCCCCUCUCCCCCACACACCACCCACAAACUGCUCCAUCCAUCCAUCAAUCUCUUCUUUUUUCCGUUUCCUUUUCUCCGCCCGCCCCCCUUUCGAUUCAGUUCACAGCUUGCCCUUUCAGCUUUUCUUCUUCUUCUUCUUCUUUUUUGUUGUAAAGCAUUUGUUAUCCUCUUGCAUCGCCUUUGAAUCGCCUUUGUUCGUUUGCGCACGCCCUCCCUCUCCCUCUCCGUGGGCACAGCUCUCUCCCUCGAAAUUCGCAUGAUGCAUGUCAAUGGGUUAAUUUGACGGCAACUGAUUCGGUGCUGAUCCUUCCCUCCCCUUUUGCAGAUGGACGCCGCCGUGGAGCGCCUCAAGACCGGGUUCGAGAAGUUCAAGACCGAGGUCUACGAGUAAGCAGUUACCCCCAAUCCUGUCCUGCUGCGUCAAACCGAUGAUGUUUUCGUUCGAUUUAAGUCUUGUGUUUUAACUGACGAUUCUCUCUCCGUUUCCUCUUCCCCUGACAGCAAGAAGCCCGAUUUCUUCGAGCCGCUCAAGGCCGGCCAGGCGCCCAAGGUAUGUACCCCCCAUCAUUCCUUCUGCCAUAAAAUGUUGCCCUACUCUACUCUAGUUGCUCUGUAGAUUUGGGGAUCGACUCAUCAGGCGCUCACUAGUAUUACUUCUUCUGGUAGCCAUGGCGCAGCAGCGGAAGAAAAGAAAGCCCCUCUGUUCGUUCACAUUAUCCUGGGCAUAACCCGGAAUACACUCUGUGCUGUGGCCUGUGGGUGCCCAUAGCAUUUCCUCCUGCUGCGGUCAAAGCAGAUGAAAGAAAACUGCCGCUUGUCCUGAUGUCAUGGCCUGGCCGUAAGAGGGGACAGCUUGUCGCCAUUGCCGGCCAGUUGAUACUCUACUACUAGUACUAGGUUAUGUGUUAACACAACCACUACUGUACUACCGUAGCAGAGACGGGGCAGGGGGCAAUCUCAGGCUGAAACCAGUACGCUUGUGGAUCUCCCUCCGAAUAAACCCCCCACCUGUCGUGCACAUCCAGGAAAUCGGAUCGCGCUGCGGUAACGACUCCCAUGUGCCGUGCGAUGCCAUGAUAUGAUUUGGCUUAUUGAGAUGUCACCGUCCCUAUCACUCGCUUUGUGGUCUUGUGGUAUUAGAAUAUGGUUCUUUUUUUGCCCUUUUAUUCUCGUGUAGGAGGGGCAGCAGCACCUAGGAUAACUUGACGUCCGGAAUCUUGCAAGUACAAGUACGACUAAGUAUCAUUUUUUUCCCCAUCUCUCAGCUGAGAUUAUCGAUUGGCGUGCUUGCUAAUGCAAUGGUAGUAGUAUUAGAGGUCGUUGAGGUUCUUUUGGCCCUGUUGAAUUUCGAUCCCAGCCGUCUGCUUGCUAUCAUCCUCUUUUUUUUCUUCUCUUUGGAAAUGAAAAUAGCCGUCAGCCCGCACUAUCGGAGUUGAACAUGUAGUAGUACAUCUUUUGAUGAUGCCCAUUUAUAUGGAAGCUUCAUCAUCUUGGCAUGGCACCGGCCGCGUCAGACCCCACACACACAAAGAACCGUGAACAGCAAGCCUUGUUCCUUGGGAUAUUAUUGAAAGCAGAGAAGAAAUACCUCUACCUGAACAGGGCAUAGCUAGCUGUAGCCAGCAUCUUAUGGCCAUGGCGCUGCCGGUCUGCGUAGCUACGAGUACAUGAUUAGGCAGGCCCUACCGAUACCAGGAGCUAUCAACGGGUGGAGCACCCAUCACAAAUUAAUGUGUUUGGACAGAGUCUUGCGUAUACAUAUGUUUGGCGGUACUCUUUUUGAGAUUGGCAUAUGCUUACCUUAAUCUGGCUGGUAUACUUGAGAGAUCGGUUUAGGCCCGAGGCUACUUUACAGGGAGACAGUAAUCCUGCAGCUGACCAUCCAUCCAUGCCACAGCCCAUGGGACGGUAGUGCUGGUGCUGCUACUGCAAGGAAGAAAAGAUCUUUACAGUACGUACUUCCGGCGUGUCGCCAUCGGAGGAGAAAGUUGCGCAGCGUGUGUGGGCCUGUCUUCAUUUGUUGCAGAAACCGCCGGUGGUCCUGUCUUGAUAACUCGCAAAAAAUGCAUGGCCCGUAAUCGAGCCUGUCGUCGGGUCUACUGUCACGCGUCAUAAUCAAGUGCUUAUUUCGGUAAUUUGGUUUUGGUUUGGAGGAGAAGCCUGUGCCAGUAGGCUAUCCAUGGUCCCGUGCCACGGAACCUUCGCGCUACUCCUACUUGCUUUGCUCGCCUUUCUGUCCCCUGUACCGUACGUCUCCGGUUCCUUCCGGCCAACACAUAGUAAUCUCUUUCCCUAGCCCCUCUGCACUGCAUCUGCAUGCUACUACUAUGUUCUCUCUCUCUCUCUCUCUCCUUGGAUAAAAAAGUGCAGUGGAGACAGGUCAAAAGUGGCAGCCUUUAGCUGCAAAGCUGUGUGUGUCAGAAGGAAACGCCUACACCGCCUAUCGCGGUUAUCAGCACAGCUGCUUAUUUGUUUAUGCGCUGAACAACGCAUCUGCUUAUCACUAACCACUGUGAAAUGCUCUAAACUAAAAAGGUGGAUUACGGCUACACGAGUGCUUGCUUAGUGUACGUAGUGGAGCAUCUUUUCUUUCUUGGUUGAUGAUUGAUUGACUGACUGAAUUGGUGUGAUUGGGUGUGCAUGCAGUACAUGGUGUUCGCGUGCGCCGACUCGCGUGUGUGCCCGUCGGUCACCCUGGGCCUUGAGCCCGGUGAGGCCUUCACCAUCCGCAACAUCGCCAACAUGGUCCCGGCCUACUGCAAGGUCCCGUCCCGUUUCCCUCUUCCUCGCUCCCUUUUUCAUCGCCGAGCCGCAUUAUUGACGUUUUUUUUUCUUUUCCCGCGCUCUUGUCAACUAUACAGAACAAGUACGCCGGUGUUGGAUCGGCCAUCGAAUACGCCGUCUGCGCGCUCAAGGUCAACUCCCUCACCCUCUCUCUUUCUUUCUUUCUUUCUCUAGUGCUGUCACUCUAAAAUAGGAGUGCAUUAUUGCACUAGUGGGCUUUGCUGUCAUCUCAUCGUCACAAAGUUCCUUCCAAUUACUACUGCUCUAGUAAGAAGAACAACUGAACAUGGGCACUGGCUGUUUUUUAGAGCAUGCCCUGAUUUGGUACCACACAUGGCUGCAGGUUGAGGUCAUCGUGGUGAUUGGCCACAGCCGCUGCGGUGGAAUCAAGGCUCUGCUCUCGCUCAAGGAUGGCGCAGACGACUCCUUGUAAGUAGAGUAAAACGGCUCAAAUCGUAUUCCCACUACGCUACCGUCUCUCUGAUCAGUUUGUGAUCGUCUUAUUUGAUUGGUCAGCCACUUCGUUGAGGACUGGGUCAGGAUCGGGUUCCCGGCCAAGAAGAAGGUGCAGACUGAGUGCGCCUCCAUGCCUUUCGAUGACCAGUGCACCGUCCUGGAGAAGGUUCGCACCGUCGGCCAUCUGCCAUUUCAUACUUUGCUCGUAUAGUAUUAGCAACUGCUCCUACUAUAGUAGUAUGCUCCACAGUUCUGCAUGUGGAUUGUCUAACUGACGAUUGGUACGCUGACAAAGAGAUAUUUCUGAAUCUUUCCCACAGGAGGCCGUCAACGUGUCCCUCCAGAACCUCUUGACCUACCCGUUCGUCAAGGAGGGUGUGACCAACGGAACCCUCAAGCUCGUCGGCGGCCACUACGACUUCGUCUCCGGCAAGUUCGAAACAUGGGAGCAGUAAAUCUUCCCCACCGGUUAACUCCGACAUAUACAAACGUACAUAUAUCAAGAUAUCGUCCGAUCGAUGUGAAUGCAAUGCCAUGGGAGUGCGUACCCGUUAUUGUCCAGUACUGGAUGCCGGAUGGCCCGAUGUGAAUUUGCCAUAAGCAAUAGAACCUUUUUUUCUUCACCAUUUUCUGACGAGGAAUUGUACUGCUAUGUGAUGCAUAAUUUGAUCGUCUUGUGAUCGAAAGACAUCAUAUAUAAGUUUAAUAUAAUAUUUUCAUGAACCGUUUACCUUUUUAUUACCCUUUCUAUCAGCUGUCUUCAAAGUUUUAAAUAGCCCGCUAUAGUCCAGCUAUAGCGGGGCUAUAACUGUUUGAACAGAUGCCGCUAUGUGGCAUAGCCCGUUAAACUUGCGAAAUAGCGGGCUAUAGCCUCGCUAUAGCUGAUUUGGAAGGCCGUCGCUAUUUGGCAUAGCCUGCUAUUUAAAACAUUAAUUUGAGGUUUGUCUUACACUGCUUACCUGUUUGCCCAACCCAAAAAAGAGUGUAUAGCUAAAAGGAACCGAAAUUGACUAAAAGAUUUGAGGUCUUGUAAUAGGAAAAAUUUAACAUACUCCCUCUUAUUCCUUUUUUUACCUGCGAGAUAAUAAUCAGACCAUUAAUUAACGAAAUUCAUGGUUCAAAUCUAUUAUAUACUGUUAAUUUUUACGUGAAAACAGGAGGUAAGAGGAAGCAUGCUAAAACUGCUCAUACGCCUUCCAGAAGCAUGAGAAAGGUUUCUUAUGGAACAUGUCAUCUUCGGGAAGGUUUCUUAUGGAACACCCCAUCUUAUGGAACACCUCUUAUUUCCUUUCAAGUACUGUCUGCGCCACCAGCCGUGGAGAAUGCCUCGAGGUUACCCAAGGCGCAUGGGCUCUAUUGAGAUGGUCAUCAACAAUGGCUCCCGAAGAUUCGCCUGCUCUGCACGCAGCUAGAGGGGUGUACCUUGACGAUACCCACUAUGUACGAGGAAGGAAGCAACUGAAUAUAUGUGGUACAAUACGCUGUUCCGGGAGCCAUCAUGGCUGCGUAUGCCACAAGAGACCAUGUCGCCCCGGUACGAGCUAAGCUAGUCUAUUAUAUGUUAUAUUCAACCAAUGAUGAUCCACACAAGGGCCCUCAAGAAGAUGUACAAAUAGGGGAGGUCGUGGCCUCGCAAGACGUGAGGUUCAUCCAGAACAAAAGACACGCAUUGUAGCCAACUACCAGUGAAAUAAUAAAACAGAAUAGGAGUAGAGUAUUACCCCAACACGAUGGUCUGAACCUGGGUUCUCCCACGUGUUCUACUCCUCUUUCUCCUCUUUCCGAUCGUCCAUGACUUAGGACGCUAGACGCGUUCAGUCACUCGACGAACUCUCAAAGGGUUUUAGCAGACAACCCAAUGUCGGGUUCUUACACAUCGGCAUUUGACGCGCCAGGUAAGGGACUCAGGCGUAUCCGUCCCCCUUGGUCCGCAGUAACUUUGACGUUGGAUUUCUUCACUCUGUGUCACGGUCAUGGUGACGGCGUCGUGGAUGUCUCAAACAUCUCAUGACCCAAAAAACGAUCGGGGCACAGACUUCACAGCGUGCCACCGAGACCAUGCUGCUCUGAUGGGCAAGCAACCGGCGACGCCAUUUCCACCCUGGCAUUCUCGCGGGGUGGGGAUGGCGCCUUGCGCCAGGACUGUAUUUUCAAUGUGAAAAGCGGCGGCCAUGGCGGUGUCGGCUAUGGGCCUCUUUCCGAAAAACCGCAUGGAUCCCCAUGCGGCGGUCGAGAAUCCUUUAGAGAUAGCGGUCUGGCCUGCACCGGGGGGGGGGGGGUGGGUUUUUCUUCGAGCCACGGUGGUGCUAUCGGCCCCAUGAUCGUACUAAAGCCUAAUGGCAAGGUGCAAGUGUGCGUGUGUUUUCUGAGCAGCGACGAGAAGAACGGGACAUGACGACCUUCGCUACAUAGUUUGGGAGAUACUGCACCCCGUGUUGGCCGUUUGGGAUGAGUAAUGCAGGAGUUACUUGAAAUAAACUCGCAUGCAUCACCCUCGGCUCUCGAGCAAGCGGGGGAGGCGCAAGCGCAUGACACUCACAUCCGGUCCUCCCCAAAGGACCACUCAGGCUGCUCCGGGGCGGUCAACGUGUGGCCCCUGGUGAAGCAGCCCGCUUUGUGUGUUUCUGAAAGUUAGCACGAGAGCUUAUAAUAUUCCAUUGUAGAAGAAGAAGCCAAUGGCUAAAACUGCUUGGUUUGUUAAAGAAAAAUUGGACGAAAACCUGUACAAAGGACACACCACACCUAGCUAAACUAGGUCUAAGAGCAUCUCUAGUAGAACCCUCAAACCCUUAAAUCUAAAACCAGUUUUAAGGAUUGAGAAUUGACCAUUUUUGAUACUUUUAAGGGUUGAAAAACAGGGGCAAAGACUAGAACCCUCAAACCCAACCCUUAUAAUCGAAUAUUCCGUUAUAAGGGUUGGAUAAGGGUUGGGUUUGAGGGUUCUAGUCUUUAUAAGGGUUGGGUUUGAGGGUUCUAGUCUUUGCCCCAACCCCAACCCUUAAAACUGUCAUUUCAUAUAUCACACAUUUCAUCACAUUUCAUCAUAUGACAUAUCACAAAUUCAAUCACAUUUGACAUAAAACAAUAAUCAUUCUAGUUAUUAUUACAACACCGAAUAAAACAAUAAUCAUUCAAAUCAUUACAACAAUGUUUGAGCAAACUACAACAAUUGUUCGAAUCAAAUAGGACAUAGAUAAGUAAAACAAAGAUACAUCAUGCGCCAAUGCGCCGCCCAUCCAAAUGCCAGUGGUGCUCUACUAGAUCAUCCCGGAACCGACCAUGAGCGGUUCCAUCCUCAAUCUCACGAUGUGCUUCAAGAAAAGCUUGUAUGCGAGAAGGGUUUCUUUACGGUUGCACACGGGUACCAACAUUGUCAUAGAAACAAGGGAGAUUUAACCCUCUCUCAUCCUCUAGGAUCAUGUUGUGUAGAAUCACACAACAUUUCAUGAUGUUCAUCAAGGUUUUUUUGUCCCAAAACCGAGAUGGAUCCCGAACUAUGGCAAACCUUGCACGUCGACGAGGAAGCUCAUCAUCUCGACGUCGUCGUCUUGCAACAACUCGUCAAUGUCCGAAUCGUCAGAUGACGACCAAUCCGACGAAUCUGACAACGAGUCCAUCUACAUACCAAGUGGCUACAAUUAGUGCGAAUGAAGCAAAAAUUAAAAACUUAAAAUGUAAAAAAACCUCACCGGGGCAGGGUGGGGACGGCCGGCCGAGGCGGGGCGCGGGCGGGCGGCGUCCGGGGCGGGNAGGGCGGCAGGGCAAGGAAGGCGGCGGUCGGGGCGCGGAGGGGCGGCGAGGCGACGACCGGGGAGCGGAGGGAGCGCGGGGCGGCGGCCGGAGCACAGGGGUAGGCGGGGUGGCGGCGGCCGAGGCGACUCCCUCGCGCGCGGGGGAACCAACUGCCUCCCGCGCGAGGUGGGAAGUGGAGUGCCGGUUGGGGGCAGUUUUCCCUCCCAACCCUCACUUCUAGAGGCUGGGAAGGGGUUUGAGGGUUGGACCUCUAAUUUUUUUACGGGUUUAAGUGUUCUAGUCUACGCCGUUUUUCCGAUGAAAACUGUAAAAAACGGUUAUUUUUAAGGGUUUGAGGGCUCUAUUAGAGAUGCUCUAAAGCACUACAUAGCAUACAAAAGCGCCAAGAAACCAAAUAAACAACAGGAACAUAAGCAAUACAAGCAGUGUCAUCGUACAUCACCAACCGCGCUCACGGCCAGACCACUUCGACUUCGCUGUAACAUCACACAAAUGCACCAAGCUGUCGCAUCGAUCAAGGCAGCCACAAGCAUGUUCAACAACUUCGUCGACACCGAAGAGAAGACAUAUCAGUAGAGGAGCAGACAUGUGCUGCUCUGGUAUCAAGAGGACAACCAACAUGAAUUGUUUGGCGUUGAUUGCAUGCCAAGAGUGCUCCAAUGACCAUACACUGUCUGCCAACAGUCAGCCCCCAAUGGACGCGCCGCCACGGACCCUAUCGCCACCCUGCCACCGCCAACUCCAAACUGGGCACUUUACCACAGAGCAUGUGCUCCCAUCUAAGAGGUCAAAUCUCCAUAGAGAUGCUUUCAACAAAGAAACGACGUGAAAGACGCCGUCAUCGCCGAUCCAACAAUGCAGGUCUAUAUUUUCACCCGGAGACCGAACUCGAAGAUGAGAGAGGUGCAAAGUCUCCUUGAUGAGGCCUUCAACAAGGAAACAACAACAACACCCAAAGGUGUUGUCAUCACCGGCCAAGAGUAGGACUUUCGUCCAAAGAAAUGGCAUACCUACGUCGUGGACAACUCCUGGACGCACCCACUAGCUGAUCUCGAGAUGCCCCUCCUCACGUCCAGGCCGGAGCACGACAAAGCAUCGACAUCCGCACCACGCGCCGCAUUCUGUACCACCUCUCGACAAGCCACGAGCCAGGAAAGGCCUAGAUCUGGCCGGCCCUGUCCGCAUCCGCCGCAACUCACCCACCGGAGGCGCGACACAUGAGCGUCGCCUCCAACCUCCACCAGCACGCGCCACCACCUGCGCGUCCUCCUCCGGCCCGGACGGGCUCGGAUCUGGCCGACCUGCAGCAGCCACCACCACAACCUUGUUCUGUCGCUUAUUUCCCCCGAGCAAGGUUGCAGCACCAAGCCUUCAUGGACGAUCCACGCGCCGACGACUAGCAUCCCCGCCACCAUGUCGGUCUUGGCUGAAACCAACCCGAGAUCUGACCGCCACCUUACAAACGAGGUCAUGCCUCAGGAAGCCGUCGCACCGGUAGAAGAAAACUUUGCCCCAUCAUCCCUGAAGCCGACCAGACUUCGCCAAUGAGCCCCUCAGGCGGCGGCAAGGGGAGGGUGGCGUCGAUGGAUUUAGAGUUUCCCCCCGAGCCGCCAGAGGAGGGUGACGCCCGCGAGGGGGGGAGCCCGCUUUGUCGAGUGUCCCCUCCUGAACCGUGGUGCCGGUCUCGAUGCAAAGGCCAGCUUAGCCACUAGCACCCACGUGGGUGGCAGGGAAUCAGCCGACCGCAUGUGCGCCGAAUCCUUAAAAUCACUCUUAUGAGACCUCUCCAAUGCGGAAGGAUUAUGGGGGUUUGUUCAUUCUUCGCUCUUGUGACAACCGAGGUCCAAACAUGGUCACCGGAAUAUGUCGCGCCAUCCGCGAUGGAAAUGUUAUGGGGUCCUAUCCCGCACUAACCACUUUCCCUAGACUGACAACCCCUUGCUUUUGUCCCCCGCGGUAGAGUCACAGCAGUACGCCCCAAAAAUGCUAAACAUACAAACACUUACAAAGGGUUACACGCUAACUAGAAUUUUUUCUUUCUAACUAACCUCCCCCCCUUGAUUUUCAAGGGGGUGGGGUCCUCACCCCCCUUAAUAUCCAAUUAAAAUCCACCUACCUGUAAGACUCCUGUAAACCUAUGUAUGUGUAGCAUUACUGGUACGCCCCACCUGCGCGAGGAAAUGUUCUCAGGUCCUGCCCCGCACGAACCUCGUUACUUGAACUUCUAAGCCCCUACUUCUCUACCCAUGCGGCAGAGACACAACAGUGUGUCGCAUUCGCCGCGACGGAAACACAACAGUGUGUCUCUCCCCAUGCUGUUCAACGGCACACUGUGCCCCUUCUUUUAUAAGAAAUGGAAGCAGUAUACGAGGAAACAACAGACAAUUGUCAGUGAUCCCAGGAAGGAAGGGGGCUUAGGCGCGCCAAAGUUGUUCCCUUUCCCCUGCUGCGCCACCGCCUUAACCACGUCUGCCAUGACGCGUUGGGCCCUCUAUCAUGGGGAUGUCACGACAAGUGUCCUCAUAGGAGAACUUAGUUGCGAGGCCAUGGCGGCUAGGAGAAACCUUGGAUGGGGUUGAUCUGGAACAAGAGAAGCGAGUUUACCCAGGUUCGACCCCUCUACUAAGGUAAAAGCCUACUCCUCCUUGUGUUUGCUUAGAUGUCAAGAUCUUGAGUACAAGGGUGUUGUUUCGCUACCAAUGGCUCGAUGGCUUGUAGUUGGCCCACCCGAGGCUUGCCUUUAUAUACUAGGUCAAAUCUGUGAUGUGUGUUUGCUAUAUUUAAGUCUUUAAGUGGAUUUAUCUCCAUUAAAUAUCUAGAAAUAAAUUUUAUGUCCUAAAAAAGUUAAUUAACAUUAAAAUGGGUCAAACUCUCACAUGAAAGUUUAAAUGAUGUACCUUUAAUGUAGAAAACAAUUAUCCCAUAAGAUCAACAUAAAAUACUAAAAUUCUAACAUUACGGAAAAAUGACAUGAAAAAUACUAGUGGCUGGCACAAAAUAGAGCAUGCCACUGCUAUUUUCUUUACUAGUGGCGGCAUUAACUAUGGCCCGCCACUCGUAAAUUUUGGAUAGAUUUACCUUGACACCGAGAAAAUACUAGUUGCGGGCACAUAUUGUUGGAAAUAUGCCCUAGAGGCAAUAAUAAAUUAGUUAUUAUUAUAUUUAUUUGUUCAUGAUAAUAGUUUAUUAUCCAUGCUAGAAUUGUAUUGAUUGGAAACUCAAAUACAUGUGUGGAUACAUAGACAACACACAGUCCCUAGUGAGCUUCUAAUUGAAUAGCUUGUUGAUCAAAGAUGGUCAAGGUUUCCUGGCCAUAGACAAGUGUUGUCACUUGAUAACGGGAUCACAUGAUUAGGAGAAUGAUGUGAUGGACAAGACCCAAACUAUGAACGUAGCAUAUGAUCGUGUCAGUUUAUUUCUAUUGUUUUAUUUAUGUCAAUGUAUCUGUUCCCAUGACCAUGAGAUCAUGCAACUCCCGGACACCGGAGGAAUACCUUAUGUGUUACCAAACGUCGCAACGUAACUGGGUGACUAUAAAGGUGCUCUACAGGUAUCUCCAAAGGUGUCCGUUGGGUUGGCAUGGAUCAAGACUGGGAUUUGUCACUCCGUGUGACGGAGAGGUAUCUCGGGGCCCACUCGGUAAUACAACAUCACAAUAAGCCUUGCAAGAAAUGUGACUAAGAAGUUAGUCACGGGAUCUUGAAUUACGGAAUGAGUAAAGAGACUUGACGGUAACGAGAUUGAACUAGGUAUAGAGAUACCGACGACCGAAUCUCGGGCAAGUAACACACCGAAGGACAAAGGGAACAAAUACGAGAUUAACUGAGUCCUUGACAUAGAAGUUCAAUCGAUAGAGAUCUUCGUCGAAUAUGUAGGAGACAAUAUGGACAUCCAGGUCCCGCUAUUGGUUAUUGAACGGAGAAUGUAUCAGGUCAUGUAUGCAUAGUUCUCGAACCCGCAGGGUCUGCACAGUUAAGGUUCGGUGACGUUUUUGGUAUAGUUCAGUUAUCGGUAUUGGUAAUCGAAGGUUGUUCGGAGUCCCGGAUGAGAUCCUGGGCUUCACGAGGAGCUCCAGAAUGGUCCAUAGGUAAAGAUUGAUAUAUAGGAAAGUACGUAUUGCACUCCGGAAAUUUUUUGGGCAUUUCCGGCAAUGUACCGGGAGUGACGAAUGGGUUCCGGGGGUCCACCAGGUGGGCCCACCCACCCCAAAGGGUCUCAUGGGCUGUGGUAGGACGUGGACAAGCAUCUAGUGGGAUUGUCGGUGAAUACUCACAACAUAUGCCAUAGGUAGGCUAAAGUCAGUGAGAACCGAAGGGACAAAGGUGGAUGCUGGGAACGAGGUUGGUACACGCAUGGGACGCACGAUGUACCCAGGUUCAGGGCUCUCCGUAGAGAUAAUACCCCUAAUCCUGCCGGAGUGUUUGAUGUGUAUGAACAGAGUACAGGGUUGCUCCUGGAGCUGUAUUGGGAGGAGGAAGAGGGGAGCAGCCGGCUCAUCUCUGCCUCUCUUUGUGGUUGGUGAGCGUAUAGUGCUGUUCGGUUGUGGAAUGAUCGGCCCCCCUUGCAUGAAGGGUGACCGGGGGGUUUUAUAGACAAAACCGCCGGCCUACAAUAUGGAUAAAGGGUACAAGUGUGGGACCCGGCUGGCAGCCUCGCCGGCUGGCCAGGGGCCCACUAGAGUCUUGUCUUGUCGCUUGAGGGACCCGCCGGCUGCAUGGUCUCGAUUGGCAGUGGGACCCGUCGGCUGGCCAAUGAGGCUCUCGCGUAAGGUUGACGCCGAGCAUGCGUUGUACGUCAAGCGUCACCCCGCGAGAUUCGUCAUGGGCAGGUAGUACGGUCGCCUCCACUGUUCCCCACGCCGAGUGCAGUAAUGGAGUGGGAGUGUGACGGUCCGACACUAUGCUAGGUGAUGGAUCAGAGCCGGGGUAGGUCAGCGGCAUGGCCGCCGACGCUCGUACCUGUGGGACACCCCGAUCCAGUACCUUUUGCUGACGCGUAACUACCUUUAGUCGUAGGGUCUCAUCCUGACCUACGAUCUGAUGUGACUUGUGAUCUUUGGUCGGCUAGCGUGCUUGGCUAGCCGGCUGGGGCGCGGCCGCCUCCUUCCGAGCCGGGCUGGCGGGACCAGGCCGGCUCAGAAGAGGUAGCCGCCUCGACUCUAGCCUGCGGGGGUUGCCAGGCCGGCCAGAGGAAUGGCCUCCUCGUCCUCUAGCCGGCAGGCGCUGCCUAGCCGCCCGGAAGACUUGGGCCUUGGGAAUCAGUAUACGUUCAUGUCCUUUGGGCUGGAAAUGAAGGAGUAGGCUUGAUGAGCCUACCCCGGGGUUAUCCUCCUGUCAGUAGUCCCGGAAGCUGGCGAGGCCUGCCGUCUGCGAGCGGGCGGACUCACCGGCUUGUCGAUUUGUCUUGAUAUUUUUCGCCGCCACUCGUGACGAAGGGCGCCGGCUUCGAGACCGAUUGGCUUUGAAGCGACGCCUCGGCCUCGUCGCAAUUUUCUCGAAGAACGCCAUGUGCCAGGCCCCGCCUGGCGUAAUGAUGGUGAUUACUGAUGAUGGGACCGGGCCUGGGCCCUGGGUCCCGCCACGACGCCCCCUCGGCCUCCGCGCGGGAGAUCCUCUGCGGAUUUACUCCGCGACAGUUGGGCUUAGGGAAGCGUUACUGCCCGUAAUACACGGGGUUAAUGGGGGAUCCGACGCGCACCGGAUCCCCUCCCCACGACGCUUCGUGGGGGUUUAAAUGGGAUGCGGGGGUUCCGAGGAGGCCAUUCGCCCCCUCCUUGCUCCGCAUCCGCGCUCUCUUCCUCCCUGCGCCCAGAGAGAAAGAUCUCGCAUCCUUCGUCUUCUUCGUCUUCGUUGCCGCGAAGUCGCCAACUCGCCAACCCCUUCGGGUUCCCGUCAUCCGCAGCCAUGGCCGAUGGUUCUUCCUCGAAGAGGCCCUCGACGCAGAAGGCGUCCUCGCAGGGAGCCUGGCUGGACAGUGAUGUCGGCGAGGGGCACAUCAAAGCGCCCCGUCACCACCGACUACUGCCCCCGGCCUCCCAAGUGUUGGUGCGACUCCCUGGCGCCGAGACCUCUCCCGCACCCGCCGCGGGAGAGGUCAUGGUCUUCGUCGAGCAUUUCUACCGGGGCUUCGGGCUCCCGGCCAGCGCUUUCUUCGCCGAAUGGCUCCACUUCUUCGGCCUGCAGCCGCAUCACUUGGCGCCGGACGUCAUUCUGCAGCUGUCGGCCUUCGUGGUCCUCUGCGAGGGCUUCGUGGGGAUCGAGCCCCGCGUCGACCCGUGGUGCAACCUAUUUUUCUUCAAGCAGCAGUCUAUUGCCAUGGAGAAAUCCGAGGUGGAGAAGCUCCAGGGGCCGCGCCCGAUGACGCCGUGCGGGGCCGCGUUGGUGCACCACCGCUCGAAGUCGGGCUUCCCCGAGACGCCUGUGCAAGAAUCCAUCAAGCAUUGGCAGAAGGGUUUCUUCUAUGUGAAGAUCGCCGACCCGGCCCAGGAUGCCCUCAACAUGCCCCUGUUCGACAUCGCUCCGCCGACGAGGCGGAACUAGGAUGCAAAGACUCCCAAGCCGAUUCCUGAGGUGGCGUUGAUCUGUGCCCACCUCGACAUUUUGGAGAAGAGCGGCCUCCUUGGUCGCGACCUUCUCACCACCAUGGUGGCCCGCCAGAUCCUGCCCUUGCAGAGGCGGCCGCAUCUGGUCUGCCAGAUGAGCGGCCGGUAUGACCAAUGCCGGCUAUCCACCAAGAGGUUCACCCCCGGCGCUGUAGCGUGAAGGGUGAACCUGAUCUCCAUCGCCCGCAUGGGUGAGAGCGGGGAAUGGACGUGGGGGAUGUCCCCCUUCAACAGGGCCCAUCCGCCUCCGAUGGUAGGUGGCUUCUUUAUUCUUUGUUGUUUGCCUUGAAGCCGGUCGUGUUGCUGAGCCGACGAUUGAAUCCCUUUCCGCAGCUGUUGGAGAAUUUGCAGGGGUCCCUCCGUUCGCCCGCUCCUGACGUGGAUGUGUCCGACGCCUCGGAGAUUGAGGACGAGGGCAUGAUUGAAUCCCGCUCGGACUCCUCCGCCGGCUCAGAGAAUCCCUUGGAUUCGGAAGGGACAAAGACGUCUGGUGAGUACGCACGGCCCUCCGUUGCGGACUGGACGGAUGACGACGAGAUUCCCUCAUUCAUUUCUGGUGCAGCCUUCGAGGAGGACUCUGAUGGGGUGGAAGAGGUCACCAGUCCGCCACUGACGCGCGGCAGGCGCCAAAGGGGCGGAGCGACCGCUGCUGACGAGGCAGCCGGGAAGAAGGGCAAGGGUGCCACAGCUUCCCGACCGGCUCCUAAGCGGCCGGCGCCAGGUCCUCCAGCUGGACAGCGAGCAAGCUACACGAAGAGACGCUGCGGUGCUGGCCGGAGGUAGGUCCGUGUGGUAGCGGGGUAAGAUUUCCUCCCCCUUUUCUUCGUCUAUCUUGCGAGGAGCUUUUUUCCUUAGGAGUUUUGCUUGACAGGGAGGCGGAUGAUGUGGAUGAAGACACCGCCUCCGCAGCCGAGCGGGCUGGCUGGGUAGCAGCCGAUGCUGCCCAGAGGGAGCUUGAGAUAGAGUCCAAGCGCCGAUGGGACACGGCUGCGGGGAAGGCUACCGUGGGCCAGCCUCACCCCAGCCGGGUCGAGAGACCGGUGGAGAAGCGUGCGAAGGCUAGACAUGACCCCUCCGCACAUGCUCGUGCGGAGGAGCCAACUAGCGAGACCGCCUCAAGGCUGGCCCCAAGGGCUGAGGGGGCCCAGCCUUCAGGGCCGGAAGCCUCGGCGCGGGUGGACCAGGAAACGGUCCCUGACUCCCCCAGGGCCGAGGCGGCACCCGGCGCGCCGGAGAUGGACCUAGCUGCACCGGACACGACCCCUGAUGCCCCAGGGGUGACCAUGGAUGCGUCGGACGCGGCCCACCCGCCUCCCGCGGAGGAGGCAGCGUCAGCCGGGAUGGCGCCAGAGCCGGCUGCCGAGUCGGCACCAGGAGCCGGUGCCAUCGUCAUUCUCCAGCACGGCCCUGUUGCGCCGGGAGCCGGGGGCCGGGCUGGGAGCCGGCCCAUGAAGACAUAGCGGGCGGCAAACCUGGCCCGCCUGCGACUGCCCGCCGGCACCUCGCUUUCCGACGUCCUGGAGCUGGUGAUGAUGUUUACCAGCAGCCGGUCCAAGGUGGAGCAGUCGGCCCGCAUGGUGUGCGGCGACAUGGAGCGCCUGGAGGCCCGCACCCAGGUAGGUGUUUCCUCUUUGGCUUUUUGAACUUUUUUCUCUUCCUUUUGCGUUAGUGCGGGCGCGACAGCGCACCCACUGGGUGUAGCCCCGAGAAUUGGGCCGGUCGAUCGUCGACCAGACCGAAUCUCUUGGAGGUCCUUUUCCCUGUAUUGUUUCUUCAGUGGGGGCGCACUAGCGCACCCACUAGGUGUAGCCCCCGAGAAUCGGGCUGGUUAAGUCUUACCUAGGACGAAUCUUAAUCCUGUUCCUUUUUGCUUUUUUGGCACGAGCUUUAUGACGCUUAGGCGCAGGCUUAUAACGAGCUGCAAACCCAACACCUGGGGGCUGAUAGCCGAAUCGCUGAGCUCGAAGUCCGGCUGGCGAAGCUGCGAUGUAGCGGGACGCCCUGCGUAACACCGGCAACCAGCUCCAGGAGCAGCUGGUCCUUCUUCAGACGGAGAAGAAGGAGCUCGAGGCGGCCAGCCGGGUCGAGCUGGAGCGACUGCGCGCUACGCUGCAGGAGAAGGAGGCCUCCUACUCCGCCGACGUGGAUCACCUCGCGUCGCUUCAUCUCAAGGAUAUGGACCUCAAGGACGCCGCCUUGAGGGAGAAGGAGGAGGCCCUUGGCCAGAAGCAAACGCAGCUGGCCAAGGCCUUGGAGUCUGCGGCGACUCUCUAGGAGGAGGUUGCCCGCCUUACUCAUGCGAGUAAGGUGCGGGAGCGCGAGCUUCUCAAGAGCUCCCAUGAGACCGAUGGCGCCUUCCAUCAUGAGUCUCUCUUCCUUGUCUUGUUUUUGGUCUUUUUGGCUGUCUCCUCUUUUUGCUGUGUUCUUACGUCCUAGCUGCUGUCAUUCCAGGUCUCUUUCCUGAGACCCAGAUCGCGGACGACACCGCCGUCGAGGUGAGCCGCGAGUAGCGCUGUGCGGCCGGGCAGGAGGUAGACGCUACCUCCGGCUGGAGCAUGGAGGAGAUCGGGGUGGGCCUUCGGGCCCGCCUGCGUGCUCUGGGCGAGUCUGUGGCUGAGCUCCAGAUCGCAGGCUCGUCGAUGGUGGCGGCCUUGUGGCCGGAAGGCGUGGAGCUGGCGUCCAUGAGCCGGCUCGCCCGCUGGCUUGCAGCAGGCGGAGAAAGCCUGGAUGCCUGGCGUGCCUGUGCUGCGCGGGAUGGGGCUUACAUGGCCCUGCGCUUGGCCAAGUCCUGGUAUCGGAACCUGGAAUUGGGUAAGCUUGCCGCCCAGCGUGAUGGCUCGGAGGUGGAGCUACAAGGCAUGGAGGAGGUGCUUCGUGUGAGGGCCAGCGACAUCACCGAGUACGCAGCCUGGGACGACUUCGUUUUGGAGCGGGGUGAAGAUGGCGGUGUGAUCGCUGAAGAUUUGCACGGCCUUCAGCCCUAUGACCCCGACGGAAGCUCCGACAAGGCGGCCCGAGCUAUGGAAUCUGCUGCCUCCUCCAGCGGUGCAGGGUACGCCGACUCCGGUGCGGACGGAGCCGGGAGCCCUCGCGAAGGAGACGGUGCAACCGCCUCGGGAGCAGCCGGAGAUGGUGAUGCUACCACAUCAGGAGCAGCGGCCGGGGCGACCGAUGAGGCCGCAGCCCCGUAGCCGGUGUCGUAUGUGUUUUGUUCUACCCCCGGAGGGAUGUAAUGAACGUGGGCCGUCGGCCAAUGCUUUUUUGAAUGUAUAUAUUCAGCAUUAUAUUCGUAUUCCCAAGCGUGUUGUCUUAUAUUCUUGUCUUUUGAUUCCUGGUUGACUCCUUUUUCGAAGCCAUCAAGACUUAAAGAACAAGACAUAAACCAACAGAGGCCGGCUUGAAUGAGAUUGCAUAUAUGAUCGAGCCAGCUCGAGCCAGCGACCCUUUGCAGCCGAACUUUGCAUGUAUCCGACGUGAUCCUGGCGUCACCUUGCAAACCAGGCGGCCCGAGCCAGCCCGCAGGCUCGUACGAGGUGACUAGGGAUCAGCCGGUUACACUUUGUGUUCUUUUACAAUAGGGAAGGCGUCCGAACGGCUAGCGAGCCCCCGAGCUUGUUAAAGCCAGCAAGGGGCGUGCGCUGCGUAGCCUCCGAGCUUGAUAAAGCCAGCAAGAGGUGUACACGGUGUAGCCCCCGAGCUUAUUGAAGCCAAUAAGGGGGCGUACACUGAGUGAAAACUCUCAAUAAAAAGAAACAUGAAGCAUGCUCUUUUUAUUGCAUUUGUUGUUGCUCCCUGAAAAGGGAGAAAGAUACAUGUGCAUGCUCUUUCCCUUGCUUGAUUCUUGCCUUCUAGCAAUAGAACGGGCAAAGCAGCGCCGCGUUCCAUGGACGUUUCGUUUCUUGAUCGGAGUCGUCCCUCUUGCGCUUCCUUGGCUUUUGGGCAUCGAUCAAGUAGUAAGCGUUGUUGUGCAACACCCUACUGAUGAUGAAGAGUCCCUCCCAUGGGGAUGAGAGUUUGUGCUGGCCAGCAGUGCGUUGGAUUCUUCUGUGGACCAAGUCUCCCUCCCUGAAAGAGAGAGGCUUGAUCUUUUUGCUGUGGUAGUAUUUCAGCUUCUGUUGAUAGAUGGCCGUCCGGCUCAAGGCCAAGUCCCUUGCUUCUUCGAGGAGAUCCACACCGUCUUCUCUUGCCUCCUUUGCCUCCGUUUCUGUGUACAGGGUGACCCGAGGCGAGUCGAACUCUAUAUCCGUGGGAAUAAUAGCCUUAGACCCGUAUACCAGAAAGAAUGGAGUGAAGCUGGUCGACCAGUUGGGCGUGGUGCGGAGGCUCCAUAGCACAGCCGGCAGUUCUUCAAUCCAGCAUCCGGCUGAUCUGACCAGUGGUGCCACCAGUCUUGGCUUGAUGCCGGCCAGAAUUAGGCCGUUGGCCCUCUCUGCUUGGCCGUUCGACUGAGGGUGCGCCACUGAUGCCAAAUCGAGCCGGAUGCCUACCUUGGAACAGUAGAGCGCUAGAGCGCCCUUGGCGAAAUUGGUGCCGUUGUCGGUGACGAUGCUGUGGGGAACGCCAUAUCAAACAGAUAAGUUUGUGCUGAACUUGACAGCGGUGGGGCCAUCAAGCUUCUUGAUAGGUCUGGCUUCGAUCCACUUGGUGAUCUUGUCGAUGGCCACCAAGAGAUGCGUCAUCCCACCGCGAGCCAUCUUGAAGGGCCCUACCAUGUCCAGUCCUGAGACGGCGAAUGGCCAUGAUAGAGGGAUGGUUUUGAGGGCUGAAGGCGGCAUAUGGCUCUUCACGUUGAAGAAUUGGCAGCCUUCGCACUUGUCGACCAGAUCCACGACCUCCUCGAGAGCCGUGGGCCAGUAGAAUCCGUGGCGGAAUGCCUUGGCCACCAGGGUUCUGGAGGCGGCGUGAUGCCCACACUCCCCCUGGUGAAUGUCUCUGAGGAUCUCCUGUCCCUUUUCUGAUUCGACGCAGCAUUGGAACACGCCGGUCAUGCUGCGCCGUACCAGUCCGCGAUUGAUGAUGGCGUAGGCGGUAGACCUGCGCUGGAUCUGUCUCGCCUCCGCCUUGUUCUGAGGAAGUUCGCUGCGAAGAAGGAAGGUCAGAAUAGUUUGAGCCCAUGAUGGAGCCGACACAAGGGUCGCCUCCGCCUCGUCUUGACUGUUGGGAGCUUCUGCAGCCCCCGAGCUUGAUGGAGCCGCGGCUGUAGGCUCGACACAAGGUGUCUCUGGUGCUGUCGUGGCAGCUGGCUCACCGUCUACUUCCAUGACGUCCACCCACUGGGUGUCUUGACGACAGGAUUCGAGUCCAGGCAGAGCCAGGGUUGUUGUCGUAGCCGGUGCCGCCAUUGAAGUCGGCGGGGCAAAUAGAGCCGGCAAAGGAACUAUAGCCGGCGUAGUUGGUGGAGCCGACAGUGCUUGCACGGCGGAUUCAACCGGUGCCGCUAUUGGAGUCGGCGUAGUCAGCGUAGCCGGCGUGGGAACCGCAGCCGGCGUCGCUGAUGGAGCCGACGGCGCUUGCAUCGUAGAGUCAGCCGGCACAAAAAUCGAUGCCGACUCGGGAGACGGCUUAUGGAGUUGCUCGAGGGAGACGCCGGCUGGAAUGGCCUGACUCGUGGGGCCGAUCUUCGCCACUGUAUCGGCCGCCUCAUUUUCUGCCCUGGGAACAUGGUGAAACUCACAGCCCUCGAAGGGGCCGCUGAGCUGCUGAAUGAGGAAGCGGUAGCUUGCCAUGUUGGCGUCCCUGGCAUCCCAUUCGCCAGAGACCUGCUGCACCACCAAUUCUGAAUCGCCGAAGCAUAUGAGCCGCCGGAUGCCGAUCUCCUUGGCAAGCCGGAGGCCGUGAGCAAGUGCUUCGUACUCAGCGACGUUGUUGGAGGCGGAGAAACGGAUCUGGAGUGCAUACUUGAGCUGGUCCCCUUUCGGAGACGUCAAGAUGAUGCUGGCUCCCAGUCCUGUCCGCAUCUUUGAGCCAUCGAAGUGCAUCCGCCAAUGCGUGGAGUCUGGAGGUGGUGGCUCAAACUGGGUCUCGGCCCAGUCGACUAAGAAGUCGGCCACCACCUGAGAUUUGAUGGCGGUACGAGGCUCGUACCAGAUAUCGUGAUCCGCCAUAGCGAUGGACCAUUUGGCAAUCUUGCCCAUGGCAUCACGGUUGCCCAUGAUCUCUGAAAGUGGAGCAGUGCUCACCACGGUGAUGGCAUGCUCUUGGAAGUAUUGCUUCAACUUCUUUGCAGCAAGGUAAACACCAUAACACAUUUUUUGAUAAUGUGGAUAGUUCUGCUUAGAGGCGGACAAGACUUUGCUAAGGUAAUAGAUGGGGUGCUUCACUGGCAGUGCCUUGCCCUCCUCUUUACGCUAAACUACCAACACUAUGCUAACCACGCCAGUAGUCGCCACAAUGUAUAUGAGUAUGGGUUCCCUUUCAGACGGCGCUGCCUAGAUUGGAAGGCUCGAGAUUACUCGCUUGAGGUCGCUGAAGGCUUCGUCCGCCUGGUCGUUCCACUCGAACUUCGUUGUCUUCUUCAUGAGUUGAUAGAGUGGAAGGGCCUUCUCGCCAAGCCGGCUGACGAACCGGCUAAGGGACACCAAGCAGCCGACGAACUUCUAGACGUCGAGGAUUCGGGCCGGUCGCACCAUCCUCUUGAUGGUGCCGAUUUUCUCGGGGUUUGCUUUGAUACGGCGAGCGGACACGAAGAACCCCAAGAGUUCGCCGCCUGGAACCCCGAAGAUGCACUUCUCCGGGUUGAGCCGGAUCUUGUACUCACGCAGAUUGGCGAACGUCUCCCGCAAGUCGUCGAGGAGGCUGAAGUGCUGCUUCAUCUUGACAACGAUGUCAUCCACAUAGACGUGGAUGUUUCUGCCUAUCUGUGGCAGUAGGCACUGCUGCAUGCAGCGUUGGAACGUUUCACCUAUGUUCUUCAGACCGAACGUCAUGGUGGUGUAGCAGUAGGCCCCGAAGGGCGUGAUGAAGGAGGUCUUCAGGCGAUCAGCUGGAUCUAGCUUGAUUUGAUGGUAGCCUGAAUAAGCAUCCAGAAACGAGAGCAAUUCGCAGCCUGCAGUGGAGUCGAUCACUUGAUCUAUCCUAGGCAACGCGAAAGGGUCUGUCGGACAGGCCUUAUUCAGGCUAGUGUAGUCAAUACACAUUUGCCAUGUGUUGUUCUUCUUCAGCACCAGGACUGGAUUAGCCAGCCAGUCCUGGUGGAAAACCUCCAUGAUGAAGCCGGUUGCAAGGAGCCGGUUUAUCUCUUCCCGAUCGUGCGUCGCUUCCCCUCGGCGAAGCGGCGCAAGGGUUAUUUCACCGGUUUUGCAACCGGUCGCACGUGAAGUUUGUGCUCGGCGUACUUCCUCGGAACACCCGGCAUGUCCUUGGGGGACCAUGCAAAGAUGUCCCGAUUCUCACGGAGGAAGUCGACGAGCUCGCCUUCCUAUUUGGGGCUGAGGCUAGCCCCGAUGGUGACGCACUGCUUUGGGUUGGCAGGGUCGAGUGGGACCUGCUUGGUCUCUUUAGCCGGCUUGAAAGAGCCCUCGCCGGCCCAUUGGGACGGAGGAGAAGGAAUCGCCGGCUGCUUAGUAGCCUGGGCCACGAGCCGGUUGAUCUGCCGCUUCUCCUCAGCAAUCACCAAGGCGUCGGCGAGGCGGCUGCUAUCUUGGGCACAAUCGAGCGACUUCUUGUAGUCGCCAACAACAGUGAUGAUGCCCUUGGGACCCGGCAUCUUCAUCUUCAGGUAGGCGUAACGCGGAAUAGCCAUAAACUUGGCCAGAGCCGGUCUUCCCAGCAGCGCGUGGUACGGGCUACUGAGAUCCACUACCUCGAACCAUAUGGACUCUCGGCGAAAGUGGGCUUUGUCGCCGAAGAGGACGUCCAGCUGGAUCUUGCCAAUGGGCGAGCACGACUGCCCAGGCACGAUGCCAUGGAAGACAGUACUGGUCGGUAGGACGUCCGUCUCCUUGAGUCCGAGCUUGAGGAGAGUAUCGAGGUAGAGGAUGUUGAUGCUGCUGUCGCCGUCGACCAACACCCGGGAGAAUCGUUAAGUGAGCCUCUUGGAGGCGAAGGUGGGGUCGAGGACGAGUGCGUAUGAUCCCGAGUUGGGCAUCACCGCAGGAUGGUCCACCUGGCUCCAUGUGAUUGGUUUGUUGGACCAAUGCAUGUACUCGGGAACCGGGGGGACAGUGGCGUUUACCUUGCGCCGCCUCUGGCGCAGGUUGUGCUUGUCGUCGCCUUUGCUGGUGAAGACGACGAACAGUCCGUCUUGAUGAGGGUAGUCGUCUUGGUGAUGACCGUCGUCGCGAGGCGGCGACGGCGGAGCCGGAGCGUGGUUGGGAGCCGGUGCACGAGGGGCCGCCUGUGCACCUGGAGGAGCCGGCAGGCCAUCCCCUUGCGACAGCCGAUGCGCAAAGCUGCACUGUCGAAGGGUGUGGGAAGACGGCUGCGCCCCAGAAUGUAUCUUGCAGGGGGCGUCGAGCAGCUGCUCGAAGGACUGUUUGGGCAGCCAGUUGGUGUUGCUUCUGUUGGGUCGCUUUCGUGGAGGGCCGGCUUGAGGAGCCGAUGUUUCGCCCUCUACGCUGGCCACCAACUUGCUGUUGGAGCGGGGAUCCAUUUGAUCUGCCUUGCGCUUGUAGUUGUUCUGGCCGCCUCGGUUGUCCCCAGCCUGCUUGGGAGUAGCCGGCGUAGGCACAACCUUGUCCAAGGCGGUCACCUUGACGCGCAUUGCUGAGUCGGCCGUGGCGUAUUUGCCCGCCAUGGCCAUGAGCACCGCCAAAGAGGUGGGCUCGGUGCAAAUGAGCUUGUGCUUGAGGAGGGUGCCGUCCCGGCAAUCGUUGAUGAAGUACUGGAUGGCUUGUACCUCAUCCACCCCCUCGCAGGAAUUACGGAGCUCAGUCCACCGGAUGACGUUGUCGCGAAGGGGUUCGUCGGCCUUCUGGAUGCACAUGGCCAGCUCGCGGGGCCGGCCAGGUUGCUUGUAGGUGCCAGUGAAGUUUCGGACGAACGCCUCCUCGAAGUCCACCCAGGAGUUGACACUGCUGGCCGGGAGGCUGUUAAGCCAAGUCCAGGCCGAGGCGGUCAACAUGAGUGGCACGUAGCGGACUGCUACGCACUGGUUGCCCCUGGCAAUGCUGAUGACCAUGGUGUAGUCAAUCAGCCAGUCCUCUGGCUUGGCCGUGCCAUUGUAUUUUGGCGUGUCCCGAGGAAGGGUGAAGCCUCGGGGGAACGGCUCCCCUCGGAUCCGGGGGCCGAAGCAGGCCGGACCGACGGGACCGUCUUCCUCUAGGAGGGUUGGCUGGGCCAGGACGAUGAGACGUCGGCGAGCGUCCCGAUCAUCCUGGGCGGUGUGAGCGCCAACCCUAGUGACGAGAGGGGAGGCGCCUCGCGAACCAGAGACGUGAGUUCUUCGCGGGGGAAGAAUCUCACACUCCAAAUCGCCCUCGUCGCCUUCGCGACGCAAGCCCGAAGUGUGCUUGCUCUGGCGCUGAGAGCGCCGGUCUUGGCUUCCCUCGCCCCUCCGGCCGGAAGGGCGAUGCGAGGAAGAUCCUUCCGCAUGAUGCUGACCGCUAGGGUUGCGGCAUGCCCCGGGGUUGGGUCCCGGGGACUCCGACUGAGCCUGACUAGGGUCACAUCGAGCGUGUUGUUGGUUGGCGGCAUCAAGGAGGUCCUUGACCUGCUUCUCCUGGAAAGCAUGCUCAUCGCCUUCCAGUUUCGCCAUCUCCUCCAUGGCUGCCUGAGCCGCUCGCAUGUUGGCUGCACGGGUCUCGCAGGUGGGCAGAUCGCCACCUAGGACUUCGGCGAUGAACCGGCCGUGGCUGCGGACCGAUCCAAGCCGGCUAGAGGCCUCGGAAAUCGGAGUAAGGCCGUAUGUGGAGUUAUACUCGUGCUGAGUAGCCUUCAUACGACGUUUUGCCGAAGCCAGAACAAUGCCUUCCUCCAGGAAACGCUUGCGAGCCUCCUCCAGCGAGGCCCGAGCAUCAGCAGGGUUGGUGGAAGCGGUGACGGGUGUCUUCAGGCCAGCGAUGGCGUCCCGAAGAGUAUCGGCAGUGGCAGCGGUAGGCUCGCCAGCGCCUGCCGAGGCCUUGUCGGGAGCUGUGCUGGUUCCGGCGCCUAUAACCAUCACUUUCAAGGUGUUGGAGACGGCAGCAACAUGGUAUGGGGUGAAGAACCGCACCGACGGUGGUUGGCCAUCAAAGAUGAGGACAUUGCUGGGAUAUACGUCGUGGGCAGGCAUCUCAGCGAUAGAGAGCCUGCUGAAGCUGGCGCAGAGCGCCUCAACGUCGAAGUCCUCGCCGAAGUAGCGCAGACCGUCAUUGAGACGUAGGUCGCUAAAGAGAACGCUGAGGUUCUCCAUAGCAGCGACGACGAUGCUAGGGAGCGCCUCGUCAUCGGAAUCUUCAUCCGAAUCCGCAUGGCGGACGGGGACGUCCAUCAUCAUGGGUGUUGCCUCGUCGAAAGCGGGCUCCACGGGCAUGCAAACUGAUCCGGACGCGAUGCAUCCGGUGGUUUAGGUGCGGGGCCCCGCCCAGCGCGUAAAGCCAGCCGAUGCCGCGAUUGGCCCCAUGGUGGGCGCCAAAUGUUGGUGCAUACUCACAACAUAUGCCAUAGGUAGGCUAAAGUCGGUGAGAACCUAAGGGACAAAGGUGGACGCUGGGAACGAGGUUGGUACACGCAUGCGACGCACGAUGUACCCAGGUUCAGGGCUCUCCGUAGACAUAAUACCCCUAAUCCUGCCGGAGUGUUUGAUGUGUAUGAACAGAGUACAUGGUUGCUCCUGGAGCUGUAUUGGGAGGAGGAAGAGGGGAGCAGCCGGCUCGUCUCUGCCUCUCUCUGUGGUUGGUGAGCGUAUAGUGCUGUUCGAUUGUGGAAUGAUCGCCCCCCUUGCAUGGAGGGCGACCUACAAUAUGGAUAAAGGGUACAAGUGUGGGACCCGGCUGGCAGCCUCGUCAGCUGGCCAGGGGCCACUAGAGUCUUGUCUUGUCGCUUGAGGGACCUGCCGGCUGCAUGGUCUCGAUUGGCAGUGGGACCCGCCGGCUGGCCAGUGAGGCUCUCGCGUAAGGUUGACGCCGAGCACGCGCUGUACGUCAAGCGUCGCCCCGCGAGAUUCGUCAUGGGCAGGUAGUAUGGCCGCCUCCACUGUUCCCCACGUCGAGUGCAGUAAUGGAGUGGGAGUGUGACGGUCCAACACUAUGCUGGGUGAUGGAUCAGAGCCGGGGUAGGUCAGCGGCGUGGCCGCCGACGCUCGUACCUGCCGGGCACCCCGAUCCAGUACCUUUUGCUGACGCGUAGCUACCUUUAAUCGUAGGGUCUCAUCCUGACCUACGAUCUGAUGUGACUUGUGAUCUUUGGCUGGCUAGCCUACUUGGCUAGCCGGCUGGGGCACGGCCGCCUCCUUCUGAGCCGGGCUGGCGGGACUAGGCCGGCUCAGGAGAGCUAGCUGCCUCGACUCUAACCGGCGGGGGUUGCCUGGCCGGCCAUAGGAAUGGCCGCCUCGUCCUCUAGCCGGUAGGCAUUGCCUAGCCGUCCGAAAGACUUGGGCCUUGGGAAUAAGUAUACGUUCAUGUCCUUUGGGCUGGAAAUGAAGGAGCAGGCUUGAUGAGCCUACCCCGUGGUUAUCCCCCCGACAGGGAUGGCCGGAGCCUCCACUAAAUCCAAAGGCGGAUUUGAGGUGGGAAGGAAAGAAACCCAACGAUGGAAAAGGUGGAAAGGGUUUCCAAGUGGAGAGGAGGAAUCCUACUCCUAGUAGGAUUGGAGUAGGACUCCUCCACCUCUAAUUUCGGCCAAACCUUGAGGGUUUGAGGCUGCCUCCUCCCCUCCCUCCCUUCUAUAUAUACUAGAGGUUUUAGAGGUGAGGCUAGCCCUAAUUGCCACGUGCUCCCUCUACUUCAUCUAGAUCGGUUUCUCCUCUAGUCUAGUUCGGCGGUGCUUAGGCGAAGCCCUGCUGGUUUAGUUCACCACCACCACCACCACGCCACCGUGUUGGAGAACUCAUCUACAUAUCCACACCUCUUGCUGGAUUAAGAAGGCGGGGAUCGUCAUCGAGCUGUACGUGUGCUGAACGCGGAAGUGCCUUCCGUUCGGCACUAGAUCGGGACGGAUCAUGAUGAGAUCGCGAGACGGGCUGCGAUUUGGAUCACGAAGAUGUUCCACUACAUGAACCGCGUUAUAUACGCUUCCUCUUAGCGAUCUACAAGGGUGUGUAGGUGCACUCUCCGCUCUCGUAGAUGAUCACCACCAUGGAUAGGUAUUGUGUGUGCGUAGGAAUUUUUUUGUUUCCCAUGCAACCUCUCCCCAACAGUGGCGUCAUGAGUUAGGUUCAUGCGUAGAUGAUAUCUCGAGUAGAACACAAAAGAGCUUGUGGGUGUUGAUGUUCAAUUUGCUGCCCUCCUUAGUCUGUUCUUUAUUCGACAGUAUUGUUGGAUUGAAGUGGCCCGGACCAACUUUACUCGUACGCUUACGAGAGACCGGUUUCAUCGGCUGACAUGCAACUUGUUGCAUAAAGAUGACUGGCGGGUGUUUAUUUCAUCAACUUUAGUUGAAUUGGGUUUGGACGACGCGGUGCUUGGAGAAGGUUAAAUAUAAAAUUGCAUAUCACCAUUGUGGCUUUGCGUAAGUAAGAUGCGAUCAUAGUAGAUACCCAUAGCAGCUACGUAAAACAUGCAACAAGAAAUUAGAGGACGUCUAACUUGUUUUUGCAGGGUAUGCAUGUGAUGUGAUAUGGCCAAAUACAUGAUAUGAUAUAUUGGAUGUAUGAGAUUAUCAUGUUGUAAUAGUUAAAUAUCGACUUGCACGUCGAUGGUAUGGCAACCGGCAGUAGCCAUAGGGUUGUCUUUAAACUAAUGUUUGUGCUUGCAGAUGCUUUUACUAUAUCGCUAGGUUGCAUCUUUAGUAGUAAUAGCAUAGAUAGCGCGACAACCUCGAUGGAGGCACGAUGAUGGAGAUCAUGAUAAUGAAGAUCAUGGUGCAGCGCUGGUGACGAUGAAGAUUAUGCCGGUGCUUUGGUGAUGGAGAUGAAGAAUCAUGAGUUCAUGGCCAUAUCAUGUCACUUAUGAUUUGCAUGUGAUGUUAAUCCUUUUAUGCACCUUGUUUUUCUUAGGACGACGGUAUCAUUAUAAGGUGAUCUCUCACUAAAAUUUCAGGAUAAAAUUGUAUUCUCCCCGACUGUGCACCGUUGCGACAGUUCAUCGUUUCGGGACACCACGUGACGAUCGGGUGUGAUAGACUCAACGUUCACAUACAAAGGGUGCAAAACAGCUGCACACGCGGAACACUCGGGUUAAACUUGACAUGCCUAGCAUGUACAGACAUGGCCUCAGAACACAAGAGACCGAAAGGUCGAUCAUGAAUCAUAUAGUUGUUAUGAUCAACAUGGAGAUGAUCACCAUUGAAGCUAAACUCAACUCACGUGAUGAUAGUGAAUUUGGAUCAUGCGAAACUCGAAUGACUAGAGGGAUCUCAAUUUGAGUGGGAGUUCUUACCUAAUAUGAUUAAUUGCACUCAUUAUCAUGAACAUAGUCGAAAGGUCUUUGGAAAUUAUGUUGUAGCUUGCAAUGUAGCUCUACUGUUUUAGAUAUGUUCCUAGAGAAAAUUUAUUUGAAAGUUGAUAGUAGCAAUUAUGCGGUCUUGGUCCGUAAAUUGAGGAUUGUCCUCAUUGCUCCGCAGAAGGCUUAUGUCCUUAAUGCACCGCUCAGUGUGCUGAACCUCGAGCGUCGUCUGUGGAUGUUACGAACAUUUGACAUACAUGUUUUUGAUGAGUACGUGAUAGUUCAAUGCGUAAUGCUUAACGGCUUAGAAUUAAGGCACCGAAGACGUUUUAAACGUCACGGAACAUAUGAGAUGUUUCAAGAGAUGAAAUUGGGAUUUCAUGCUCGUGCCCUUGUUGAGAGGUAUGAGACCCCCGACAAGAUUCUUUGUCUACAAAGUAAGGGAGAAAAUCUCAAUCGUUGAGCGUGUGCUCAGAUUGUUUGGGUGCUAUGAUUGAUUUAAUCGAGUGGGAGUUGAUCUCCAGAUGAGAUAGUGAUGGUUCUCCAAAAUCACUACCACCAAGCUACUAGAGCUUCGUGAUGAACUAUAACAUAUCAAGGAUAGAUAUGAUGAUCCUUGAGCUAUACGCGAUGUUUGACACCGCGAAAGUAGAAAUCAAAUAGAAGCGUCAAUUGUUGAUGGCUAGUAAAACCACUGGUUUCAAGAAGGGCAAGGGCAAGAAGGUUUACUUCAUGAAACGGCAAACCAGUUGCUGCUCAAGUGAAGAGACCCAAGGUUGAACCUAAACACGAGACUAACUGCUUCUGUAAUGAGGGGAACAGUCAUUGAAGAGGAACUACCCUAGAUACCUGGUAGAUGAGAAGGCUGGCAAAGUCGACAACUGUAUAUUGGAUAUACAUGAUAUUGGUGUGUACUUUACUAGUACUCCUAGUAGCAUCAGGGUAUUAGAUACUGGUUCGGUUGCUAAGUGUUAGUAACUCGAAAUAAAAGCUACGGAAUAAACGAAGACUAGCUAAGGGCGAGGUGACGAUAUGUGUUGGAAGUGUUUCCAAGUUUGAUGUGAUCAAACAUUGCACGCUCCCUCUACCAUCGGGGAUUAGUGUUGAACCUAAAUAAAUGUUAUUUGGGGUUUGCAUUGAGCAUGAACAUGAUUAGAUCAUGUUUAUUUCAAUGCGAUUAUUCAUUUAAAGAGAAUAAUGGUUAUUCUAUUUGCUUGAAUAAAUACCUUCAAUGGUUUAUUGAAUCUCGAUCGUAGUGAUACACAUGUUCAUGAUAUUGUUUCCAAAAGAUACAAAGUAGUAAUGAUAGUACCACUUACUUGUGGCACUGGCGCUUGAGUCAUAUUGGUGUAACACGCAUGAAGAAGCUCUAUACUGAUGGAUCUUUGGACUCACUCGUUUUUAAUCGUUUGAGACAUGCGAACCAUGCCUAUUGGUGUAAACGCAUGAAGAAACUCCAUGCAGAUGGAUUGUUUAGACUCACUUGAUUUUGAAUCACUUGAGACAUGCAAAUCAUACCACAUGGGCAAGAUGACUGAAGGCCUCGUUUUCCAGUGAGAUGGAACAAGAAAGUAACUUAUUGGAAGUAAUACAUUUUGAUGUAUGCAGUCCAAUGAGUGCUGAGGCACGCAGUGGAUAUCGUUAUGUUUUUACCUCACAGAUGAUUUGAGUAGAUACUAGUGUAUUUUCUUGAUGAAACACACGUCUGAAUUAUUGAAAAGUUCAAGUAAUUUCAGAGUGAAGUUGAAGAUCGUCGUGAUAAGAGGAUAAAAUGUCUACGAUAUGAUCAUAGAGAUGAAUAUCUGAGUUGCGAGUUUGGUACACAAUUAAGACAAUGUGAAAAUUGUUUCACAUCUCAUGCCACCUAGAACACCAUAGUGUGAUGGUGUGUCCGAACGUCAUAGUCGCGCCCUAUUUGAUAUGGUGCAUACUAUGAUGUCUGUGAUCGAAUUACCACUAUCGUUUAUGGGUUAUGCAUUGGAGACAACUGCAUUCACUUUUAAUAGGGCACCAUGUAAUUCCGUUGAGAUGACACCGUAUGAACUAUGGUUUGGAGAAACCUAAGCUGUCGUUUCUUAAAAGUUUGGGGCUGCGACGCUUAUGUGAAAAAGUUUUAGCGUGAUAAGCUCGAACCCAAAGCGGAUAAAUGCAUCUUCAUAGGACACCCAAAAUAGUUGGGUAUACUUCCUGUCUUAGAUUCCGGAAACAAAGUGUUUGUCUCUAGAAAUGGGUCCUUCCUCGAGAAAAAGUUUCUCUCGAAAGAAUUGAGUGGGAGGAUGGUGGAAAUUUGAUGAGGUUAUUAAACUGCCACAUCAACCAAAGUGUAGCAGGGCGCAGGAAGUUGUUCGUGUGGCGCCUAUACCAAUUGAAUUGGAAGCAUAAUGAUAGUGAUCAUGAAGCUUCAGAACAAGUUACUACAAAACUUGUUGGUCGACAAGGUCACGUAGUGCUCCAGAAUGGUACGGUAACCCUGUCUUCGAGGUCAUGUUGUUGGACAACAAUUAACCUACGAGCUGUGGAGAAGCGAUGGUGGGCCCGGAUUCUGACAAAUGGUUGGGGGCCAUGAAAUCCGAGAGAGGAUCUAUGUAUGAAAACAAAGUGUGGACUUUGGAAGAACUACUUGAUGGUCGUAAGACUGUUAAGUACAGAUGGAUCUUUAAAAGGAAGACAAACGAUGAUGGUGAAAAGUCAUAGUUAAGAAAGCUCGACUUGUCACAAAGAUGUUUUCGACAAAUUCAAGGAGUUGACUAUGAUGAGAAUUUCUCACUCAUAGCGAUGCUAAAAGUAUGUUGGAAUUAUGUUAGCAGUUGCUGCAUUAUUUUUGAAAUCCUGCAGAUAGGAUGUCAAAACAUUGUUUCCUCGACGGUUUCCUUGAGGAAAGCUUGUAUGUGAUACAACCAGAAGGUUUUGUCGAUCCUAAGGAUGCUAACAAGUAUGCAAGCUCCAGCGAUCCUUCUAUGGUCUGGAGCAAGCAUCUCGGAGUUGGAAUAUACGCUUUGAUGAGAUGAUCAAAGUUUUGGGGUUUAUACAAGGUUUGUGAGAAACUUGUAUUUCCAAAGAAGUGAGUGGGAGCACUAUAGAUUUUCUGAUGAGUAUAUGUGAUAGACAUAUUGUUGAUCGGAAAUAAUGUAGAAUUCCUGGAAAGCAUAAAGGGUUGUUUGAAAGGUGUUUUUCAAAGUUAAACCUGGAUUAAGCUACUUGAACAUUGACCAUCAAGAUCCAUGGAGAUAGAUCAAAGCGCUUAACAAAACUUUCAAACGAAAUGCAUGCCUGACAAGUUUUUGAAGGAGUUCAAAAAUAGAUCGGCAAGAAGGAGUUCUUGGCUGUGUUGAAAGGUGUGAAUUUGAGUAGGACUCAAAGCUCGACCACGGCAUAAUAAAGAGGAAGGACGAAGGUCGCCCCCUAUGCAUUAGCCGUAGGCUCUAUAGUAUGCUAUGCUUUGUACCGCACCUGAUGUGUGCCUUGCCAUGAAUCUUUCAAGGGGUACAGAAGUGAUCCAUGAAUGGAUUACUGGACAGCGGUCAAAAGUUAUCCUUAGUAACUAGUGGACUAAGGAAUUUUCUCGAUUAUGGAGGUGAUAAAAGAGUUUGUCGUAAAGGGUUACGUUAAUGCAAGCUUUGACUCUAAUCCGGAUGACUUUGAGUAGUAAACCGGAUUCGUAUAGUCGAGCACUCAUUUGGAAUAGUUUCAAAUGGCGAGUAGUAGUAGCAUCUAUAGUAUGACAUAGAGAUUUAUAAAGCACACACAAAUCUGAAAGGUUCAGACCUAUUGCCUAAAAAACCUCUCUCACAAGAAAGACAUGAUCGAACCCGAGAACUGUAUGGGUGUUAGAUUCUUUACAAUCACAUAGUGAUGUGAACUAGAUUAUUGACUCUAGUGCAAGUGGGAGACUGUUGGAAAUAUGCCCUAGAGGCAAUAAUAAAUUAGUUAUUACUAUAUUUAUUUGUUCAUGAUAAUCAUUUAUUAUCCAUGCAAGAAUUGUAUUGAUUGGAAACUCAAAUACAUGUCUGGAUACAUAGACAACACACUGUACCUAGUGAGCCUCUAGUUGACUAGCUCGUUGAUCAAAGAUGGUCAAGGUUUCCUGGCCAUAGACAAGUGCUGUCACUUGAUAACGGGAUCACAUGAUUAGGAGCAUGAUGUGAUGGACAAGACCCAAACUAUGAACGUAGCAUAUGAUCGUGUCAGUUUAUUGCUACUGUUUUCUGCAUGUCAAUGUAUCUGUUCCUAUGACCAUGAGAUCAUGCAACUCCCGGACACCGUAGGAAUACCUUGUGUGUCAUCAAACAUCGCAACGUAACUGCGUGACUAUAACGAUGCUCUACACGUAUCUCCAAAGGUGUCUGUUGGGUUGGCAUGGAUCAAGACUGGGAUUUGUCACUCCGUGUGACUUAGAGGUAUCUCGGGGCCCACUCUGUAAUACAACAUCACAAUAAGCCUUGCAAGCAAUGUGACUAAGAAGUUAGUCAUGGGAUCUUGUAAUACGGAAUGAGUAAAGAGAAUUACCGGUAACGAGAUUGAACUAGGUAUAGAGAUACCGGGGAUCGAAUCUCGGGUAAGUAACAUACCAAAGGACAAAGGGAUCAACAUACGGGAUUAACUGAAUCCUUGACAUAGAGGUUCAACCGAUAGAGAUCUUCGUAGAAUAUGUAGGAGCCAAUAUGGAAAUCUAGGUCCCGCUAUUGGUUAUUGACCGGAGAAUGGCUCAGGUCAUGUGUGGAUAGUUCUCGAACCCGCAGGGUCUGUACACUUAAGGUUCAGUGACGUUUUUGGUAUAGUUGAGUUAUAGGUGUUGGUAACCGAAGGUUGCUUGGAGCCUGAUACGUCUCCAACGUAUCUACUUUUCCAAACUCUUUUUCCCUUGUUUUGGACUAUAAUUUGCAUGAUUUGAAUGGAACUAACUUGGACUGACGCUGUUUUUAGCAGAAUUGCCUUGGUGUUAUUUUUGUGCAGAAAUCAAAGUUCUCCAAACGUCCUGAAAAUUUACGGGGAGCACUUUUGGAAAAUAUCCAAAAUACGUGCGCGAGGAUCCACCUGAGGGGGUGGGCUAGUGGGCCACAAGCCCCUGCUCCGCCACCACCCCCUGGUGGCGGUGGGCAGGCUUGUGGGGCCCACAGGCCUCUGCCGCUCCCAACUCCAGCUCUAUAAGUUGUCUUUCGUCCCAGAAAAAAUAAAAAAGAGAAGUGUUCGUCGCGUUUUCGAUACGGAGGCGCCGCCACCACCUGUUAUUCAUCUAGAGGGCAGAUCUGGAGUCCGUCUUGGGCUCCAGAGAGGGGAAAUCGUCGCCAUCGUCAUCAUCAACCUUCUUCCCUCUCCAAUUCCAUGAAGCUCUUCGUCGUUCGUGAGUAAUCUAUUCGUAGGCUCGCUGGGCGGUGAUGAGUAGGAUGAGAUCUAUCAUGUAAUCGAGUUAGUUUUGAUGGGGAUUGAUCCCUAGUAUCCACUAUGUUCUGAGAUUGAUGUUGCUACUACUUUGCCAUGCUUAAUGCUUGUCACUAGGGCCCGAGUGCCAUGAUUUCAGAUCUGAAAUUAUUAUGUUGUCACCAAUAUAUGUGUGUUUUAGAUCCGAUCUUGCGAGUUGUAGUUACUUACUAUGUGUUAUGAUCCGGUAACCCCGGAGUGACAAUAACCGAAACCACUCCCGGUGAUGACCAUAGUUUGAGGAGUUCAUGUGUUCACCAACUGCUAAUGCGUUGGUCCGGUUCUUUAUUAAAAGGAGAACCUUAAUGUCCCGUAGGUUCCUUUUGGACCCCGCUGCCACGGGAGGGAUGGACAAUAGAUGUCAUGCAAGUUCUUUUCCCUAAGCACGUAUGACGACACACGGAAUGCAUGCCUACAUCACAUUGACGAACGGGAGCUAGCCACUUAUCUCUCCGUGUUAUAGCUGUUGCAUGAUGAAUAUCAUCCAAACAAAUCACCGACCCAAUGCCUACGAGUUUGUCCUACUAUUGCUACUACUGCUGUUACUUGUCUUGCUCUGCUACUACUGUUGCUACUUCUGUCGUUACUUGUCUUGCUCUGCUACUACUGUUGCUACUGCCGUUACUUGUGUUGCUCUGCUGCUACUACUAUUGCUACUACUGCCAUUACUUGUCUUGCUCUGCUGCUACUACUGUUGCUACUGCUCUUAUUUGUUUUGCUGUGCUGCUACUGUUGCUACUACUGUCGCUUGGUACUGUUGCUACUUGCUACUGCUGUCACUACUGCUGUUCCUUGCCACUGCUAUUGCUUGUUCCACUGUCGAUAUCCGUUACUUCGCUGUUACUACUUCGCUGUUACUAUUGUGCUUGCAGAUACUAAUCUUUCAGGUGUGGUUGAAGCUGACAAAUUCAGCUGCUAAUACUUGAGAGUAUACUCUCACCUCCUGUCUCGCGUACCUACAAAUUGGGUCGAAUACUCUACCCUCGAAAACUGCUGCGAACCCACGCGUUGGUGGGCCAUCAACAACAUUCUUCCAGUUUCAUUGUCGGGGAGUGCUAUCAGCAUUCUUCUGGUGCCGUUGCAGGAGAAGGUUAGUUGUUAUAAGCAUUCGUCUAGCUAACACUAGAGAUUGCAGGAUCAACACUUUUCUGGAGCCAUUGCCAGAGAAGCACAGCUGACGUCAGCAUUUUUCUGGCGCCGUUGCCGGGGAGGUAUUGCUAUAUUCUCUGAGUUACUUGUGAUUUAUAUUUGCUGAUCACUAUGAAGAAUCUGAAGGAUCCGAAGACCAAAGUCUUGCCCUCAACUAUGAGGGGAGGUAAGGAAUUUCCAUCUAGGUCUGCACUUGAUUCACGUUCGGUUAUGAGUAAGUUUGCGACAUCACCUCCUGCUAGAAAUCUUGAUAUGUCGCCUGUGCUUGAUGAUGCUUGUGAUACUACUGCUAGAGAUGCUAUGCCUGAUACUAUGCCUGAUGAUGCUAUGCCUGAUGAUGCUAUGCCUGAUACUAUGCUUGAUACUAUGCUUGAUACUGCUAGAGAUGCUAUGCUUGAUACUGCUUUUCCUGAUGAUGCUAGAGAUGCUAUUUUGCCUAAUGAUGCUAUGCUUGAUACUGCUAGAGAUACUCCUUUGCCUGAUGUUCCACUGGGAGCAUUCCUUGACGCUCAUAUUGCUAGAGUUACUGCCAAUGCUCGUGAUGCUUCUGAUAUUGCCGAUGCUAUUGAGAUAGAACCUGCUUUUGCUCCUGUUAGACCUAGCUCUCCUAGAUAUGAAUUGCCUGUUAUACCUGAGGGUUACGUUAUGGAGGGAGAGAUAGCUGAGAAUUUUCUUGCGUGUAAGGAUGCCUAUGACGCUGAGAAAUUAGUUCUCAAGUGGAAGGAAAAAUCUCGGGAAGUUAGGAUGAAAAAUGAUCCGAAGUUUGCCACUUCGCCUAUCUUUGUCACCGAUAAGGAUUAUGAAUUCUUUGUCGACCCUGAGAUAAUCUCUCUAGUCGAAUCUGAUCCUUUUCACGGUUAUGAGUCUGAGACUGUCAUAGCCCAUCUUGCCAAACUAUCCGAAAUAGCCAACCUUUUCACUAAUGAGGAGAAGAUCCGCCACUACUAUAUCCUUAAGCUGUUUGCUUUCUCUCUAAAGGAUGAUGCUAAAGCCUGGUUCACCUCUCUUGCUCCUGGAUGUGUGCGUAGUCCCCAGGAGAUGGUCUAUUACUUCUGUGAGAAAUAUUUCCCUGCCCAUAAGAAGCAAGCUGCCUUGCAGGAAAUAUACAACUUUGCUCAACUCCAAUAAGAGAGUCUUCCACAAGCUUGGGGGAGGCUCGUCCAGCUACAGAAUGCUUUGCCUGAUCACCCUCUCAAGAAGAGCGAGAUACUUGAUAUCCUCUAUAACGGACUUACCGAUGCCUCUAAAGACCAUCUAGAUAGUUGUGCCGGUUGUGUUUUUAGGGAACGAACUGUAGAACAAACCGAGACUCUACUGAAUAACAUCUUGAUCAACGAUAAUGCUUGGACUAUUCCCGAACCACCUCCUAAGCCAACUCCGAAGAAAAUAGGUAUCCUAUUCCUCAGUCCCGAAGAUAUGAAAGAAGCCAAGAAAUAUAUGCAAGAGAAAGGCAUUAGAUCUGAAGAUGUCAAAAAUCUACCACCUAUCAAAGAGAUCCACGGUCUCGAUAACCCGAUACAGGUAGUAGAAGUGAAUUCUCUACGUAGGUUUGAUGAGAGUGAUAUUCCUUUUGAUAAACCUGCUAGCCUAUGCUUUGAUGAAUUUGACAACUUUGUUGCCAAACAACAGAGUUUCAAUGAUUAUGUUAGCACAUAUUUGGAACAAAGUACUCGUAUGCUUAGCCAUUUAAGUGCUUGUGUAGACAGAAAUGUCAAUGCUUUGAAGCUUCUGAGUAAACAUGCCUCUAUGAUUACUACUCAGGUAGAACAAGUACUUAAAGCUCAGAAUGACCUGCUCAAUGAAUUAAAUGACAACUCUGUCAAAGUCAUUACUAGAGGAGGCAAAAUAACUUAGGAACCUUUGUUUCCUGAAGGUCAUCCUAAGAGAAUUGAUCAAGAUUCUCAAGGAAUCAAUGAUGAUACACCUAGUCAUCCUAAGGAGAAGAAGAAGGAUGAUAUAAACCUGCACGCCAGUUCACCAAAUACUGUCACACCUGAAGAACCUAAUGAUAUUUCUGCGUCUGAUGCAGAAACACAAUCUGGUGAUGAACAUGAACCUGGUGACAAUGUGGACAGCGAUGUUCAUAAUAAUGCUCAACCUAGCAAUGAUGAGGAUGUGGAGAUUGAACCUACGAUUAAUCCUGAUAACCCACAACCUAAGAAGUACGACAAGAAUGACUUCACUGCUAGGAAGCAUGGUAAAUAAAGAGAGCCAUGGGUUCAGAGACCUAUGCCCUUUCCUCCUAAGCCAUCCAAGAAAAAGGAUGAUGAGGAUUUUGAGCGCUUCGUUGAGAUGAUAAGACCCGUCUUUCUACAGAUGCGGUUAACUGAUAUGCUCAAGAUGUCUCCGUAUGCCAAGUACAUGAAAGAUAUCGUGACUAAUAAACGGAAGAUACCAGAUCUUGAGAUCUCCACCAUGCUUGCCAAUUACACUUUCAAGGGUGGAACUCCUAAGAAACUUGGUGAUCCCGCAGUGCCCACUAUACCUUGCUCCAUUAAGGGAACUAUGUAAGAAGUGCCUUAUGUGACCUUGGAGCCGGUGUUAGUGUUAUGCCACUCUCUCUUUAUCAUAGACUUGAAUUGGAUAAGUUGACACCCACUGAAAUUUCUCUGCAAAUGGCCGACAAAUCAACUGCUUUCCCUAUCGGCGUUUGUGAGGAUGUGCCUGUUGUGGUUGCUAAUACCACUAUCUUAACAGACUUUGUUAUCUUGGAUAUUCCCGAGGACGAUGCCAUGGCUAUCAUCCUCGGAAGACCCUUUUUAAACACUGCAGGGGCUGUUAUAGAUUGCAACAAAGGCAAUGUCACUUUCCAUGUCAACGGUAAUGAGCACACACUGCACUUUCCGAAGAAAUGAUAUCCAGUACAUUGCAUCAAUGCUAUUGAAAAGACUUCAUCGAUUCUCAUUGGGAGCUUUGAAUGCCCUAUUCCUCGUGUCAAGAUGAAGUAUGAUUUGCUUGUUGGGGAGAUACAUAUCCCCAUUGAGGUGACUUAGUGGCUAUUCGAAAAUUCUCCGUUCUCUCUUGCGAUUCGAGAAUGUUUUGUCAUAAGGACUUAAUCAAUCCCAUUGACGGAUUUCUUUCGAUGGCCAUGAAACGGAUGAAUCAGAGAGUCACAUACCUCUGUUUUGAGUCUUCAUUUUCUGUUGCUUAGAAGAAAAAUGAUAGAAUUAGUUUAGUUUUUCCUGUUUUCUGUUUUAGCGUCCCGGAGAAAAAUACCUUGAAAAUAAAAGUUCUCCGAUGGUCCUGAAAAUUUAGUAUGAUUUUUUCUAGAAUUUUUGAAGAUUUCUGGGCCUGAGAACUGGUCAGGGGUCCUGACCACUGGCCACAAGCCCCCCACCGCGAGCUACCCCCCUGGUGGCGGGGUGCAAGCUUGUGGGGCCCACAGGCACCCCCUCCACUCACUCCAGCUCUCAGCCUCUUCUUCCACCUCUAGAAUAAAUUGUUUCGUAGCUCAAACCCGUGUUCUUGCUCAUUUGGCUGUGAUUUUUGAUCUCCUUGCUCAAAUCACCAUUCUCUGAACUGUUUUGGGGAAAUUACUCCUUGGUAAGUGACUCCUCCAUUGGUCCAAUUAGUUUUAGCUCUAGGGCUUUAACCUUCGCGAAUUCUUGCUACCUUGGUGACCUUGUUCUUGAGCUAGAAAAGUUGAUUUUAGCUGGUCCCAAGUAGUUUUAGCGCGUGAUAUGGUCUCUAGGCACUAGUAGGAGUAGUUGCUACAAGGUAUAGUUGGUCCUCAUUCACUUUUCUCUUGAACUUCAAAAAUUUCAGCAUAAGGAAAUUAUGUUCAGGAGGAAGUUUCAUGGUGGUUCCUCAAGUAAGAAGGGUCCUCGUCUCUCCUUUUGGGAGCCCGAACCUUUUCAACUAAGGGACGCACCGGUGCAACCAUGUGAAUGGCCUUCCGAUGAGUUCAUGAUCGAAGCAGGCUUCAAGGAUGAGUUUGAUGCACUUGUCCGCAAUGCCGGGUUAGAAGAAUUCCUCUCAGAUAAAUGUGAACAGUAUGCUAUGCUCACUGCCUCUUUCGUGCGUAGAAUCCAUACUGUUUGAUCUGUACGAUAAACCCUAUACCGUGGGUCUGGAGGAUUUCAAUAGGAUUUGCAAGAUACCCGAUGGAGGUAGUGUUAUUGAUCCUCCUAAGUCUUCGGUCAGAGACUUUGUCUCCAGCAUAACUGUUGGAGAAACCAGAGAUAUUACGCAAGCCACCAUAGGAAGCAUCCAUUUCCCUGCCUUGCACUACCUUGCCCUCUUCAUAGGUAGGUGCAUUAACGACAAGGGUCCACAUUGUCACCUAUGCGCUUCUGACCUUAGUAUCCUUAAGAGCGCAGUAACAGGUGACAUGAGCUUCAAUAUGGGAGCUAUUAUAGCAAGGAGGCUGAAUAAAAAUGCUAGUGAGGGGGAUUUCUUUGGCGGAGUUUAUGCUACACGCUUAGCAAAUUUUCUGGGAGUAUCCAUCCGUCCAGAAGACCCUCCUCUCCGUACAGCCUACCUUGAUCGUGUCGCUCUAACACGCUACCACUUCCUUGAGAGAGAUGAUGGAUCUCUUCUAUACCGCUUGAUAUUUAACCGACAACGUGUUUUCCAUAUUACCCUUCCUGCUCCUGCUUUCUUUGACUUUCAGGUUAAACAAAGAUACUACAUAACCAUAGGAGAAGCAGAGGAGUAUGAGAGGGAGGCGACGGCUGCUCGACUUCGCGAGACAGCUAUUCAGGCAGUGGCUGCAGCACUCCCGUAUAGCACUCAUUAUGACUUUGGGUUUCGCCAGGAUCAUCCAUGGGAGUAGAUCAAGCUAGGCCAAAAGCCUAAGCUUGGGGGAGUACGUGUUCUCAUCGACUUUGCAUUCAUGCUCAUGCUUUCACUUUGUUAGCCGGUGUUUACAUUUUGCCACUGUAUUAUCCAUGCUAGUUCUUUUUGUUUUCUUGUUUUCUUGUUUUGUGUCCUUUUGAGAAAACCCAAAAAGAAUUUUCUUUCUUCUUUUGCUUGUUGGGAGCUUUCCCGUGUAAAUAGUUUUCUUUUUCUUUGUGUCAAGGUAGAAGAUAUUGGUUACAAUGUUUAGUGGUUCUUACAUGCUUACCUGUUUAGCUUUCAAAGAGCCAUAUUAUUUUGUCUUCUCCUUUGUGUUUGCCUGUAGAUUCAGCUUAGUCCAAUGCGCUUAUUAUCGUUUUUAUCGUUCGAUCGUGCAAAUGAAAGGCAACAAUGAUGAUAUAUGAUGAAGUGACUAAGACUUAAAAGCUGGUAUGAACUCUAUCUAUUUUGUUUUUGUAAAUAUGACUAGCUUGUCGACCCAUAUUUAGCUUUGUUGUGAGAGAACCAUGUUUGCAAUGACAACUUAGAGAUCAUAGUUUCUGAUGCCAUGCUUAUUUAGCUGAGAGCUUAUAAUGGUUUGUCUUGAUUGCCAACAUAGAUUUUGAGAUGACUGUGAUCUAGUAUGAUAGGAUGGUAUUCUCCUUUGAAUGUUUCAAGUGGCUUGACUUGGCGCAUGUUCAUGCAUGUAGUUGAAACAAAAUCAACAUAGCCUCUAUGAUGUUCAUAUUCAUGGUGAUUUAUAUCAUGUUCAUGCUUGCAUUCAAUGUUAGCCAAACCCAUUGCAUCUUGAUGACUGUUGUCGCUCUCUAGUUGGUCGCUUCCCAGUCUUUUGCUAGCCUUCACUUGUACUAAGCGGGAAUACUGCUUGUGCAUCCACCUCCAUAAACCCAAAAGUUUUUCCAUGAGAGUCCACCAUACCUACCUAUUUGCGGUAUCUACCUCCCGUUCCAAGUAAAUUUGCAUGUGCCAUUCUCUAAACCUUCAAGAAAUAAAUCUGUUUUGCAUGCCCGAACCGCUCAUGUGGUGACAGAGGGCUAUUGGUAUCUUCCGUGCUAGGAGUUUUAUCCUCGACAUGUGUUUAUUCAUAGUCAUUCACGAGAAAGGGGUCGGUACUUGGGAUGCCCAGUUCCAUGCUUAAAUCGAAAACAUAAUUGUAAAACAAGACUCCCCCCGGAUUGAUGUUAGUAUGGACGGUACCCGAGGAUUCGGCUAGCCGUGAGUGUGAUUGAUUGGUGGUGGGGGAGUUAAAACUUUACUUUUCUGCUUGGGAACGGCCUAUAGCAUGAGUAGGAUGGAAGAUAUUGAGAACUCUUGGUCAUUGCAUUGACAAUGAAAUCAUGCCAGCCAAAAUUAUUAUCUCUGUUUUCAAAGCUUGAGUUCUGGCACCUCUGCAAAAUCAAUGCUUCCCUCUGCGAAGGGCCUGUCUAUUUAUUUUCCUGUCGAGUCAUCCUCCUCUUAUAUAAGCACCAAUUAGAGAGCACCUGUGUCAUUUUUAUGCUUUGUUUUUGAUUAAUAUUGAGUAUGACUAUGACUGGAUCUUCGUUGCUAUGAAUUAAAAUGUUUAGUCAGCCCUUGAUCUUUCAAAGUGCUCUGCAUUUAUGUUUUGCGGUCUCAGAAAGAGCUAGCGAGAUACCACCUAUUCAUAUUGCUUCAUGCUUGUUUUGAUUGAAGUGUUGGUAUUUGAAACUCAUUAUUAUUUGCUUGUUAGCUGAUUAUGCCAUUGAUAUUAGUUUACCGUGAGACCUUUGUGUCAUUUGCUUAUCUGGUUAACUUGUGAUCUUGCUGAAAUUCGGGUUAUGAGUUAGACAUAGUUCAACAACAAGAUCAAACAGAGUUGGUCAAAGUCUUUCUUUCUCUCUCAGAUUGUCAACUGAGUUGCUUGAGGACAAGCAAGGUUUUAAGCUUGGGGGAGUUGAUACAUCUCGAACGUAUCUACUUUUCCAAACUCUUUUGCCCUUGUUUUGGACUAUAAUUUGCAUGAUUUGAAUGGAACUAACCUGGACUGACGCUGUUUUCAGCAGAAUUGCCUUGGUGUUAUUUUUGUGCAGAAAUCAAAGUUCUCCAAAUGUCCUGAAAAUUUACGGUGAGCAAUUUUGGAAAAUAUCAAAAAUACCUGCGCCAGGAUCCACCUGAGGGGGUGGGCCAGUGGGCCACAAGCCCGUGCUCCGCCACCACCCCCUGGUGGCGGUGGGCAGGCUUGUGGGUCCCACAGGCCUCGGCCGCCCCAACUCCAGCUUUAUAAGUUGUCUUUCGUCCCAGAAAAAAUUAAAAAGAGAAGUUUUCGUCGCGUUUUCGAUACGGAGGCGCCGCCACCACCUGUUCUUCAUCUGGAGGGAAGAUCUGGAGUCCGUCUUGGGCUCCGGAGAGGGGAAAUCGUCGCCAUCGUCAUCAUCAACCUUCUUCCCUCUCCAAUUCCAUGAAGCUCUUUGUCGUUCGUGAGUAAUCUAUUCGUAGGCUCGCUGGGCGGUGAUGAGUAGGAUGACAUCUAUCAUGUAAUCGAGUUAGUUUUGAUGGGGAUUGAUCCCUAGUAUCCACUAUGUUCUGAGAUUGAUGUUGCUACUACUUUGCCAUGCUUAAUGCUUGUCACUAGGCCCGAGUGCCAUGAUUUCAGAUCUGAAAUUAUUAUUAUGUCACCAAUAUAUGUGUGUUUUAGAUCCGAUCUUGCAAGUUGUAGUUACCUACUAUGUGUUAUGAUCCGGCAACCCCGGAGUGACAAUAAUCGGAACCACUCCCGGUGAUGACCAUAGUUUGAGGAGUUCAUGUGUUCACCAAGUGCUAAUGGGUUGGUCUGGUUCUUUAUUAAAAGGAGAACCUUAAUAUCCCAUAGAUUCCUUUUGGACCCCGCUGCCACGGGGGGGGGGGGG
rnacentral:lncRNA from 1 species